UUUGGUGGUGCAUAAACUGGUGGCUUAGGUGGUUUGGGCUCAUAUAUUGGUGGGUUGUUGGGAGGUUGAUACAUUGGUGGUUUUAGUGGCUUAGGUUCGUACAUUGGAGGCUUUUUUGGAGGUUCAUACAUUGGUGGUUUGGGUUCAUCAGGUUUCUUUUUCUUUGGAGGUGUAUAAACCGGUGGCUUUGGUGGCUUAGGUUCGUACAUUGGAGGCUUUUUUGGAGGUUCAUACAUUGGUGGUUUGGGUUCAGGUUUCUCUUUCUUUGGAGGUGUAUAAACCGGUGGCUUUGGCUCGGGCUUCUCCUUCUUUGGAGGUUCAUAUACGGGUGGUUUGGGUUCAGGUUUCUCUUUCUUUGGAGGUGUAUAAACCGGUGAUUUUGGCUCAGGUUUCUCCUUCUUUGGAGGUUCAUAUACUGGUGGUUUAGGUUCAGGCUUCUCCUUCUUUGGAGGUUCAUACACUGGUGGUUUGGGUUCAGGCUUCUCUUUUUUUGGAGGUGUAUAAACCGGUGGCUUAGGUUCAUAUGGUGGUGGUUUCACCUUGGGAGGCUUGUAUACUGGAGUAGGGGGUUUCCCAUAAUUUGGUGACUCGUAGGUACCAAAAGUGGGAGCGGUGAGAGUCACCACUCCAAGUAGCAAUACUAGCAAGUGUGUUGUAGACAUCAUUGAGUCUUGGCUUUCUAUGGUGCCAUGAGAAGAGUUCUUCUUAUAGUAGUUUUGGAGCGCUGUUGUUAGCGCAUGUGUCAAAAAUUUUUAUUGUUUAUGUACCUUUGUAAAUAGUCAGCUAGAUGUUAUCAAAUCUUUUAAAUUAUUCAUGAAUGUAAUAGGGCCCAUGUAGGUACAAGUUAGUUGAAAUUUUGGACUAUGGAUACGCAAGACUGAGUCAUGAUUGAAGAAAAUUAAAAAAUAUAUCAUAGGUCCCUAUAUUUUUCAAAAUUUAGAAUUUGAUGCUUAUAUUUUUAUUUUCAAAUUUUAAGUCCUGUUUUCAUUUUUUUAUUAAAUUUGUUGAUGUGAUCUUUUAAAAUAAAAUAAAAAUAUCACUUGGUAGUAACGUAACUAUAACAGGCCAAUUUUGUCCAGCCCACUAUAAACUAAAAAUAAUAAAAUAAAUAAAACUAAAUGAAUAAAAGUCCAUUUACAAAUUGGGCCCGAUAUAUUACAAGCCCUGUUGACACCAUUUUUUUGUGAAAACGGGAUCGACUUGGAUUUUGAAAAUGAAAACGAAAAUGGGAGUCGCUACCAAUCCUUUUUGAUAAGGUGUGAUCGGGCCACCUUGAAAAGUGGUUGUUUUUAAUAAACAAUUUAAUUUUAUUAAAACAACGAUUUUGGUCCACGAAAUUCAGGAAAACGGGUUCGGAAGUCGGUUACCUACGAGGAAGGAUUAGCACCCUCGUAACGCCCAAAAUUGGUACCUAAUUGAUUAAUUAAUGUCUUAGUGUCGAAGAUUGAAAACUUUAAAGAGAUUUAAAAUACAAUCCUUUAUUGAAAUGUUGAAAAUUUUAGGGAAAAGAGCAUAUUUCACGUUAAUCGAGAAAGAGAAUUAUAUCCAGUAAGUUAGGACACAAUGUCUUGAAUUCCCAAUGCGCGAAUGAAUGCCAAAAAUUUACUUAUUUAAAAGAUAUUUAGCUAUUUCGGAUUUUAAAAAGGGAUCAUGCUCAGUAAGUUAGGACGCGAUCUUUUCUUCAUUCCUGAGAUCGUUUAAAACUUGAGAAAAAAAAAGGGAUCAUGCCCAAUAAGUUAGGACACGAUUUCUUCUUAAUUCCCGAGAUCGUUUAUAACUUGAGUUUGAAAAGAUCCAUGUAUUUAGAUUUAUUGUGAAAAUUGAAACCCCGUAAGUUAGGGUAUGACCUUCUCGAAUCUAAACACGAGAUUUUGCUUAUUCAAAAAUCAUAAUUUAUGCAUUGAAUAAAAUUAAUCUAACACGAAAUGGUAGAAAUGAAACUAGGUGUUAAUAUGUGUAACAAAACGAUAUUGAAUGCAAUGGUGUAAAAAUAAUACGAGCAAUAGCAACAAAAUAAGAUAAAUAGAAAGACAAAUCAAUAACAUACAAAAUAACAAGUACAUAAGUAAAUAAAAUUAAAACAUUCUUUCAAAAUAAUAAUGGAAACAUAAAUAAAUAAAGAAAAUGAAUAAAAUUAUAAAAAUGUAAAAAGAUAUAUAUGUAUGUAUAUAUAUGUAUAUAAAAAUUAUAAAAUGUAAAAAAUAUAUAUAAGUAUGUAUAUAUAUAUUCAUGAAAAUAAAUAAAUAAAUAAAUGUAUAUAGAUAUAUAUAGAUCUAUAGAUAUGUAUAUAAAUUAAAAUAUAUAUAUACGAGUAUGUAUGUAUAUAUAAAUAAGUUGUAAAAAAUAUAUACGUGUACAUUGAUAUAUAUUAUGAAAAUGUAUGUAUGUAAAUAUAUAACUAAAUUUGAAAUUAAAAGAGGUAUGAAUGAGUAAAUAAUUAUAAUAAUACUAAGGUAAGUAAUAAUAAUAAAUAUAAUAAUAAAUUAAUUAGUUUAAUAAUAAUAAUAAAAUAACAAUAACGGGACUAAAUUGAAAAUAAAAUAAAAUUUGAGGGGAGAAAUUGGAAAUAAAAUAAGGCAAAGGAUUAAAUUUGUGACGAGCGCGAAAUGAAGGGGACCAAAAAGGAAAUUUAUCCAGGCCUCGAAAACGGGCAGCUUCGAUGGGGACCAAAUUGAAAGCGCAAUAAAUUAUAGGGCUAAAUUAAAAAAAUAGAAAAUACUUAAUUAAAAAAACAUUAAAAAAGCAGAAGGCUAAAGUUGCAAUUAACCGGCCAGCCUCCAACGAGGGCUCCGACCAUCGGUCGCCGGUCACCGGCGCUUAUGCCGCCGUACGCGGCGGCGAGGAGCCAAAAAAAUUCCUUUUUCUUCUGACGCGCUCCCUCGGCUUCCCGAGCACUCCGGCACCGAUGAACAGAGGUAAAAACUCCUCCCUUUUUUCUUUUAUUUCGAAAAUAAAUAAUAAUAAUAAGUGAAAAACAAGAGCAAAAAAUAAAAGCAAUCACCUUAAAAAAACGAUUUCUAUUUUUUUUAUUUCUCAAAAUGUUCUCUUUUUUCUCUCAAUGUUCGUAAGAAAGAAAAAAAAAACCCCUUUUACAAUGGUUGCUAUGGCUUUAUAGCCAUUUUUACAAUAUUUUUAAUCUAUUUUUGCUUGUCAUUUCUCUGCAGGCAAGUGGGUGAAGCAGGUGCGGUGGUGGCAGAGGCAGAGAGCAGGUGCGGAUGGGACGGUGGCAACUGUGCCACUUGCACUGACGUGACGGUGGCAGUGCUAGGGUUUCAGAAAAGCUGAAACCUUAGUUUGACUAACUGUUGAGUCCGAUGGAGGUUUGGGUAUUUGGGCCUUAAUUUUGGGCUGGGGACCUUGGGCUUGUUUAGGCUGCUGUAGCUGGGUUAAAUUUUUUGUAAAUUAUUUGGUUCCUUUGGUGCGGGCCCAGGCAUAAAUUGGGCCUUACAAGCCUAAAUGGCCCAAAAGAAAAAAAACCUAAAGCCCACAACAUUAAUUUUUCAGAAAACUAAAUAGAAACCCUAGCCUCUGCGUCUCACCCCACGUUAGCAUGCUCGCCGACUGAGGCCUGACGCGCCCUUGUUGCCCUUGCACCAAAAUGGCAAGGCUCAAGUCCCGUCAUCAUCGUUGACCCUCCACCGUCGCCUGCAAAAGAAAAACAAGGACAUCAAACGCAAAAACAACAAAAGCAAACAGUAAAAAAUGAAGAAGCAUAAACGAUGUUGUAAAUCAACUAUAAAAGUCACAACAACCACCAUGUAUUUUUUGGACAGAGAAAUACAAAAAAAAAAGCAUCAAGUUUCAAAAAGGUAGGAUUUUUUUUUCAAAGCCCAAAAAAAAGAUAAAAUACUUACUUAAAAUUAUCGUCGUCACCGCCGUCAUAGGUCCUUUUCCUCUGACUUAAGGAGCCUAGGAACCCUUUAGGGUUCCGUCGAAGGCCUCGUCAAAAAAGGGUGAAACCUUUCGGUUUCUUUUCCUUUGGCUGAGCGUCGGUUAGGUUUCUGGGAAUUUAAAUCCCAGAUCUGUGUUCUAUUCGAAGAGGGGGGGAUCUAAAAGGCUUUCUUUUGGGAGUUUUCAGCCAUUGGAGGUUACAGGGCGGCCCUUGGUUGGAUAUGAGAGAGAUUGGAAGGAAAAAAAAAAGGAAUAGGAAACCUUUUUUUUUUAAACGGAUGGAAAUGAGUUUUUUUUUUUAAUAUUUUUUUAACUUAUAUAGAUUGAGAUAAACGAUGUCGUUUCGAAGGAGUCUAGAAUGCCAAAAAAACGAUGCCAUUUUGGGGCCAAAUCGCCAACCCGACCUGAAUCACCCUUAGGAUCCAUUUGUUUUUUAGGGGGAUUUUUGCAACUUUAGUCCUUCCGCCUUUUGAGUUACCUUAAUUUGGACCUAAUUUCACUGUUCUUUCUUUUUAGAAAUUAGGCCAUUUUAUUUGGGUUCAUUUUCAAUUUGGUCCUCAGACCGCUGACCCUUCGGGGAAGAACGCGUGUAUUUUUUUUGGAUUAAUUUCUUCGAAGCCCUUGAAACUUUGCAUCGCGUUUUAAUUUAGUCAUUUACGUUUCAAUUUAGUCCUUAUUUUCCCUUUUUCUUUAAUUAUUUUGCGAUUUAUAAUUUAAUUUUUACUUAAAUUUCAAUUUAAUCCUUAGUUUUGUUAAUUUUGCCGUUUUAUUUACUAUGCCAUUUAUUUUAGCAUUUAGAUUUAUAUUAUUUACGUUUCCUUUUCGUUUAUACACUUUUAUUUUUAUUUUUCCUUCAUCAUUAUUAUUAUCAUUAUUUUAUUUAUUUAUAUUAUUAAUAUAACAAUAACUAUGUUGUGCUAUUACUAUUAUUAUUACAAAAUUGAUAUUCUCAUUGUUAAUGUAGUUGCAAUACUAUCAUCAUUUAUCAACACGUUUUUUUAUUUAUUAUGUAUUAUAUCACAACAUAUUCAUUAGUUUUUGUUAAAAAAAAUAUAUAUCGUUUUCAGAAAAGGGUUAUCUUCGUAUAAAAUAUUCAAAACCGAGGUAAUGUUCAUUAUUUUUGAGAUUCGAAGAAGUCAUGCUCGUAAUUUACGGAAUAUGACAUUUUCUUAGAACUGAAAUAAUCGAAUAUCCUAUUUAAAAUAACAAAAAAAUUUAAGUAACGAUCAAAACGACGAUUAUUCUGGUUUUCGAAAGCUAAAGGUGUCAUGUCCUAACUCAUGGGGCAUGAUCCUUUUUCUCGAUUAAUUCGGAAUAAAGCCUUUUCUAUUAAAUAUAAUUAGGUAAUGUCUUAAUACAAAAAGGGAUCGUGUUUUAAAUUCUCUUCAAAUUUUCAAUUUUCGACACUAAGACAUCGAGUAAUCAAUUAGGUACCAAUUUUGGGCGUCACGAGGGUGUUAAUCCUUCCUCGUGCGUAAUCGACUCCCAAACCUAUCUCUUGGAUUUUUGUAGACUGAAAAUCAUUUUAAUAAAUCAAACCUUUUAUUAAAAUUAUGAGGUGAUCCGAUCACACCUCAUAAAAAUGAUUGAUGGCGAUCCCAUUUUCUUUUGUUUUAAAAUAAAAAGUCGAUUUUAAAAAAGGUUUUGACAGUAACUAAACCUGAUCAAGGGCUGGGUAGCCCAAUAGGCUUAGUCCGACUUAAGUCGAGCUUGGACAAAUAUUUUUGCACCUCAAACCGGCUCAACCUGGUCAUAAUUCAAUUUAAAUAAGAAAAAAAUAUUUAUAUUAUUUAAAUUUAAUUAUAAAACUAUAUAAAUAUCAAUUAAAAAUAUUUUUAAAUAUUUUAUUAAUUUUUGAAUAGUGAAACAAAUUUUUUGGAUGGGCCAGCCCAAAAAUGGGUUUGGGCUUGAAUUUUUUUGGAAUCGGGCCUUGGCUUGGCCCAUGGACGGCUCAAAAUGUUACUAAAAGAUGAUGUUGUAAUGAACCCGAAUUUAACAAAAUAAUAUUAACAAUGUUAAUAGUUGAACCUGAAUUUUGAAAUCUAAAAAGUAGAGAGACUAAAGUAAAAAUACAAAAAUUAAAUUCUAAAUUUAUAAAGAGUACAAAAACUUAUGACAUAUUCUAACUUUGAAGAAAAACUUAUGGUCAUAUUUGUGUUCUUUUUUAUACAAUGCUUAGAACUAUCCAUAGUUUCUCCGAACCCAUAAAUAGGAGGAUAAUGCGCUUUAACACAUUCAAACCCACAUCCUCCUGUAUUGGCAAUAAUGUCUAUACCAAUUGAAUAAAGACUCAAUCGGUAGGAUUAAAUCAUGACUUAAAUCUUUACCUUAUGUAUACAUAUUUAUAUUUACUUCUCUUUCCAUGAGGUAGUUAUAUUUACUUUCUUUAUAAGAAGAUUGGGACAUGAACAACAGAUAAAUUGACGCAUAAAAACUAAAAUGUCGCUAAAUUGACUGUAGAAAACAUUGUCGGUAAAUUUAGUGUUUCAUCCGGCCAUUUUAUUUAAUCUCAAUUGGUAAACUUUAACUACUCAUAAAUUUUUUUAAGACAAGAAAUCAAAUUUACUUAAAAGAAAGUAAAGAGAGUUGAAUGCUCUUAUUUUUUUCUUUAAAUUACUUAGUUUUUAUUUAUUUCAAUUUAAGAAAAAAAUUAGGAAAAAAAAAGUAAUUAUUUUUUUAAGAUGCGAAAUAUCAUUUCUAUCUUUCUAUAAAUUGUUUUAGAAAUCGGAUUUGAUUUGAAAUAAAUCAGUAUAAUCAUUUGUUUUAUUAUUUUCCAUAGUUUAACCACACACAAAAUUUGGGAUAUGAUGGAUUUUUAAAGGUUCGGAAGGAUAUCGUAUUAAAAGAAGGUAAUGUAGUCUCUUUCAAUUUUGAAAUUGAGUAAAUUAGGUUUUUUUUUUUAAAUUGAAGUAAUUUAAUUCUUGUCAAUUUUGAAAGCGAACAAUUAAGGACAAUUAAUCACCGCGCUAAUUUUGUUUUCAAUUGUAAAUAAUUUUGAUUGAUAUAAUAACAAAUUUAACCACAUUUUGUCAAUUUAAUAACGAUUUAACAAAUUUAGCUAGCAACAUAUACAUAAAUGUUGAUGCUAAAUUUGUUGAAUCUUUUAAAAUUUAGAUCAAAUUAAUAAAACAUGUAAACAUUGAAAGUUAAAAUUAAUGUUAUCUCAAUUAAAAUUAUGUUGAGGAUGGUGUUUUUACAAAUAAAAUAAAAUAUGAAAACAAAACAGCCUUAAAAUAAGAUUAGCAACAUAUGGUCAAAGGUACCCCAACUUGUGAAUAAGAUAAAAACAAGUUGUUAAAAACCUUUAAAUUUUUAUGCUUUCAAUCUCACCAAAGUCAUCUUUUCUCAUUACUGUAAUCAUCAAUUUGUUAUUAUUAUUAUCAUCAUAAUUUUUAUUUAAUUUAAACUUUGAAAAAUGAUCAGAAUUGGUAGUUUUCUAUGGACCUAAUUGUGUCUGUCGGUGUAAAAAAUACAUAAACUAAUUUACGAUUUUGAAUCUCAAAUUUAAUAAUAUGUGUAUUUGUAUUUGUUUUUCUGUAAAUGUACUUGUUGAGAAGUCACAAUCGUAAUUGAUAGUUACAUUUAUAUAUUAGAAAUUGGGAUCUCAAAAUUCUAAAGUCUCCUCUUUAUUAUUAAACUAAGCUCUCAUUGGUACCACCAAAAUUUCAUUGGCAUCCUAUUGUGAUUAAUAUUUACUUGAUUUCGAGUAUAAUUUUUUUUACAAAACAAAUCGUAAAUUAAAAAUAAUAUAAAAAAUUAUAGAUAUUAUAUUUCAACACUAGUUUUUGAUUUCAUUGGUUUUUAACAAUAAUUAAUUAAAAAUUCAUAAAAUUAAUAAAAAUAUUAAAAAUUCAACGGCUAAUUUUUUAUUUACCAAUUUAAUCUUGUACAAUGGAAUGCACUAGAAAACGUGAGCUUAAAACAAGGAUCAUGAGCAGGUAAAAUUUGCUUUAGGUAUUGAAAACAGUGGAAAGCAAGUCAAAGUGGAAUGCUGGUUUCAAAGAUUUGACAUUUUUAGCUACAUAACUCCUGCAGCUGACAUCGACACCAAAUCCUAGUUUCAACCUCUAAUUAUGUAAUAAGCUGCAAAUUUUCCGCUUCUCAAACAUAUGGCGGGGCAGUGGGGACCUUUCAUUGGUAAGGUUAGGUAAACACAUGAUAGCAAUUGAAAGUUCCCGACGUAGUACUAUAUGAAAUUAAUUAAAAUGUUACAUAAAAUAUAAUAUCAUGCAGAUAAAAGAUAUUUAAAAAUAUAUAUGCUAAGAUGUCAAAAUGUAUAUAAUAAAUUAAUAUUUGAGACAUUAUGACAUAUAUUCUAAAAAUAAUGCAAUAUUUAUUUUUGAAAAAAGUCAUAAUAUUUUUUUUAUGUCUUAACUUUGUCUUUACUUGGUUGGCAAAACUAAAGGAGAAUAAAAUUAGUCAGAUAACAAUAAAAGCGAUUUUUCUUUAAGGUGAUGCAUUUUUUCCCUCCUUUUUAGUUCAUCUGAAUGACAUUGUAAUUAGCAUUUUGGAGGGAUAUUGCAUUUGGCAUCAUCUAUGGUAUUUGAAUUUGAAUUUGGUUGUUAUUGCUUGACAGGAGUAUGAUUUAAAUAUUAAUACGUUAAUUUUUCUUUUUAAAGUUAGAGAAUUGUUGAAGGAUAAUAUCUCAUAUCCAUAUCUAAAAAUGUGUCAUAUAGAGUGUCAAACAUGCAUGAAACAUGAAGGGUCAGAGUAACAUACAGCAUUGCCUUACAUUUAUUUGUGUUAUGUUAGGCCAAUAUAAUUGCCACCGUUUCUCCAUGCAUGUAGUGGAACUUAAGUAAUGUUGUGUUGGUCUGGACCUAUUUUGGAUGAACAAAAGGCAUGCACAUGCUUGAGAAUACAAGAAUGUCUAUGAUAAGUAAUCCUGCAGUUGGCAUUUGAAAUAUAUGUGUCGAAAUCAGGAUAUUGCUCAUUGAGAAACAAGAAGACAUAAAAUAAGCAUUCCAAUGACUACUGCCAUCGGCAUUCUCGCAGGUAAAAGAAAACAUUACUACAUGACAUACAAGAAAAUAGAACAUGAGUAGGAAGAAACUCUUAUUGUAUAGAUACUAAUUUAUCUAUAUAGCCAUAGUAGCUCAGUUCUUGGGAUGGCUAGCCGAUGGGAUCUCUCUAUUGAGGCUUCCCCAAUGGAGGGUGUCCUGGAUAGUGACCAUACGGUGGUUUCUUUGGAUGUUCAUAAACUGGUGGCUUGGGUCCUGGUUUCUCUUUCUUUGGUGGUACAUAAACUGGUGGUUUUGGUGGUUUAGGCUCAUAAACUGGUGGCUUCUUCGGAGGUUGAUAAACUGGUGGUUUGGGUUCUGGUUUUUCUUUCUUUGGUGGUGUAUAAACCGGUGGCUUAGGCUUAGGCUUUUCCUUCUUUGGUGGUUCAUACACUGGUGGCUUGGGUUCAGGCUUCUCUUUCUUUGGUGGGGUAUAAACUGGUGGCUUAGGCUCAGGCUUUUCCUUCUUUGGUGGUUCAUAUACUGGUGGUUUGUGUUCAGGCUUCUCUUUCUUUGGAGGUGUAUAAACUGGUGGCUUUGGUUCGGGCUUUUCCUUUUUUGGUGAUUCAUAUACUGGUGGCUUGGGUUCUGGCUUCUCUUUCUUUGGUGGUGUAUAAACUGGUGGUUUAGGUUCAGGUUUUUCCUUCUUUGGAGGUUCAUAGACAGGUGGCUUAUGUUCAUAAGGUGGGGGUUUCACCGUAGGAGGCUUAUAAACAGGAGUAGGGGGCUUCCCAUAGUUGGGAGACUCAUAGGUACCAAAAGAGGGAGUGGCUAGAGCGGCCAGUCCAAGUAGAAAUAUUAGCAAGUGUGUGGUAGACAUCAUUGAGCUGUUUGCUUUCCAUGAUGCUAUGAGAAGAGCCCUUUUUAUAAUGGUAAAGGAGCCUUAUUGACAGCCCAAGUGUUGAACAAUUUUCUUGUUUUCAUGCCUUCGGAAUAGUCAGCUAGAUGUUAGUAAAUCUUUUAAAUAAUUCAUAAAUGAAAUAGGGUCCAUUGAGGUCCCACUUAGUAGAAAUUUUGGACUACGGAUACACAAGGCUUACUACGGAUACACAAGGCUUAGUCAUGAUUAAGGAAAAGUAUAGAAAUGUUGUCGUAGGUAUCGUAGUGAAACAAAAAAAAAAAUCAAAUACAUAAAUAAAUCUAGUUAUGGUAAAAUACUUAAUUUUUGAAAUAUAUUUAAGUAUUUUUUUCUCAUACCUAAACUAUCAUUUUGAUAUCAUUUUAUCCAAAAAUUAUUCGAUAAGAAUGUGCCACCUGUUAUGUUUUUAUUGACAAUUUUUAAUUUUUUUAUUAAAUUGAGACAAUAAUGAUAAUUUAAGUGACAAAAAAAAAGAUAAAAAAUUAAAUACCAAAAAACAGAUAUAAUUUAAGGAUUAAAUGGUGAAUUAAACUUUUGCAUUAUGUAUCCAAAUUUAUAUUUACUUCUAUUUCAAUGAGGUAUUACUUUCUUUAAAAAGCUAAGAAGCUUGAGACAUGAACAAUAGAUUAAAUUGGUACAUAAAACUAAAACAUUGAUAAAUUUAGCAUUGUAGUGUUUUAUAGCGACAUUGUAUUUAUCGGGGAACCAAAGAUUAGACUGUGAUUAAAGGUGUUUCAUGGAGGGCUUUAUCCUCAUCGCUUCACUCCUCGCCUAUUGUGUUUGAUUAGAAUCGCUAGAAAGAUGUAGAGUUUCGAAUUUUCCCUUUGAAAUCGGUAUAUUUCGCUGAAAGGAAGAUUCAAGGUUUCUCUUUUAAAAAAAUAUGAAUGGCGACAAGAAUGAAUGAAAGUGACUAAGAAUUUUUUUUUAAAAUUAGCUUAGGGUAAUUGGCUAAUUGAUCCUUGUCCAUUUUAGUACUAAGAAUUUUUUUUUCAAUUUAGCUUAGGGUAAUUGGCUAAUUGAUCCUUGUCCAUUUUAGUCUCUCAACCUUUAACCACUCGAUUUUCUUUUCUUUUCUUUCAAUUUAAUCUUUAGCUCAAACAAAAGAAAAAAAACUCAAAAUUACCAAAUUACCACUAACUUAAUAAUUUAGAAUUUGAAUCUCCAAUAUAAAUUUCGCAUUAAUAGAAGUUUUCUAGGUAGUUAUAGUACUAUUAAUUCUCAAUAAACAUUACGAUAAUUUUAUCAGAAUUUCGUGAAAUUCGACACUCAAAAUUUCGAGACAUUAUAAUUUUAUAAUUAUUUAUGUCUUGGGUCUUUUUUAGGAGCACUCACCUCCGUUAUAUGUCAAUCUUGAUUAUUUAUUUUCUUUUACGAAAAUUUUCAUUUUUGGAACUAAUUGAUCCACUAUAUUUCAAACUUGCGUUUCUUUAAAUUUUUUUAAACAGAUUGAUCUACCGAUACUUUGAUUUAAAUUAAAGCAUUUCCAGCUAAUUUGUGAGACUUGAUUCCUCUUAUUAGGUUAGCAAAUACAUUUGACAGUUGAUUUGCAAUAAAAUAAAGAUUGUUGAAGAAAGCCCUUUUGAAUCAUCUUAUGAAUCAAAGACUAAAUAUGAUUCGAGCUUUGAUGAAGAUGCUCUCUUAAAGAAAGCUUUUUUUGGUAAAGCUAGGAUCAAGCGUCCCAAUGUUCCACUCUCCACUUAGUAAAGAAAUAAAAAGAUGAAGCGAGCAGGUGUGCCCACAAUGCUUGUUGAAGCUACAAAAGAAGCAAUGAAGGAAGAAGUAGCUUUUGAUUAUUAAUGAGAAUUUUACACAAAGCAUUAAUGGUUAAUAUGCUUAAUUAUGUUCUAAUUUGAGUAAGUUGGAUUGAGGGAAUUAUGCUAAGGGGGAGUUGUAAUUGGUUUGGUUGAUUAGCUUCAUGUCUUGUUUGGUUUUGUUCUAAAAAUUUUAAAAGGGGAGAUUGUUGAGCAAGUAUUUGAAGUGGCUACUAUGUGUCAAUGGAAGUGCCCACUUCCAACACCACUGUGAUAGAAUCUUAUUUGUCGUAUUUGAUGUUGGCAAAUGAUUGAAAUAAAAUCUUUGGACUAUGUUGAUUUUGUGGAAUUAUUCAAGCUUAUCCAAGAAGAUCAGUCCGUUUGGAGGAACAUGUAUUAAGGAUUGGAUUGGAUCAAAUCAAUCACACAAAAUCCCUUAGAUCAAGGAUGUUGGAUUGGGACAAAACUUGAAGGUUUAUCUUCCAACAGUCCACCUUACUUUGGUCAUUAUUAUAUUGUAUUCAGCUAUAUUAGUUGUUGUUUAGAAGGGAUUGUAAUUGAUCCUUAGUAUAUUAGCAAGUCUUGAAAACUUCUAUAUAUUUGAGAAACUUGUAUAAAUUUAUUUACUAAGUAUUAAGAGCAUUUAUCAGUUCCAAGAGUAACGUUAUUGUGAGAAUGCAUUUGAGAUAGUAAAACCUAUUGUUAUUAGUUUUACAAAUUAAAUUCUCAAGGAGGAAAUUUCGUAGUGAGAGAUUUAGUCUUUGAGUACAAAAGCAAGGACUCUAUACUGGGAGAGAUAGAACUAGGAUCACUUGUUUUAUUGAGUUCAAAGAUAGUGGAUUAAUCUUAUUGAACUAAGCUCUGCAAACAUAAGGAAACUAAUGCGUAAACAAUUUCUUGUUCCCUAUUAUUCUUCUUUUUUUGGUAAUGUCAUCAAAAGUGCCCGCUCCUAUUUGUACUCCGUUUCUUGGCAUGAUAACAAUCGGUUGAGAUCAACACUUUAUAAUUUGUCUACCUAAACAUAAUAUUAAUAAUAUCUUGUUAUUAAACAUUAAAAAAAUUUAUGUUAUUUAAAAAUCUUUAUUUUUUUAAAGUUUACAUAAUAUUACAAUCGAAGUACAAAUACAAAUCCAGAACCAAUAGAAUUGAACUAUUACAACAUAGUCAGAUACAAAGAUAUUCGAACAACUAUAAUCAAAUUAUUACAAUACAAAUAGAUUAGUAACUAAAAAAAUCCAAACAAAAACUGACUGACUUGAACUAAAAUCCACCUAUAAUACCAACAUAUAAUUAAAAUUUGAAAUUUACAUACAUGAUAAUUUCCAGCCUAAGUGUUAGUACAAAACUUCGGUGAGGAAAUCUCGAACACACGAACGGAACUUGAACAGAAAAAGAAGAAAUAGGACGAGGCUCCAAGGCGUGUAUCAAGCCACUAUCUUUAAGGUUAUAUUCACCCCUACCUAUCUUCGGUGUGCAAAUGAGUUCCAAGCAAAUUAACCUCGAGGAUACAAUGAAGCCAAUGACUAUUUACGUGUUGCACUGACAAUAAUAGUCCACUACGCACUGAGCAAUGUAUAACAAAAACUCAAUUUCUACAAAGGAUUUCUGCAGUAAUACUUUAUAGAAUAAUCUAAUAAUAUUAGAAAAUGAAGGAAGGAAAUAAAGAAUAUUUAGAAUUUUGUUUUGUAUGUUUUCCAAAUGAAAUCUCAUUCCUAUUUAUAGGAAUUUUCAUGUCUCUUCAUAGAGACAUCUUUCAUCAAUAGGUGUCUUUCUGAAUAAUAAUGUCUUUAAAAUAAAUACAUAAUUAUUCAUUUAAUAUUAUAACUAUUCAAAUAAUAUUAUUUAAAUAGUUAUAAUUCUUUUUUAAAAAAUCAAAUAAUAAAAUCUUUUGAUUAAUUACACUCAUUCAUUUAUAGUUAUUGGAACACUAUAAAUAUUUGAAAAUAUUCCAACAAUCUCCCCCCAUUUUCAAAAUAUUUUAGAUUUUGAUAUUAUUUGGAAAUCAAUUUGCAUAAAUGAAGGUAUCUUACGAUUGAACCUUCACUUAGUGAAUAUAUGUUAAAGUUAAUCGAAAUUGCAUGGUAGAGCUUUGAACCAACUAUUCCAUUUGAUUAACCGAACACAUCUCACACAAUGAUUUCAACAUCAGUCAAUGCAUAGUAUCUAAGGACACUAUUAUGGCCAUGUGUCUGUGUCCUCUUUUCAUGAGUGCUGUCAGAGCCAAGCCCUUGAGCUCCUAGAAACAGCCACACUUCCACUCACAUAGGUAGAUCUCAUCAAGAGUGUUCCCGUAAUUAUAACACUAUAACAUAUUUAUGUUAUGGGUCCAUUAAGAGUACAUUACUCAUCAUUCCCUUAUCAUUACGGGUACCUAGCAAUUUAAUCUUAGGAUGGAUUUAUUUAUAGUGCUAACAGUCACAAACUAAUUAUGUACUUUGUCUCAUUGAACUCAAGACUUGACGUUAUACCAAGCGCUGAGUCGAGUUUCCAUCAUGGGUGACUCUAAUUAAUGGGCUUGAGUCCCAUCCCUUUUGAGGUCCUUUUUACUGCAUCUCUAGCAAGACUUUUUGUCAAAGGAUCCGCCAAAUUUUCACUUGACCUCGCAUAAUUAAUAGUGAUCACUCCAUCAGAGAUUAAUUGUCAGACAUAACUAUGUCUUAAUCCAAUGUGUCUAGACUUUCCAUUAUAUACUUGGCUACAUGCCUUUGCUAGAGUAGCCUCACUAUCACAACAGAUAGAAAUAGAUGAAAUUGGCUUAGGCCAUAAAGGUACAUCAUAAAGCAAAUUUCUUAACCAUUAUGCUUCUUUAGAUGCAGCGGCUAAUACAAUAAAUUCUGCUGCCAUGGUGGAAUCAGUAAUACAUGUUUGUUUCUUGGAACCCCAAGAAAUGGCUCAUCCACCAAGAAUGAAGAUCCAUCCACUAGUAGAUGCAUGAUCUUCCAAACUUGUAAUCCAACUAGCAUCCAAAUACCCUUCUAAAACUGGAGGAUAUCCAUUAUAACACAAUCCAUAGUUAAUAUUUUUCUUUAAGUACCUAAGUACUCUAUUCAAAGCUUGCCAAUGCAAACUACUUAGAUUACUUGUGUACCUACUCAAUUUUCUAACAGCAUAUGCAAUAUCUGGUCUUUUACGAAUCAUUAUGUACAUAAGACAACCAAUUAGACUUGCAUAUUUCAAUUGAUCAAUUUUCCUACCAGCAUUAGGUACUAAUUUUAUUUGAGGAUCCAUGGGUGUAGAUGCUGGUAUACAGUUGAAAAGAUCAAACUUUUUAAGCACAUUUUCAAUGUAAUGUGAUUGUGAAAAAGCUAUAGUGCUUUCAUCUCGGGUUAUUUUUAAUCCCAAGAAUAACAUCUGCUGCACCCAUAACCUUCAUAGCAAAGUUGUUUGACAAGAAUUUCUUUGUGUUUUCUAUUUGAUCCAAAUCCGUGCCAAAAAUGAGCAUGUCAUCUACAUAUAAGCAAAUUAUGACACCUUUUUCAUUUUCAAAAUUGCUAUAUAUGCACUUAUCGGAUUCAUUUAUUUUAUAGCCAUUAGCUAAAACAACCUUGUCAAACUUUUGGUGCCAUUGUUUUGGUGCUUGUUUAAGCCCAUAUAAGAUUUAACAAGCUUACAUACCUUAUGCUCUUGUCCUGGAACAACAAAUCCUUCUGGUUGCUCCAUGUACACUUCUUCUUCCAAUUCACCAUUUAAAAAUGCAGUUUUAACAUCCAUUUGGUGAACAACCAAAUUAUAUAUAGAGGUAAGUGAUACUAAGAGUCUAAUUGUAGCAAUUCUUACUACUGGAGCAUAGGUAUCAAAGUAAUCAAUACCUGUUUUUGUGUAAAACCUUUAGCUACCAACCUUACUUUAAAUUUAUCAAUGGUUCCAUCGACCUUCAUUUUCUUUUUGAAGAUCCAUUUACAACCUAAUGGUUUGGAACCCGGUGGAAGAUCAACUAAGAUCCAAGUUUGAUUUCCAAUUAUUGAAUCCAUCUCAUCAUUUAUUGCUUCUUUCCAAAAAGCAGAGUCUUGAGAUUUCAUUGUCUCUUCAAAUGUAAAAGGAUAAGAUUCAGUAUUAUAACAAUAAGGUAUAUUAUUGCAUAUACUUUCACCCUUUCCUUCUACAAGAAACAUAAUGAAAUCUGGUCCAAAAUCUUUAACCUUUUUAAUCCUCUUACUUCUCCUUAAUUCUUGACAAGAUUCAUCAUUACUAUCAGUUUGUUCCAGUGGAAUCUCAUUCUCAUUUGAAGAAUGAAUCAAUUGUUGUGGCUGUAAUUAUCUUGAUAUAGAAUUAAAUAUAUUUUCAUCAAAAAUAGCAUCUCUUGAUUCAAUAACAGUAUUAAUUGAAAUUGAAUCAUUUGGUUCAAUUACCAUGAACCUAUAUGCCUUGCUAUUAUGUGCAUAUCCUAUAAAUAUGCAUUCAAUUCCUCUUUCACCUAACUUUUUACGUUUAGGUGUUAAAACUUUGACAAUAGCUCUACAACCAUAAACCUACAAAUAAUUAAGGUUUGGUUUCCUUUUCUUCCAUUUUUCAUAGGGGGUUAUUUUAGUUUCCUUAUUAGGAACUCUAUUCAGUAUAUGACAAGCUAUUAGAACAACUUCUCCCCAAAAACCUUGUCCAAGACCUGAAUAUGAUAACAUUGAAUUUACCAUUUCAGUCAAGACUCUAUUUUUCCUUUCAGCUACACCAUUUUGUUGUGGUGUGUAAGGGGCUGAAACUUGAUGGACAAUUCCAGUGGAUUCAAAAUAACUUGGAUUAUAGUAUUCUCCACCUCUAUCUGAUCUUAAGCACUUAAUAAAUGAUUCACAAUGAAGUUCAACUUCAGAUUUAUGAACAUUAAAUUUAUCAAGCGCUUCAUCUUUUGAAUGCAAUAAAUAUACAUAACAAUAACUAGAACAAUCAUCAAUAAAAGUAACGAAAUAUUUAUUUCCACCUAAUGUAGGAGUAUUAUGCAUGUCACAUAAACCACUAUGUAUCAAAUCAAGCAAUUUUGUUUUCCUUCUAACCUUAGGGAAAGGGUUUUUUUAUAAUUUUAGUCAACAUACAUGUAUUGCAUUUUUCAAUAUUAUUAUUAAAAACAUGAAUUAAAUCUAACUUAUACAUUUCAUUCAAUUUUCUAUAAGUCAAAUGACCUAAUCUAUAAUGCCAAACAAAAAGAUUCAACCAUAUAAGCAGAAAUAGUAUUUUUAUUCUUAUUAAUAAUAUUGAGUUUGAACAUACUCUCAUACAUAUACCAUUUCCCUACAAAAAUUCCUCCCUUAGAAAAAAUAAACUUAUCUACGUCAAAAACAAGUUUGAAACCAAACUUAUUCAACAGACUUCUAGACACUAAAUUCUUCCUACCUUCUGGUACAUAAUAUACAUUAUUUAAGGUUAAAACCUUUCCAGAAGUGAAUUGUAGUUCAACAGACCCUUUGCCUUUGAUUGCUGCGGUGGAAGAAUUUCCCAUGUAUAAGACAUUGUCAUUUUCACAUUGCGGGAACUUUGUAAACAUGCUUUUGUCUUUGCACACAUGUUUGGUUGCUUCGGUAUCAAUCCACCAUGUACUAUCAUCUUGUGCCAUAUUAAUUUCAGAUAUCAUUGCAACGAACUUUUCGUUAUUAUCAGCCUUAGAAGAUGAUUUCUUCUUUAGAAAUCAACAUUCAUUCUUGAAAUGUCCCGGCUUUCCACAAUGAUAGCAUGAGCCCUUUUGUUUCUUUUUGAACUUAGGUGCUCUAUCAGUCUGUUUGAACUUUCUCUUGAAUGGUUUAGUAGUCUGUAUUUCCUCCGUAACAUGCACUUUGGCAUUUUUAGAAUUUUGGUUCUGAUCUUGUUUUCGAUAUUCUUCUUUAAUACAAAGAUGAUUUGCCAAAGUCUCAAGAGAUAUUUUCUCUUUCUUAUGUUUUAGACUUCUUUUAAAGUCUUUCCAAGAUGGAAGAAAUUUGUCUAUUAUGGAGGAUACAAUAAUUAUUUCAUCCAUUUUCAUAUCAUAUUGCUUAAAUUGAUUCAGCAUCUUUUCUAUAUCACGGAAUUGUUCCAUAACAAAACAACCAUCAACCAUUUGAUAAUUAUUAAAACGACUGACAAGAAACUUCUUACUUGUAACAUCUUCGGUCAUGUAUCUUGCCUCCAAUUUAUCCCAUAAUUCUUUAGCGGUGACCUCGUUUUGGUAGGUGUCAAACAAACUAUCAGAUAAACCAUUCAAUAUGUGGUUCAUGCACAUGUAGUCAGCAUUGUCCCAUUUUUAUCUUUCUCGGGUUGCAACAACAGAUUUGUUUUCAUUCUUUUCAGGUCUUGGAGUAUCCAAAACAUAAGGAAUCUUCAAAGUUGAUAAUAAGAAGUACAUCUUUUUCUGCCAUCGUCGAAAAUUGCCACCAUCAAACCGAUCAAGUUUGACAAAGUUGGAAGCCAACUCCCUUAGUGUUCCACUAUCUUGUGUUGUGGUAGUCAUAAUGAAAUAUAACCUUAAAUUGUUAGUACAAAACUCCGAUGAGGAAAAUCUCGAACACACAAACGGAACUUGAACAGAAAAAGAAGAAAUAGGACAAGGCUCCAAGGCGUGUAUCAAGCCACUACAUUUAAGGUUAUAUUCACCCCCACCUAUCUUCGGUGUGCAAAUGAGUUCCAAGCAAAUUAACCUCGAGGAUACAAUGAAGCCAAUGACUAUUUGCGUUUUGCACUGACGAGAAUAGUCCACUACGCAUUGAGCAAUGUAUAACAAAAACUCAAUUUCUACAAAGAAUUUCCGCAAUAAUACUUUAUAGAAUAAUCUAAUAAUAUUAGAAAAUGAAGGAAGGAAAGAAAUAAUAUUUAGAAUUUGUUGGUAUGUUUUCCAAAUGAAAUUUCAUUCCUAUUUAUAGGAAUUUUCAUGUCUCUUUAUAGAGACAUCUUUCAUCAAACAGAUGUCUUUCUGAAUAAUAAUGUCUUUAAAAUAAACCCAUAAUUAUUCAUUUAAUAUUAUAACUAUUCAAAUAAUAUUAUUUAAAUAGUUAUAAUUCUUUUUCAAAAAAUCAAAUAAUAUAAUCUUUUGAUUAAUUACACCCAUUCAUUUAUAGUUAUUGAAACACCUAAGUAAUCAAUUAAAAAAAUUUGAUAUUCAAAAGUUAGAAUUCGGUUAAUAUAAUAUAUGGAUAAAAUGAACGUAACGUGGAUUUGGCCCUCAAGGAACAAAUGGUCAACAUUCAUGGUUUCUUGAUUUCAAACACUUAGGUAAUGGCUAUUUCCACCAACAAAAUCUCCAUGCACGAAACGACAACAAGAUCUCUUUCAACAUGUCGGUUUUCUUUAAGUAAAUAAAAUAAAAAAGAAAUCGGUUAUUUUCUUCUCGUGCUUUUUCUUAUCAUUUCCAUAUGGGUGAAAUGAAUUCACCCUACAUACUUAAAUUAUGAUUCAAUUCUUUUUAAUUCAUACGAAAAUUUUAAAAUAUAUAUUCUAAAUUUAAAAAUUUACUAAUUAAAUUUUAACUAUAAAUUUAAACGUGUUUAAACAUAUUUCUUUUCUCAUUUAAAGGUUUGAAAGAUUAAAAUAGGUGCAAAUAUUUUAUAAUAUUUUAAAAAUAACUUAGCCUACAAGUGGAAUCAUACGAGUGAGUGCUCAACACUUCAUUCCAAAAGCAGCCGUAAAAAAAAAAGGACUAGAAACAUAUGGUCAAAGCUACCCACUUGUGAAUGCUUUUAAUCUUUCUUUUCUAAUUAAAGUUAAAACUUUGAAAAACGAAAAAAAACAAAAGGUUCUUCAUCACUUUUGAACGUAUGAAAGCAAGAAAUGGAUGCCUAGGUAUGUAUGUCGGUGUUAAUAUAUAUAAAGUAAUUUAUGAAUUUGAAUCUCAAAUUUAAUAAUUCUUGUAUUUAUUUUUAUUUGAGUAAAUAAUACGUGGAGAAGUUACAAUCAUAUUUCAUAAUUACGUGUAUAUAUUAUUGAAUAAUUAAUUAAAAUCCCAAUAUAAAUACUAAAUUUACUUAUAAUGAGGCUAGAAUUUGAAACUUUAAAGUUCUACAACAUCUUUUAAGUUUUUAAACUUAGUAAUUAGGUAGGUUUUGGUAUUUGUAAUUUUUUUUCUAAUUUACUUUGAUAUUUAAAUUUAACAAUUAGGGGACUAAAAGUUAUAUUAACCAAUUGAAUACACUAGAAAACGUGAGCUAAAAACAAGGGUAUUGAGCAGGUAAAAUUAUCUUUAGGUAUUGAAAAUAGGGAAGGGAACAAAACACAGUGAAGGGAAGUCAACUUUGAAUGCUGGUUUCGAAGAUUUGACAUUUUAAGCUACAUAAUUCCUGCAGCUUACAUCGUCACCAAUCAUAAUUUAAACCUCUAACUAUGUAAUAAGCUGCAAAUUUUCCACUUCUCAAACAGCUGGUGGGGGCAGUGGGGGCCUUGCAUUGAUAAGGUUAGGUAACCACAUAAUAGCAAUUGAAAGUUUACGAAGUUGUACUACAGAAAAUUAAUUAAAAUGUUACAUAAAGUAUAAUAUCAUGCAUAUAAAAGGUUUUAAAAAAAUAUGUUAAGAGGUCAAAUUUUAUAUAAUAAUAAAUUCAUAUUUGAGACAUUAUGACAUAUAUUUUAAGAAUAAUGCAAUUUUUAUUUUUGAAAAAAAAUCAUUUUUUUUAUUGCUUAACUUUGUCUUUACUUGUCUGGCAAAACUAAAGGAGAAUAAAAUUAGUCAGAUAACAAUAAAUUUGAAAAACAUUCACAGAGAUAAAAUUGCAUAGUUUUCUAGCAAAUUUUCCUUAACGUGAUGCAUUUUUUUCCCACCUUUUUUGUUCAUAUGAAGGACAUUGUAAUUAGCAUUUUUGGGGACUAUAUUGAAUUUGGCAUCAUCUAUGUUAUUCGGAUUUUAUUGUUAUUGUUUGAUAAGAGUAUGCUUCAAAUAUAGGUAUAUUAAUUUUUCUUUUUUUAAGUUUGAGAAUCGUUGAAGCAUCAUUUCUCGUAACCAUAUCUAAAUAUAUGUCACAAGAAGUGUCAAACAUGCAUAAAACAUGAAGGGUCGGAAUAAUUUUCAUCACGGAAUAAUAUUCAUCAUUGCCUUAGAUUUAUUUGUGUAAUGUUAGGUCAACAUAAUUGCCAUCAUUCCUCCAUGCAUGUAGUGGAACUUAAGUAAUGUUGUGUUGAUCUGGGCCUAUUUUGGAUGAACAAAAGGCAUGCACAUGCAUGAGAAUCCAAGAAUGUCUAUGAUAAGUAAUCCCGCAGUUGUCAGUUGGAAUAUUUGUGUUGAAAGAUAUUGCUCAUUGAGAAAUAAGAAGACAUAAAAUAGGCAUUCCAAUGAGUACUGCCAUAAGCACUCUCGCUAGUAAAAGAAAACAUUAAUACAUAACAUACAAGAAAACAGAACAUGAGUAUUAAGCAGCUCUUAUUGCAUGGAUACUAAUUUAUCUAUUUAGCUAGUCAUAACAGCUCGGUUCUUGGGAUUGCUAGCCGAUGGAAUCUCUCUAUUGAGGCUUCCCCAAUGGAGGGUGUCCUGGAUAGUGACCAUACGGUGGUUUCUUGGGAGACUCAUGUACUGGUGGUUUAGGUUCGGGCUUCUCUUUCUUUGGUGGCGUGUAAACCGGUGGCUUUGGUGGCUUAGGCUCAUACACUGGUGGUUUCUUUGGAGGCUUAUAAGCCGGUGGCUUCUCCUUCUUUGGUGGUCCAUACACUGGUGGUUUGGGCUCAGGCUGCUCUUUCUUUGGUGGUGUAUAAACUGGUGGCUUAGGCUCAGGCUUUUCCUUCUUUGGGGGUUCAUAUACUGGUGGUUUGGGCUCAGGCUUCUCUUUCUUUGGUGGUGUAUAAACUGGUGGCUUAGGUUCAGGCUUUUCCUUCUUUGGAGGUUCAUAUACUGGUGGUUUGGGCUCAGGCUUCUCUUUCUUUGGUGGUGUAUAAACUGGUGGCUUAGGUUCAGGCUUUUCCUUCUUUGGAGGUUCAUAUACUGGUGGUUGGUCAGGCUUCUCUUUCUUUGGAGGUGUAUAAACUGGUGGCUUAGGCUCAGGCUUUUCCUUCUUUGGUGGUUCAUAGACAGGGGGCUUAUGUUCAUAAGGUGGGGGUUUCACCUUAGGAGGUUUAUAAACAGGAGUAGGGGGCUUCCCAUAGUUGGGAGACUCAUAGGUACCAAAAGAGGGAGUGGCGAGAGCCACAACUCCAAGUAGCAAUAUUAGCAAGUGUGUGGUAGACAUUAUUGAAGUGUUUGCUUUCCAUGGUGCUAUAAGAUGAGCCCUUUUUAUAGUGGCAAAGGAGCCUUACUGUUAGCCUAAUUGACAAACAAUUUUAUUGUUUUCAAACCUUUGGAAUAGUCAGCUAGAUGGUAAUUAAUCUUUUAAAUGGUUCAUAAAUGAAAUAGGGUCCAUUUAGGUCCCCACUUAGUUGAAAUUUUGGACUAUGGAUACACAAGUCUCUGUCAUGAUUGAAUAAAAUUAUACGAGUGUUGCCGUACAGAUCGUAGUGAAAUAACAAAAUAUCAAAUGCAUAAAAUCAAUCUAGUUAUCAUAAAAUACUUAAUUAAUUAUUUUAUUUUGGAAUUAUAUUUUUUCAAUUUAGUAUUUAGGCAUAUUUUUAUCUAUUUUAGCAAUAUGUUACAUUUUUAUUAUCAAUAUUUUAUCUUAAGAUAAAUUGAAGCGAAAAUAAUAAUCUAAGUAUCAAUUUGGAAUAAAAAAAAAAACAAAUCUCUUUAAAAAGAGUCAGAGCUUUGAAUUUUUAGAUGUGAAGAUAAGGUUUUUCUCUUGAAAAAUAUGAACGACGGAAAGAUAGGAGUGAAGGGACGUGAACUUACUCUUCAAAAUAGCAUAGGGUAAUUGGCUAAUUGAUCCUUGGGCUAAUUCAAUAUAAAAUCUUCUAACUUCAUCCCUUGUCAUUUUAGUCCCUCAACCUUUUUAUAGGUAUCUUUGUAUCUUUUAUUUAUUUUUUAAUAUUCUUCAUUUCCGUUUUAUGGUCCAAGUUCAAGGUUUGUGAUUGCCCCUUCCAAUAAUGUGGUUUCCAAGAUUCGAACUUGAGUCCUUCCCUUAGAAAAACAAUUUAUCUUACAAUUGCACCCAACUACUUGUUAAUUCAUAUAUUUUAUUUAUUGACCUUCAAUCAUCAUAGAUUACAAAUAAAUAAAUAAGAAAAUUAAAAUACUUUAUAUAUCCUUUAGAUACAACAAAAACUUGGAGGUUUUGAAAUUUAUAUGAAGAACCAUAUUAUCAAGGAUUUACAUCAAUUAUAUUAUUUUCUUAUUUCUUCAUAUCAUUUCAAUACGAAUGAAUUCACACUCCAUACUUAAAUUCGGAUUUAAUUCUAUUUAAUCCAUAUAAGUCUAUAUAAAAGUAAAUCCUUUGUUUACACAUGCACCACCAUGGUGCUUUCCUUUUCUUUUCUUUUUUUUUUCUUUUUUUUUUGCAUUUUAAAAAAUGUUAAAUUUUAAUUUUGACCUCUCUAUUAUGUCUAAAUUAGGAUUUACAUCAAUUAUAUUAUUUUCUUAUUUCUUCUUAUCAUUUCAAUACGAAUGAAUUCACACUCCAUACUUAAAUUCGGAUUUAAUUCUAUUUAAUCCAUAUAAGUCUAUAUAAAAGUAAGUCCUUUGUUUACACAUGCACCACCAUGGUGCUUUCCUUUUCUUUUCUUUUUUUUUCUUUUUUUUUUUGCAUUUUAAAAAAUGUUAAAUUUUAAUUUUGACCUCUCUAUUAUGUCUAAAUUAGGAUUUACAUCAAUUAUAUUAUUUUCUUAUUUCUUCUUAUCAUUUCAAUACGAAUGAAUUCACACUCCAUACUUAAAUUCGGAUUUAAUUCUAUUUAAUCCAUAUAAGUCUAUAUAAAAGUAAGUCCUUUGUUUACACAUGCACCACCAUGGUGCUUUCCUUUUCUUUUCUUUUUUUUUCUUUUUUUUUUUUGCAUUUUAAAAAAUGUUAAAUUUUAAUUUUGACCUCUCUAUUAUGUCUAAAUUAGGAUUUACAUCAAUUAUAUUAUUUUCUUAUUUCUUCUUAUCAUUUCGAAUGAAUUCACACUCCAUACUUAAAUUCGGAUUUAAUUCUAUUUAAUCCAUAUAAGUCUAUAUAAAAGUAAGUCCUUUGUUUACACAUGCACCACCAUGGUGCUUUCCUUUUCUUUUUUUCUUUUUUUUUGCAUUUUAAAAAAUGUUAAAUUUUAAUUUUGACCUCUCUAUUAUGUCUAAAUUAGGAUUUAGCCUCUAUACUUUAAUUUCUAAUGUAAAUUUAUCUUUAUCUUUUUUAUAAUGAUAUCAAUUAGUACAAAUAGUUAAUAUCGCUAACUUUUCAAUUAAAAUGUGGCUUAGAGAUGAAUAUGUGGCUUUCCAUUUAUUUUUCGAGUUUGUCUUGCUUUUUUUUCUGGCAUUAAUGAUAUUAAUUAAUCAUAUACGGUGUUGAAACUUGAGAUUCAAUAUGUAUAUAUAUUAAUUAAUGACAUAAUUUGUAACGCCUCAAAUCCGGCCUAGGAGAUAUGGCUGUAUCUGGUGUGUCACAUUGAAGUGUUUUUCGAAAACCAUGUUUUCAUUGAAAACUCUUCUUGAAAUUUCAAACUUCUUGCCAUUUCAAACUUGUACAAAACCUUAGUUUGCGUUUGCUUAUUUUCAAUCGAGGUUUAUUAAAGAAACGUUGUUACCUUCAAAACCUUAUUGUUGCGGAAGCUUAAUUUAAAACAAAUGAUUUGCGAAAACGUGUUAUUUAAAAUUUGAGUUGCGGAAACGUAGCGUUUGAAAAUAGUUAUUGUUUUGGAAAAUCGGAAUCUCCUUCUAGCAGAUAAGAAUCACAAUCAAUAAAAUCUCGAAUUUAAAAUCCAGAAUUUUAAAGGCCUUGUUACAACCAGAAUCAAAAUCAAAGUGCUUUAGUAAAUGAGCAAAACAGAAUAAAACUUGUGCAGUUGUGUGGCCCUCUCCGAGUCCCUCGCAGCUCUGAACCGUCUAACGCUGAGGAUUACCUGAAAGUAGGGGUGAGCAAAACUCGAUUCGACUCGAAAAAAUAAAAAAAAAUCGAAUUUCGAGUUAAACGAAUCAAGUUAUUCGAGUUAAUCGAGUUAUUCGAAUCAACUCGAAUUUUUUUUUUCGAAUUUCGAGUUCGAAUUGAGUUGAGUUUUCGAAUUCGAAUAACUCGAAUAACUCGAAUAAUUCGAAUAAUUCGAAUAUCAAACUAUAAUAAUUUACAUUUUUACCCCAAAACUCCCAAACCUUUUUACUUUUCCCUCAAAACUUUUACUCCUUCCUACUUUCCCCCCAAAACUUUUAUUCCCCUCCCAACCCCCUAAUCUACCCAAAAUCCAUUUCCCACCAAAAUUUUACUCUCCCAUUUAUUUUUUCUCAAAAUUUUACUCCCAAAAACCCUCAAAACAUUUUAUUUUCCCCCAAAAUUUUUACUUCCUCUCACUUUUCCCCUAAAACUUUUAUUCCCUUCCCAUCCCACCUCCCAUCUAUCCCAAACCCUCCCCCCUCCAAUUUUUUUUUAAUAUUUUCCCUCCAAACUAUUUACUUUCUCUCAAAAUUUUAUUCUCCAAAACUUUUUAUUUUUCCCCUAAACUUUUACUUCUCACCCUUUACUCUCAAAUAAAAAAUCAAAAUUAUCCAAAAAAAAUCACUAAACAUAAAUAGUAAUAAUUUUAUUUAUAUCUACUAUUUAUAUUAUUAAAUUAAAUUUCAAAUUUUAUAUUAUUUAUAUUAUUAAAUUGUUUAGUCAUAUUGAAUAUUUAUAUUAAAAUUGAAUUAUUAAUUAUGCCAUAAAAUAUUCGUGUUAAAAUUUUAUAUUGGUAUCAAUUUCACAUUUUUUUUAAAAUAACUUUUAUUAAAAAUCAUAUUUUUUACAUUUAAUAUAUUUUUUUAAUUCUAAAACACAUAGUGACAAGAAUCUGAAGAUAAUUGAAACAACUAAGCAAGCAAAGAAGCUAAUCAAUAUAUAAAAAAUUAAUAAAUAAAUUAUGAAGUGAUGAAAGUUAAUAAAAAUUUUGAUUAAGGUGGACAAAUUUUAUUACGAUGGGUGACAAUGGUUACUGUCGAAACCAUUUUUUUGAAAACAAAAAUAAGUUAUCGACUUUGAAAAUAAAAAUUGGAGUCGCCACCGAUCCUUGAUUGAGUGUGAUCGGCUCCCCUUAAAAACAUUUGGCCUGCGAAUUUGAGAAACAGGUUCGGGAGUCAGUUACGCACGANNNNNNNNNNNNNNNNNNNNNNNNNNNNNNNNNNNNNNNNNNNNNNNNNNNNNNNNNNNNNNNNNNNNNNNNNNNNNNNNNNNNNNNNNNNNNNNNNNNNNNNNNNNNNNNNNNNNNNAAAUGAUAAAACAUUCUCCGUGAAUGGAUCUAAAAUGAUAAAACAUUCUCAUUUCAAAGAAAUAAAACACCACACCCAGUAAGUUAGGGCACAAUAUUUUAUAUCUUCAAAAUACCGAAUAUUACUUUUUGUUUUAGAAAUUCUUAUUUCGAGAUAACGAAAUGUCACGACCCGAGAAUAAGGUUUUAUUUGAAAAUUGCAAAUUUAUUGUAAAAUAAAUACUUAGCUCGUUAAAUUCAUCGAAAAAAUGAUCACGAUCCAGUAAGUUAGGACACGAUCUUUCUCGAGAACCAUGAUUGCUAAAUAUUUAAAAAUUAAAAAAAAACGAUUUUAAUGCUUUGACGAAGCAAAAAUAGAUUUUUCUUUAAAAGUAUGAUAAAACGCUAAUGCGUAACAUGAAAUCAUUACUCUAAUUUAAAAUAUACCUAUAUAUGUAUACAAAAAUUAUAAAAAGAACAUAAUCAUAAAAUAUAAUGAGUUGUCAUAAAAAUAAAAACGUAAGCAUAAUAUAUUAAUAAUUAUGAAAAUAUAGGUAUAUAUGUAUAUAUAAAAAUAUAUGAAAAAUAUAUUUAUAAAAGUUUUGAAUAAUAUAUGUAUAUGCAUAUAUGUAAAAAAUAUAUAUUUUAAUUUCUUUUAAAAAAAAUGAAAAACGAUGUGAAAAUCAUAAAAUGUAAGUAUAUGUACGUAUGCAUAUAAAACUAAGAAAAGUAAAGUAAUAAUGAAGUAUAUGAUUUGUACAUAUUAUAAAAAAUGUAUAAACAUAUGAAUUAUAAAACAUGAAAACAUAAAUAAUUAUAAAAAAUAUGAAUGUAUAUAAUAUAUAUAAACUAUAUAUAUAUAAAAAAAUAUGGUAAUAAAAUAUAUACGCACUAUAUAUAUAUAUAUAUUUAAAACAUUUAGAAAUAAAAAAUAUACACAUAUAUUAUAAAGUACACAUGCGUGUAUAUAUGUAAGUAUAAUAAAUAUAAAAAUAAUAGUAAUAAUAAAAAUAAUAAUAACUAUUAUUAUAAAAUAACUAAAAAACUUAAAAUGAAAGAUUAUGGAUUAAAUUGAAAAUAAUUGAAGUUUCAGGGGCAAAUCUGAAAUAAACAAAACACCAAUGGAUCAAAUGGAACAUGCAGUUAACAGUGGAGGACCGAAAGUGAAAUUAAUCCCUCCGUCCAAAACUCCACGCAGCAAUGGAUUAAAAUAAAACAAAUUCAACAUUUCAUGGCAAAAUUUGAAAACAAACCACAAUGAUUUUGAAAUGAUGGGAUAAAAUGAAGGAUUAAAAACGCAAAUAACCCAUCAGUGUUUAAAACCCUUUUCAUCUCCAAUUAAAAGUCUACUCUGCAGCAGCAAUANNNNNNNNNNNNNNNNNNNNNNNNNNNNNNNNNNNNNNNNNNNNNNNNNNNNNNNNNNNNNNNNNNNNNNNNNNNNNNNNNNNNNNNNNNNNNNNNNNNNGCCACGCCAGCCGUUCAAGCUUCGCCGCCGACUCCGAUUCAGGUAAGUUUCGUCCUUUUCUUUUUGCUUUUUCUUUUGCACCAAAAAUAGAGAAGCAAAGAAAAAAAAAGUAGAUAAAUAAAUAAAGCACAAAGAAAAUUACCUUCAAAAAUUGUUUUUGAUUCUUUGUUUGUAUUUCAGUAUUUUUCCAAUACAAGAUUUUUCUCUUUUUAGUACAAAAUUUUUCUAACCAAGUUACAGAAAAUCAUUGGCCUUUAUAUAGCCCUCCCUAAAUCCUUUUACAACUGUUUUGCUGUGUGUAUAUCCUAUUAGUGUUGUCUGUGGCUUACAUAUGUGUGAGCGUUGUGCGAGUGGACGUGCCAGCGAAGAUGUGGGACAGUUUGGGAGGCUGCCGAACGUGGGGCAUGCACGGCACUGGAGGUUGCUGCGACGUGGGGUGGCUACUGCUAACUGCUACUUAGGGUUAGGCUAGGGUUAGCACACUUGGGCCUUAUUGGGCCAAAUGUAAUUGGGUCAGGAUUGGCCCAAGUUUUAUUGGAUUUGAUUGGUUAAUUUGGGCCCCGGGUUAAAAUUGGCUAUUACAGUUACAAGGAUCCAAAAUUAUUUUUUAAAAUUUAACUCGAACAAAUAUAUUCGAUUCGAUUCGAUUCGAAUUCCAUCUCACUCGACUCGAUUCGAGAAAACUUCAAAUAAAGUUAGGAUGAUAAAAUGAGAUUCGAAAACUCGAUUAACUCAAAAAUUUCCGAUUCAAUUCGAUUCGAUCGAAUGCUCACCCCUACCUGAAAGGUUAAAAACAGGGUGAGUUUACAAAAACUCAGUGUGUAAUCCCCUAUCAUUCAGUCAGUAAUAUAAGCAGUAAUAGUCUAGGCCUGAGCCCUUUUCAAUAACAAAACAACGUGGCUUUAGCCCAAAUCAGUAAAAGUGUAGUGUGGGCCUUAGCCCAUUACAGUAUCAGAAUUAGAAACAAAAUACAUGUGGGCCUAAGCCCAAUACAGUGACAGAAUCAAUAAUAGAAAUGCAACAAUGCAAUCAUGCAACCCAUCCCAAUCCAGCCAACACACUACCCGUACCAACUAACACACCAUGUAGGGAUAAAAUAGACCCACCCAGCCAAUACACCAAUAUCAGCCAACACACCAAAAUGGCUAAGAGAAGUAAACAGGAUAGCUAUAAGCUAUAAACAGAAUGGCUACAAGCCAUAAGUACAUAAUAUGAUUGACACAAAGCCAUCAGUAGCAGUGAUAUGAUUGGCACACAUCUAUCAGUAACGAUAAUAUCAUCGGCACAAAGCCAUCAGUAACAGUCAUAUAAUCGGCACAAAGCCAUCAAUAGCAUUGCAACAAAGCUGCCAACAACAGUAUCGCAGCAAAAAUGCCAGUAAUAGUAUAUGUGGCCAAGCUACCAGUAACAGUGAUUGUGGCAGAGCCACCAGUACAGUACUUCUUCCAUAACUGUAUCCCAACCCCAUGCAGUAUGUCGUGUAUGUAGAAUGCCAUACUCAGAAUCAGUCAUACAAAUCACAGACAAAUCAGUCAUACCAUUCACAGACAAAUCAAUCAUUUAAAUCACAGGCACAUCAGUCAUUUACAUCACAUACAAAUCAAUCAUUUACACUCGAGGGGCAAAAUAGUAAUUUACCCUCCAGGGGCAUUAUGGUCAUUUUACCUUACAGGGGUAUUUUGGUCAUUUAAACCUAUGGGGGUAUUACGGUCAUUUUACCUUAUGGGGGUAUUUUGGUCAUUUUAUCCUAUGGGGGUAUUUCGGUCAUUUUACCCUAUAGGGUAUUUCCGUCAUUCUACCUUAUGGGGGUAUUUCAGUCAUUUAACAACCUUUUUGAAGGUCUACAGUUACCUCAAACGACACAGAUAACCUAAAUGGUCAUAACAGUGUAAAUGGGCCCAAGGCCCAUAUUCAGCCUACGUGGGCCCACACGCACGUGUGGCCCAUUUAGCUCAAAUUCAGUCACGGCUAUGCAAACUACAUAACCCAGUCCAGUAUUUUCCACUUAACGUGGAUUUUAUCUGUGUGGAGCCUACGAGCCCAUUGGGCCAACACGACCCAUUUCAGCCCAACGAGGCCUAUAACGGCCCAAGAGCAUAAGAACGCUCGUGGUGGCCUCAAUAGUCUAGAUCCCGUAUUCGUGGGCUCGAUUCACCACAUGAACAUUCACACGGCCAUGUGGCCUCAAUCACUGUAUUUUCACCUUUUCGGCUUUUGCCGAUUCACAAAAAAGACAGUGUGAUUACACACCUGAUGCGAUUUACAGAUUCCCUUCGUUCUGAACACUCUUAUUCUGAAAAUCAAUGAUCAUCGCACCCUUGGUUCCCAAGCAAAGUGCCAGUCAACCUCGACCACCACCAGUUAGGAAUGGAAGCAAUGCAGGUUGGAGAAAACGAUGAAAACCUUGAAAACCUUGCCGAUCUCCCAUAACAAGAAACAAAUGAGGUGGAUAUAUAUAACUCUCCACAAUAACAACCUCCUCAAAUCUCAAUAUUCUCUUCUCAAAUCUCUCCCCUUAUCACUCCAUCGAUUUCUCCUCAACUCCCUCUUAGGGGUGUGCAUAAUUCGGGUAAAACUGAAAAAAUUCAGUUAACCGAUCGAAUUUGGUUAAUCGGUCGGUGAACCGAAUUUUUUUGGUCGGGGGUCGGUUAAUUUUUUAUGAUUUUUCGGUUAACGGUUAAUUCGAUUCAAAAUCGGUCAGUUAACCAAAUUUUUUCGGUUAACCGAAAAAAUUAAUAAAUAAAAUUAUCCAACUCAACCCAAUUACCCAACCCAAUUACCAACCCAACCCAACCUAAUUACCCAACCCAAUAAAACUAAAACUAAAGUUUACCCAAUUACCCAACCCAAUAAAACUAAAACUAAAGUCUACCCAAUUACCAACAUAAUAAAAAUAAAACUAAAGUCUAACUCUUAAGUAUCUACCCAAUUACACAUGUUUUUUUUUUUAGGUUUAAUGCAAAUGGAGAUUUUUUGGAGAGAAGAAAUGGAUAUAAAUGGAGAAUAUUAAAGACUUACAUUUCAACUAUGUGUUAAUUUCAAGAAUUAUGUAAUGUUUUUAAUUAUGUAGUGAUUCAAAGACUUAUGUAAUAUUUUUAAUUAUGUAGUGAUUCAAUUCGGGUAAUUCGGUUAAUUCGGUUAAUUUUUAACCAAAAAUAAAAACCAUACAAUUUUCGGUUAAUUCGGUUAACCGACCUAAUUAGCUGAAAAAAUUUUGGUUUGGUUAUAAAUUUUGGAAGGUCUGUUAAUUCAGUUAUAGCUAUUUCGGAGACCGAUUAACCGAAUGCACACCCCUACUCCCUCUAUGACCAGUUCAAACUUCCUUCGGCAGUAUUUCACUCCAACUCUGCCACUUACACGGCUCAAGCAACAAAAUAAACACCCCAUUGCACAACCCAAGACUUAAACCUCAAAUCUUACAAUUACAUAACAUGCCACCUUACCACUAAACCACAAGCUCUUUUUAUGUUAUAAAAUAGACACUAAUAUUUAUAAGGCCUAAACGCCACUGUCCAGAUUCAAUUAAGAGCAAAACCAAAAAUUCUGCAGAAGCCAAAACUUGAACCCCUAACUUCUUAGACACUUUCAAACACUCCUAAAUCACUUAACCACUGAAGCAAACAUUUAUUCAUAUCACUUUCUUGCACAACUAAAUAUUUAUGUGCAGUUUUCUAACUGUUCCCUUGUUCAAAACCUAUUUCUUCUAGGCCCAAAAUUCGGGGCAUUACAUAAUUUGUUCAUUUUACUUUUAUAAUGUCAUUAGUUUUUCAAACUACAAAAUAUUGUUAACUAUUUCAAUUAAAAUGCCGACAUCAAUUUUUCUUAAGAAAUACUAUUCCAACAACAAAAAAUAUAUUUUAUCAUGAUAAGUUCAAACAAAUGUUUUUUAAAAAAAAAAAGUCCACCAAUAUUUUCAAUGUUGUUUUAUUGUUACAUUACCACAAAGAUUUUUUUUAAAUUUCAAAAUGUCACACCAAUAAAUUUAAUAACAAAAACUUAACAAUGGUUAUAAUUGAAUCUAAAUUUUUACUAAAAAUAGAGCGAUCAAAUUUAUGAAAACAAAAAUAAAAAAUUAAAUUUCAAUUGCACGAAAUAUAUAAAGAUUUAAUAUAGUUUAAUCUUCAAAUUUUUAUUUCAUAAUUUAACACAACGAAAUAUAUCGGAUCUAUCAAUGGAAUUUUGAAAAAAAAGAAUCAUAGGAGUGAGUGCCUAACACAUCAAUCCAAAAGCAGCGUUAAAUUAAGAUUAGGCAACAUAUGGUGAAAGGCACCCCCACUUGAGAACAACGUAAAGAUAAAGUUGUUAAAAAGCUUUAAAUUUCUAUGCUUUUAAUCUCACCAAAUUCAUCUUUUCUCAUUACUGUAAUCAUUAAUUUAUAAUUAUCAUCUUUUCUAAUUACAGUUAAAACUUUGAAAAAGAUCAAAAGUAGAAUUCUUUGUCACUUCUGAAUUAACUUUUCAAAGCAAGACAUGGAUGCCUGUCGGUGCCAAAAAUAUAAAUAUAAACUAAUUUAUGAAUUUCAAAUUUAAUAUUUUGUUUGUGUAAAUAGUACGUCGGGAAGUCACCAUCGUAAUUGAUACUUACAUCUAUAUAUUAUUUAAUAAUUAACUAAAAUUUCAAAGUAUUAAUAUAAUUGAUUUUUAUUAAUUUUUACCAACAAUUUAUUGGAUACAUCAUAUUUUCAAAAUUUUAAGACAUUAUUGAAUAGAGCACAUGUAUAAUAAAACAGACAUAAAAAAAUUCAUUAGCAUCACAUUUAUAAAAUAUUGAAAUUAUAACUCAUAAAUCGAUUCAAUUGUUAAUUUUUGUUGCUAUUUUUGGAUUUUUAUCAAUUACAACGUUUUGUUUAAAAAUCGAUUCAAUAUUCGGUAAAUUUCUAACCUAAUCCACCUAAUUAACUUAACAAAUGGAUUUCAACAACCUACUAAAACGAUGGAAUACACUAGAAAACGUGGGCUUAAAACAUGGAUCUUGAAAAUGGAAAGGAGCAAAACACAGUGCAGGAAAGUCAAAGUGAAAUGAUGGUUUCAGUCUUUUCUUUAAUAAAAAUAAUAUAAGGGUAGAUAUUAUUUAUGGGAAUGAGUUAUUUACUAUUCAUUGGUGCUGCUUGAUAUAUCGACGACACCACUUUCCUUUUCAGUUAAUUAUUAUGUAACAUUUAUUUUUAAAAAAUUAUUGGUACCGUAAAUGUGUCAGGUUAAAAAAAAUUGGACUGAAAGAGAAAAAAAAUAAGUUGUCAACGUUACGGGAUCGGAUUUUGAAUUGUUGGCGGCACCAAGAAAAAUUUCCCUUUCAGUUUUUUUCUCUGACUGUACUUUUUUUUAGAAAUACCACUGGUGUCACCUAACACACUGGCGGCACCAAUUAAAAAAAAUUGUCUCAGCUUUUUUUUCUUGACAAUAUUUUUUUUACAAAAAUCACCAAUGUCGCCUGAUAGACCGGCAGCACCAUGAUUUUUUUUGUUAUUUUCCCACCCUAUAUACCCAUAUUUUCAAGAGUAUUUUGCUAAAUACAUACGAGUGCCGCCUGAUACAAUGACAGCACCAAUAAAAAAAAUUUUACAAAAAAGAUGAUUACGUGAUGAUUGACUGAAUAUGAGGUGGUGUUGCCUAUGUCACACCCCAAAAACCAUGUUAGAAUAAUCGUGUUUGUGAAAACCAAGAGUGGUCACACCUCGAUUUAUAUGGUUAUCUUUGUGCGCUUGUAAAUAAAUCGAAGGCUUGAAAUGGAUACCAAAAUUAGGGUAAUAAAUAAUUAAUUAAAGUAUUAAAAUAAUAUAAUCAAGUUUUAUUAUAUUAAUUAAUAUAAAACAAAACUUGAUUACGUGGUUUAAUUUGAAAAUAGUGUGUUUUAAUUGAGUUAGGACCUAAUUGGAAAAAAAGGAGAAACAGGUGUUGGGAAAUGUGCCCAUAUUGUAGUAAACAUGUAAUUAUUUUCUAUUUAUUUGAAUAAUGAAUAAAUAAAUAAAGUUAAUUUUACAUUUUACUAUUAUGUCUUUUGUAUUUAUGUCUUUUAUAUUUUGUACGCAUAACAAAAUUGUGACAAGCAAAUAUUAGUUCAUUGAUUGUCUAAAGUUCAAACUGAAGAUAAGUGGCAUUGUAAAGAACGUUUACAUUGCGAGAAAGACAACUUACUUCAGUAGAUAAUCUAAAUGAGUCUGUAAUCCCUUAAAAGAAUCAAGAUGAGCAUUUAACUCAAAUACUGAGAAUGACUAUUAUGUCGUUUACAAUUCUAAAUGGGGAGAUGGUUAGUCUUGGAUAUCGGAGCAGUUGACUCCACGAGUAGAGACAUAGAUGUAUUUAUUGGUAGAAUGAUACAUUGGACUGGACCCAAGAUGAAUUAAUUUUAAAUGCGUUUGUGAAUUAAUUCACUUGUGACGUUAAUGGUGUGAUUUACCUAAAUCCUGUGUUAGUCACUGACCAUGCGUAUGCAACUCGUGUGCUUUAAUAUAAGUGGAGGCUUAUGCUCUAAAGAUGAUCGAGCCCAUAGCCGACAUUUUGGGUACAUGACUUGUGUAUGGCAUGGCUUUACUAGCAACAGUGGAAUUCAUAGAUCAAUUAAAGAGUUAAUGAUAUCCUCUCAUUGGCAUUGUGUGGAUUGAUAAAUAUGGAACGUGGUCACGAGUUGCUCGUUUUUGAACGAGCAAUUUAUCACAGUCAUUUGUUGACAGUGAUCAUAUUAAUCAUUAAGAAGACACAAUGGUGACAAUGAGAUAAAAUAGGAUUGUAUUCAGUGAACGGAUUUAACUCAAAGGAAUCAAGGAUAUCAUAUGAGGGUAACACACACAUGACGAGGUCAUUGGACAAAGCAGUUGGAUGAAUUUACACACACUUGAAUUCAAGAGAAAGUUGUAGAGAGAAAAUUCUCUGAAGAGAUUAUUUCAAAAAAUUUCUAAAGAUAUUUUUCUGAUUUACAACUUAACUCAAAAGUUUAGAGAAAUUGCAAAAUUACCCCACUGGUAAUUUUUGUGAAAAUUUUUCUUAUUCGAAGGUAGCCCACACUCAGUAGACGUGAGCUUGAGGAUAACAGAGAAGACUACUCAGUUGAAGUGCUUAUCCUAGACGAAUAAAAAAUGUACAAUUUUUAUUAAGUGUUUAUUACUUUAGAUAUCACAACCAAGAUCUUGUUUUCAAAAAAAUUUUAAAACUCUGGUUUUUCCCUAAAUUUAUUUUUCACUACAUUUUUCAAACCCGUUUUUCCAACAACAGGGGGUGGCCAAAUGGGAAAAUUGCCCAAUUUUUGGGAAAUUGGUCUUCUAUUAAGAACUUUCACCGUCUUCUUCUUCCCUAUCCUAACCUAAACCCCCAUCUAAGUUCCGAGAGUAAGUCUUUCCUAUACAUGUUGCUUUUGUUGAAAAGUCACGCCUAAGAAAGUUAGGUUGUGUUGUGUGGUGCUAUUACAAUAGGUAAUAUGUGAAAAAAAAUGUGAAUGUGAUAUGUGGUAUACUAUUUUUAAUGCACACAUAUGAGAUUUGAUUUAUGAUAGCUCAAAGAGCAUUAUUGUGGCACUUAGAGUGCAAUUAAAUGUGAUUCUGAUAAGCAUAUAUUGUGUACAAGAUUGUGGUGUGAAGGGAUGAAUAUGAAAAGAGGUUAUGUGCAUUAAAACAGUAAUUAAAUAUGGGUAAUUGUGGACAUUUUAGCCUUGUGAUCUCUUAAAAUCGUAGGAUAUAAUUGACAUGCCAAUAGAGAUUAUAUGUGCCUUUUGUUUUGGAAGGGUGUGAUACGAUGCCUUAAGGCUGAGCACUUUUGUGCUCUUUGGUGUUUUAGAUGGUUACCGUGUAUCUCAGUCAUUUUAUUAGAAUUUACUGAGAGAAAUAAAUUAAAAUAUUAAUAAUGAGACUUGACUACGAGUAUUAAUUGUUAUAUAUAAACUAAAGUGGAAUGUACUAAGAACUAUAGGUUAAAUAAGUUAAUGAAAAAUUGAGUAAAUGUAAGUUAAUAAAGAAUAUGUAAGUUGAGCCCCUUCUUCCCAUUUCUUUUCUUUUAAUUUUUAGCAACUUAGGAUAAAAGCUACACUAAAAUAUAUAUAGUUAGGUUUAGAGAUAAAACAAGAAAUAGCCUUCAGGUCUAAAGGUUAAGAGUUAGCUUCCCUCCCUUGUGUUCAUAGGUUCAAGCCCUUUCCUUACCUUUUUUAUUUUGGGAAUUCGACAAGUCUCCUAAAAAGAAAGCAAUAUUCACAAUUAAGUGUCUAAAUUAGGCAAGAAAUGAGCUAUAGGCUCCAUGGUUAAAGCGCUAGAGUCCCUCCAGACCUAAGUUUGAGCCCUCUUCUUCUCUUUUUAUUUCGUAAUUUCAUCAAAAACGCCCCAAAUUAUACAUAUAUAAGAUAAAGUGUCAAAAAUAAGUAAGAAAUGAACUAUAGGCUCAACAGUUAAGUGGUUAGUGCCUCUCCCUAAAGACCUAGGUUUGAGCCUCCUCCUCCCCUUUCAUUUCAAACUCAAUUUCAAUAAAACUUGGGAAAAUUGUAUGGGACACCCCUAGGGUUUGUAAACCCUAGGAAUUUAACUAAUUCUUUCCUAAUUAGAAUUAAUAUAUUGCCCUUUUUCAAAAUUCCAAUAGAAUUAGAAUUCUACCAUUUUUACUCUUUUUUUCUAAUUAGAUUUUCAUAUUGCCCCUUUUCAAAUCAUAAUAGAAUUUGUUCUCUAUCCUUAUAUUUAUUCUCUUUUUAUUUUAUUUCCCUUUUCUUUACACCAUAUUUUCAUCCUAAUUAUUGAUAAUUAUUUUGCUUUCCAAUCAAAUAAUCUUCCAUUCAAUCAUUCUCUUUAUCGAUUUUGUAAUUGUCGUCAAUAACAUCCCUACCAAGAAUCGAUAAGUACAUCUCAUUUUCGAUGUUUAAAUCCCGAAUUUUCAUAGUAUUUUUAUCUAACGUUAAUCUUGUGUUUGAUUAAACAAUCUUUUAUGGUUCUUACCAAAUCUUUUGCAAAUCUUUCCCAAAUAUUGAUACCAAUCGUUAAUUUUGUAUAUUUGUCGUUGAAAGACCUAAUUUAGGUGAACCGAAUCAGAUUUGAUCAUAAGGAAUGUUGACCGAACCCCCAGUGAAAGGUAUGUGUUCUUUUACAAGUGAAUCUAGACAAAACGUGUGUAGGAACAGGGUCACACGCACGGCCACCACACAACCAUGUGCCACUAUUACGUUAGGGUACUUCGACUUUCACAUGGCCAAAAACCUUCCACAUGGCCUACCACACGGCCGUGUCUCUCCUAUAGGUUAAUUUUUGCAUUUGUCAAACGAAUACAAUCUGCUACACAGCCUAGGCACACGGCUGUGUAACCCUUCCACACGGCCUAUAGCUUCUCACACGGCCAUGCCAAACGGCCGUGUAACCUCUAUUUUAUAGUUUUGCCUAGAAAUUUAUGAUAUGUUCAGUUUAGUCCCUGUAUAUUCUCUGAAUUAUUUUUAGAGUUUUAUUUUAUCAAUAUAGUCUCUAAUAUAGUGUUAUUCUAGAAUUUUUGAUUUAAUAACUAAAGUGUAAUGGUUAUAUUGUAUAAGAAGUGAAUAUUUCAUGCUACUAUUAUUGUGAAACAGAUAAAUUGUUAGUGUUAACAUUGCUACCACCCUAUUGAAUACAUGUUAAGCAUGUUUACUGUUAGUGUUGAAUUGAAUACAUGUUACGGAUGCGGCAUUCGAAGGGCUCGAAAUCAUUUUUUAUAUAAAAGUAUUUUAGGCAUAUUUUUAUAUUUCCUAUUAUUUUGGAACUGUAUUGCUUUAUUUAAACUAUGUCAUGAGACUUAAGUUAGGGUUUAUUAGUAUGCAUAAAAUUUAAUUUGAAUUUAGGAUAUUGAAUCAUGGAUUUAGAAUUAAUUAUGUAUACAAUAUUUUUUUAUUUCACUUAAUUAAAACUAGGUUGAAUUUCGAAUUUCCGCUACUAGAUUAUGAAUGAAUUGAGUAAUAAAUAAACGGGAAAUUAACUAAGUUCUCAAAGUAGUCACUGUUAUAAAGAAACUGUUAAACUUAAUCGGUUUCUAUUAACUUGUGAGUUUUUUUUAAAAUAAGUCUUCUUCUAAAAUAAACAAAUGUUUUAAAAUAGCGGUUUUAUAAACUCCGAUAGCUUACUAGAUUAUUUUGGUGGCCAAUGUAAUCUUCCGAAUUCGGACCUAACGUUUAGGUCAGAUUGAGGAGGUUACAGGCUAUAUGUCAAGUGGUACCGGCGGAUACCGUAACAAACAGCCCAUUCCCGUAAAUAAUUUCUCCCCAACCUAUUUUUGUAAUUUUUUAUUUUUAUAUUAUUUUUAUAAUAAUAAUAAAAACCCUGGUUUCAAGGAUUUGACAACUGUAGGUACAUAACUCUUGCAGCUGACAUGAACGCCAAUCUUUUCUCUAAUCAAUUUAAACCUUUAAUUAUUUCAUAAGCCGAAAAUUUUCUGCUUUAAAAUAUGUUAUAAUUUUUUUUAUUUUUUAAAAAUUAAAAAAAUUAAUUUUUUAUAUAUUAUUUUCAAAAAUUUUAUUUUUUAUAUUUUUAAUUUUAAAAAUUCAAAUUUAAUUGUUAACAUUGUUAAAAUUAUUUUGUUCAUAUUUUAAUUGCAGGACUAUCAAGUAAGUAUUUUUUUUAAUUUCAAAAUAUCAUACCAAAAAUUUUAACCAAAAUAUUUAACAACAUUAAUAAUUAAACUUAAAUUUUAAAAUCUAAAACUUACAUAAACUCAAAUCAUAUUUUAAUAAUUCUUUCGCUUCUCGAACAAAUGGUGGGGCAGUGGGGGAAUUUCGUUGAUAAGGUUAGGUAAACACAUGAUCCCAAUUGAAAGGUUAGGUAAACACAUGAUUGAUGAUAUGAAUAUAAUUUUAUACAGAUAUGUUGAUUUUAGAAAAAUAUUAAAGUAUUAUAUUUUGUACUUGUAAUAACCCAAUUUAGCUCGGGACCAAACAAACCAAAUAAAAAUAAAAAAUAACAGUCGAAAGUCCAAUUACAAAAAAAAAAAUAGAUCCCAAAUAGCUCAAAUCUAAAAACCUAAAGGCCAGUGGCCAAAACUAUUUUACAAAAAGCCAAAAACCCUAGGGUAUCUGGUGCCGCUGUCCCCUCAAGGCGCUCCACCCGAGGCCCCCUUCGUCUCCCGAGGUCUGACACCCCUACUGCCGUUGCACCAAAAUGGCAAAGGUGCACAUCCCAUCGCCUUCUGUUGACCGCGCUAAUACCUGCAAAAAAGAAUGGAAAAGGACAGAAACAAGGACAGAAGAAACGAAAGCAGAAAUAGUAAAAACAGAAGCAAGAACAGCGACAAAAUCAAAAAAAUAUGAAUUAUAAACAGUGUAUAGUGGCUAUAAAAGCCAAAGAAUAGAUUGUAUUCGAGAGGAGAUUUUUUAAGAAGAAGAAAUCAUAUACAAAUAUUAAAAAAAAGGUGAUUUACUUUUUUAUUUUUAAGAUUAAAAGCAAAUAGAAAUUAAUAAACAAUAAUAACAUCUUUACUAGCUGUUCCGUCCGGGUGCCGCUGUCGGUGUCACUUCCGAUCCACGAAGCCAUCAAAUCCCUGGGGAUUCGGCCAAGGCCGCGACGGAGGACGUCGAGAGUUGGAGGGUCUUUUUCUUUUUCAGGAGUUUUGGCCUUAUUCUGGCAAUUUCAACUCCGAAUCGGAGUUCUACGCAAAAAAGGGGUUAAAAGGGAUUUUUUUGGGUGAUUUUUCGGCCACCAAAGACGGUGGUCACUGUCACCGGUGGCCACGACGAAAAACCGCCGUUCCUUGGCCGGAUGCUGGAAUUAUUUGAGGAAAAAAAUGAAAGAAUGUUUUUUUAAAGCGGGCGAAAAUGAAUUUUUUUUCAGAAAUUUUUAAUUUUUAAAGGGCUCCAACACAACGUCAUUUUGGCCUGGCUUCAGAAGGCCCAAAACGGCGUCGUUUUGACACAACCCGAGGCCCGACCCGAGAGCUGGCAGGAUCCGCGUGUUUUCGUGGCAAAGGGGCUUAUUGCGGCCCUAGUCCUUCCGCUUUUUAAUGAUUUUCCAAUCCAGUCCUUUUCUUUUUUUAUUAUUUAAAAUUUAUGCCAUAUAAUUUUGAUUUUGUCUCAUUUUGGUCCCUCUUGGAACGGUGUGUUUGAGGGUCUGGGAAUAAUUUCCCAACUUGUCUCUGCUCCUUUUCGCGCAUCACAUUUUAGCCCCUUUAUUAUUUAUUUUAUCCCAAUUUAUCUUUUUAAUUUCAUUUAAGUUACAAUUAAGUCCUUUUUUAUUUUAAUUCUUUUAUUCAUUGAUUUACUUAUUUAUUAUUUCUUUUAUUUUAUUCAUUUAUUUACUUAUUUAUUUAUAUAUUAUUCAUCUAUUUACUUUUUAUUUUAAUUCUUUUAUUCAUUUAUUUAUUAUUCCUUCACUUUUUUAAUAUUUAAAUUUUCUUUUCUUUUCUUUUAUCGAGUAUUUAUUUAUUUUUUCUUUUUUCUUCUUUGGUGCCUUUACUAUUAUUAUUACUAUUUUAUUAUUAUCUAUUUAUCUACUUAUUUAUUACCUUUUAUUUUUUAUACGUACUUAGGAAUUAGAUUGUAUGCAUGCUUUUAUUGGUGCAUUUUUUUGUUUAUUAUUGUCAUUAUUGUCAUUAUUAUUUUUUAUUUUUUAGUGUGUUAUUGUUAUUUUAUUAUUUCUCUUAUUAUUUUUGUAACUGUCAUGUCAUGUCCAUUUAUCUUUUUAAUCAUGCAUCUUUCAUUUUUUUUUAUCUUAAAUUACUUUAUUUAUUAAUACUAUAAUAUGAUUAUAAAUAUUAAUACUAUUAUUAUAAUUAUGUUAUUAUUACUAUAGGAUUCCUUUAUUUAUUUACUAUUUAUCAUUCUACCCACAUAGCCAUUUUAAAAUUAUUUCAUUAUCACUAUGUCAUACAUUAGGUUUAAGCAUUUAUCUAUUUGUAUAUUAUGCUCGAAUAAGUUAAAUGCACAUCACUUUGGGUGUUACAUUCGUUUUUUUCGCACGAUGCAUAAAAAAAGAAAUUUUAUAAACCAAGGCAAUGUUCAUUAUUUUUGGAAUUAAAAAAGUCGUGUUCCUAACUUACGGAAUAUGACUUCUUUCUAAAACCGAAAUAGUCGAAUAUCUAUUUCAAAAAUAUAAAAAUGAGAUUUAAGUAACAAUUAAAGCAGCGAUUAUUCUGGUUUUCGUAAACUAAAAGCUUUGUGUCCAAACUCACGGGGCAUGAUCCUUCUUUUCGAUUAAUUCGGAAUAAAGUUUUUUCCAUUAAAAUAUCUUAAUACAAAGGGAUCGCAUUUUAAAUUCUCUUCAAAUUUUUAAUUUUCGACAUUAAGACAUCAAGUAAUCAAUUAGGUACCAAUUUGGGGCGUAACAAGGGUGCUAAUCCUUCCUCGUGCGUAACCGACUCCCAAACCCAUUUUCUGGAUUUUGUAGACCGAAAAACAUUGUUUUAGUAAAUCAAACCUUUUAUUAAAACAAUCAAAUUACAAGGUGACCCAAUCACACCUCCUGAAAGUGAUUGGUGGCGACUCCCAUUUUCGUUUUUAUUUAAAAUAAAAAGUCGAUUACCAAAAAAAGGGUUUCGACAUCUUAGCGACUCCGCUAGGGAUAAAAUAAGAGAGUCAAGCCGCAAGUUGAUUACUUUUGGUCUUUUUUGUCGAAAAUUGAUAAUUUGGUUUAAAUUUAUGAUCCCUUCGUUGCAUUUCAUUCUUCAUUUUUGUGGUCUUCAUCAUUUUACAUAAUGGUAUGUUUGCUUCGAGUCUCUUGGUAUAUUUCUGCAUAUUGCAUUGCAUAAUCAUUCAAUUUUACCCUUCUUAAGUGGGAGUGAGAAGCUAUUCCUUCGUGAGGUUUUCGCCUCCGUAUAGGAUAGUGGAUCGCUUUCGGGAUACAUUUGUACCUAUGUCUUCGUGAGAUCUUCAUCUCUGUAUAGCCAUAAGGAAAUGUAUUCUCCUGAACCGAACUCGGUCCGUAUGAGCCUAUAAUGGGUGAGGAUUGAGGAAUCUGUUGGUUCAGGUACCCUUACUUUGGAACCGAACCGCAUAUAAUGAGCCCUAAGAACCUACCCUAGGUAGAACCAUACUGAACCUCUAGUGGUCACCCGAAUAGGUGUUCUAUUUAUUAUUUCUUGUUUUGUAUUCUAGUUUUAUAUGAAAUGUACUGACUUGUUUCGUUUUGGUUGUGAUUGCAUUGUAUUUUCAUCAUAGAAAAUGGUGUUAAUUCAUGUUCAGUUGCUAAAUAGAGAGUUUGUCAUAGAAAAAUGAUUUCUUGAUAAAAUGAAAGAUAAUAUGGCUGUCCAGAUAUGGUAUGAGAAGACACAACAGGAGAAGGGCAACAGCCUGACGGAGAGGUGCAUGUCAGAGGAUUUCACACGCAUAAGUGUGACUCAGAAUAAUUUCCAAGAAUUAAAAGAGGUAUGGGACCAAUGGAAUGAUGAAACCAAACAGUUAUUCUAUUGUAACUAAGGUAAUUUGCCCUAUUUACUCGAUGUCAAAGUGGAUAAGCACUUAUUCCGAGCUAUUGCCCAAUAUUGGAAUCCCGCCUAUAGCUGAUUUACUUUUGGGAAGGUAGAUUUGGUCCCCAACUCUUCUACGGUGGAAGGUAGAAGACAAAACUUAUUCUAGAGCCGCCAGCAUCUCGACUUUCUUAAAAAAAGCUAAUGAGUAUAACUAGGAUGAGCGAGCAAUAAGUCACAGCCCGAAUGAAACAAAAGGGAGAUAGCAAAUGCGUCCCUUAAAAAAGUUUACAAUAUUUGAUCUUGGCAUAUCUGGAUAAGAAGAAAAGAGUCGACCUCUUCACCUUGAGUAUUUACGGGUUCGUCAUCUUCUCCAAAGCCCUAGGGCAUAUCGAUGAGGCAGUUUUAAAUCUAUUUGACCAACUUGACAAAAGGGUCACACCCGUCCUAAUAAUUUUGGCUGAAAUUUUUAAAUCUUUGAGUGCAUAUCAGAGAGUGGGUGAAGGAAGAUUUAUCGGGUGUGCCCAACUCUUGUUAGCAUGGUUACAUAGCCACUUUUGGAAGGUAGAAAAGGUCUCUUAUCGAGUAUUCUCUGAGAACUAUCCUUUGUUGAAAGAGUUCGUGGCUACCUCAAGGCGAGACAACAUUUCUGAAGAAAAAUGGAUUACGAUUCUCCAGAAUCUCCAGGACGAAGACGUUGAAUAGAAGGCCCCUUGGAUGAUCACUGAAGAGAUUUUGUAUAGAUGUGGAGACUUCGACUAGGUUCCUCUACUUGGGAUAUGGGGAGCUAUUGGAUAUGCCCCUCUACUUGUAUUGAGGCAGUAUAGGUCGAGACAAUUUAUACCUCCAACGCAAAGGUUGGCUCAGUGUGAGUUUCCGUACAAGGUUGAUAAUUACAAGAAGAAGGUUCGUGAAAUAUCAAACGCUUAGAACCAAACUCACAAAAUGAAAAGAUUUACCGUAAAUCUCAUGACGACCCCCGAAUAUGAUUGGUGGUGGGGUAAAAGAGUCAAUGACAAUGUCCCCAUGUCAAGUCAAGAAAACACUCAGCCAAUAGAAGAACACCUACAAGUGAUCUCGUCUGAGCUAGAGGUCAUAAAACAAGACUUUGAAAAGAGGAGUUUGGAGCUAAGAAAAAAGUUAGAAUAGUUGGAAGAGGAAAAGAUGCGGCUAGGCUUAGACGUCAACGUCCAAAAGUUAGAAACUGAUAAAAUGAGAAAAGAAAAGAAUGAGGCUAAGGAAGACUUAGACGGCUUAAAAACAGAUUAUAAGAAACUACGUUUGUCGAUGAAGACUACCAGAUUGGGUAAGACAUCAAAACAAUGGCGGCAAGAAAUCAAAGAAGAAAAUAUUAAAGUUGAUCAAUAGGAAAAGAAAUUCCAAGAUACUUGAGUUCGAGAAGAUGCUCUAGAAAGGGAUUUGUUAGAAAGCCAAAAUGAAAAGGUUGGAUUGAAAGCCCGGGUAACAGAAUUAGAAAGGUCAUUACAUCAAUAUCGUAGUCCCAACUCCGCAUUUGAGUUGAAAGCAAGCCUAAAUAAGAUCGAAGAGUUGAAGGGAAAGAUAGAAUAGCUCGAGACCGCACUGUAAAAUUGUAAACUUCGAGUUGAACUUCUUGAAACGAACAUCGAACACUGGAAAGACCAACUCUAACACUCUCAAGGUCAGAUUAGGGAUAAAGAUCACAUCAUUGGUGAAGCUGUGACACAAGUACGAAAAGUAGCCUAUCAUUUGCAAACCCUAGCUGUUCAAGCCAAUAUACUAAGCUUAAAGUACGCAUUAGAAUCAGAUUGGGGCUAAGAAUUAGCUUAGCUUCUUAGGAAAGUCAAGGCUUUGAGUAUUAGGGCAAUGCCGUAUAUGUAAAAUAUUCAUUUUAUGUAAAGAGAUCUGAUUUCUAGUAAAGUUGUUCUAAUAGAAUUAAAUCAGAAUCAAUGCCUCUUUUUGUAUUCAUUUUAUUUAUCAGCAUUACAUUUUAUCAUAUGCAUUAAACUUCAUAAAAAGAACCUAAUUAAUCGAAAUUAUGAUAGUUACCCUGAAAACCAACAAGAAUCUACCAACUAACUAUCGUUGUGGUACUCGCGGUAAAACCAAAGCAAUGGAUCAAAUAUUAGAGAGAUUAGAACAAAUUCAGAAAGACAUGCAAGAUCAGUUGUAAGCGUAGCUACAGGAACAAUUAGGUAAAGUACAGUAAGACAUGAGGGAUCAAAUACAAGAGUUCCAACGAAGCAUGAUAAGCCAGUUGACCCAAUUGCUAGCCUAGGGGAUUGAAAAAGGGAAAAGUAUUGUGGUUAACUCUGGGGAUGAUAAUGAAGACCCUACAUUCCCUCAAGCUUUACCUCGGUGGAUGUCUAAGCCCAACCAGACACAUAUCCACGAAGGGUACCCGUUACCAUAAGACCUCAACAAUAUCAAGCAGGCACCUCAGCAUUGGUGAACUACCUAACCGGUUUACGGAUAACCCGACUAACCCAGUUGUUCUCAAUUUGGAUGACAUGGCGGAAAUGAAUAAAGCAAGAGUAAAAUUAUCGAAACAGCUAGAAGAUUGGUGCAAGUGGUUGAAGGAGAAAUUCAGAGCUAUGGAGAAUGUUGAUUACCUUUGCAGGGUCGAUGUUAAAGAACUGAGUUUAGUCCCAAAUCUAGUACUCUCACCAAAAUUCAAGACUCUAGAAUUCAAAAAUUAUAAUGGGACUAGUUGUCCUGAAGCCCAUAUCAUAAUGUUCUACCGAAGAAUGAGGGAUACAUCAAUAACGACCAAUUAUUAAUCCACUACUUCCAGGAUAGUCUGAUAGGGUCAGCUGCCAAGUUGUAUAACCAACUAAGCCAUGUCAAAAUCAACUCAUGAAAAGACUUGGCACAAGCUUUCAUGAAACAAUACAGCCAUAUGACUAACAUGACACCCAACAGAAUUACACUGUAAAACAUGGAGAAGAAGUAAAGUGAAAGCUUUAAGCAGUAUGCUAAGAGAUGGAGAGAGGUGGCAACACAAGUCCAACCACCUUUUCUGGAGAAUGAGACAACAAUGCUUUUCAUAAACACGCUGAAAGCUCCAUUCAUUAACUAUAUGUUGGAAAGUGCUACUAAGAGCUUCUAAGAUUUAGUAAUGUUCAGAGAAAUUAUUGAAAAUGCAAUAAGGAGUGGGAAAAUAGACACAGGGGAAAACACCAAAAGAUCAGCCCCAAGAAAAAAAGAAAAUGAAGUGAACACCACGAGUUUUUAUAACAAGAACUAUUCAAAAUCGGUCACUAUGGGCCAACCAAGGACCGUAACAACCAACUAUCAAGGCCCCUCAAGGCAAGAAUCUAACUCAAGGCCAAACACAGAAAAACUCUAAUUCACACUCAUUCUGAUAACAUACAGAGAAUAAUAUUAGAAUUUGUUCGACGCGCAUAUGGUAUCUCCGUUUUACUUAAAACUCAUGCAACCUCCGUUCCCAAAAUAGUAUGAUGCAAAUGCUCAAUGCGAGUACCACACAGGAAUAACUGGACACUCAAUUGAGAACUGCACUUCAUUUAAAAAAUUGAUUGAAAAGUUUAUCAAUAUAGGGAUAGUAAGGUUCGAUAAUCCAUCGGGACCUAAUGUGGCAAGAAAUAUAUUACCCAGUCAUUCAGAUCAAGGGGUAAACGCGAUAAUUGAGAGUGAAUGAAAGAGGACCAAAACGAUGUGGCGGAAGUAAAAACCCCACUAAAGUAAGUUUGGCUAAAGAUGAUAGACGUAGGAUUAAUCAUUCAAGAUUCAGAAGAAGCACCUAAAGGGAUGAGGAGCUACUGUGAGUUCCAUGCUGGAGAAGGUCAUGAGAUCUAGAAGUCCACUAAAUUCAGAGUUGUGGUGCAAAGUUUGAUAGAUAACAAGGAGUUGGAAUUCUUUGAAGGCGUCAAAGGCUCAAAAUGAGGGGAUAUUUGCGCCUCAGAGGAAAGAUCAACGAAGAAGGUCUACAAGGUCAACCACCUGGUGGUGAUUAUUUCACGGUCAAGAAAUAAUGAAGCAGGAACACAAACUGCUCCGAGAGUCAUAAUUCAAAAACUCAUGGCUUUUCCUUAUAAGGAUAGCAAAAGUGUUCCAUGAAAUUAUGACUACAACGUAAUGAUCCCAGGAGAUGAGAAUUCAGUUAACACUUCAGAAGAGAGCCAAGAUAUUAGUUUCUUCACGCACAAUGGAAGGCGCUAUGACCCUGCAAGUCAAGAACCGAACCCAUUAAAGGAAAAACCCUGGCAGCUAAACAUAAGAAAGAAAAAACGGCUAGAAUGGAAUCCCCUAUUAACAAGCCAGUAACUGAGAACGAGGCUAAGAAAUUCUUGAAAUUCUUGAAACAUAGCGAGUAUAAUAUUGUAGAAUAGCUACACAAACAAUCAGCUCGCAUAUCGGUGCUACACUUUCUCUUGAGCUUAGAGACACAUCGUAGCACGUUGAUGAAUGUGUUAAAAGAAACUUAUGUCACUGAUGAUAUCUCUAUAAACAAGCUAGACCAUCUAAUUAACAAUCUGAAUGUCGAUAAUUUCAUAUUUUUCAAUGACAAUGAAAUACCUCCAAGGGGUAUGAGAUCCACAAAGGCUCUACAAAUCACUACCCGCUGCAAAUGAUAUACGUUGUCAGGGGUGUUAAACGAUAAUGGAUCUGCACUGAAAGUCUUACCUUUAUCCACACUGAAUAGAUUGCCAGUGGAUAGCUCUCAAAUGAAGACGUGCUAAAAUAUAGUGAGAGCAUUCGAUUGUACGGAAAAGAGGAUAAUGGGAAGGAUUGAAAUACCUCUCUUAAUUAGUCCGAACACAUACGAGGUAGACUUUUUGGUGAUGGAUAUCAAGCCCUCUUAUAAUUCAUUGUUGGGUAGGCCUACAGUUGACGGUUGGAAAAGGAGCCUUACCUAAAAGAGGACUCAACAAAUACCUUCAAGGGAAAGUUGAGGCACCAAUGCUAAUGGACAAACGAGACCAAUUUGGCUUAAGAUACAAGCCAAGUGCGAGACAAAAGAAGAAAGAGCUAGAGAAGAAACAAGGAAUAAGAAGAGUGCGACUGAGUGGGGGAGAAGUUAAAUGGGAACCGAAGACCUUUCCCCAUAUAUCCAAAAUAUUCGUGCCAGGAGAAACCAUUUAUCCUGAAUGAAGAAUGUAAAAAAACCCAGAAGGAAUAUUGGGAAACUUGAGCAUCAAUGAUAUAUCAGAAGAAGGAAUUGGGGAGAACCUAUCAGGCAUUUGUCCUUAUAUCCCCUAAAGUUUUUUGAACAAUUAGACUGUGGAAGAGAUCCCUGUAAGUUGUAGAACUAAUUCAGAGUAAUGUUUAAAACACAUUUAUUGCUCUAAGCCUAGGAGCAAAAAGAAUCUUUUUUGUCAAAAAGGCAUAUGUCCAUUAUUUUUAUUUCAAUAAAAUACAUCAUUAUGUCUCAUUUUGGGCAAAUAUUCUUUUAUUUUUUUCAUUUCAUUCAUACUCAUACCACACAGAUAAUUAUUCUUAGAUUCAUUUAUUCUUUGGAUCUUCCUUCACUUCUAUAACAGGUCUCCAGAUAUCAAUGAUAUGAGCAACACUACUACUGACUCAGAAUCUCCUUUUGAGGAAAAUAUUUGUCUAGAGGAACCUCAAGACUUUGAAGAUGAUCGAGAUUGUAACCUAUCUCCUGAUUUGUUAAGGAUGGUAGAACAAGAUGAGAAACAAAUUCUACCUUACAAAGAGUCAGUAGAAAUUGUGAGCUUAGGAGACAAACAAGAAAAGAAAGAGGUGAAGAUCGGAGCUUGCAUCACCGCAGAAACAAAGCGAGAUUUCAUUGAGUUACUCCAAGAAUUCAAAGAUAUUUUUGCAUAGUCGUAUCAAGACAUGCCUAGUCGAAGUACUGAUAUCGUGGUACAUCGGCUUCCCAUAAUAUAAGAAUGUAAGCUAGUUCAAUAGAAACUCCGAAGGAUGAGGCCCAACGUCCUGUUAAAAAUAAAAGAAGAGGUUAAGAAGCAAUUCGACGGGGGUUUCCUACAAGUGGUUAAAUACUAAGAGUGGGUAGCCAAUAUAGUCCCCGUCCCUAAGAAAGAUGGGAAAGUACAAAUGAGUGUGGAGGACAGGGAUUUAAACAAAGCCAGCUCGAAGGACAAUUUUUCAUUGCCUCACAUCAACACCUUAGUGGAUAAUACGGCAUGUUAUUCACUAUUUUCUUUCAUGAAUGGCUUCUCUGAUUACAACCAGAUAAAGAUGCAUCCUGAAGAUAGGGAAAAGACCACAUUUGUAACCAUGUAGGGGACAUUUUGCUAUAAAGUGAGGCCAUUCGGACUAAAAAAUGCAAGAACGACGUAUCAAAGAGCCAUGGUAACUUUGUUUCAUGAUAUGAUGCCAAAAAAAUCGAGGUUUAUGUAAAUAAUAUGAUUGUAAAAUCUCGAACAGAAUAGAAGCAUGUGCAAGUCUUAAGGAAACUGUUCUUGAGGUUGAAAAAAUUCCAAUUAAAGCUCAAUCCAACAAAAUAUACCUUCGGGGCUAGGUCAAGAAAAUUGUUAGGAUUCGUAGUCAGCGAAAAGGGGAUCGAGAUUGACCCAGACAAAGUCAAGGCUAUACAGGAGUUCGAGAUUUCUUAAUAAGUUCAAGGUUUCCUAGGAAGACUAAAUUACAUCGCCCAGUUUAUUUCCCAACUAACGAAGAAAUGUGCCCCCAUAUUUCGUCUCCUUAAGAAACAUAAUCCAGGUAUAUGGGAAGAGAAAUGGCAGAAGACUUUUGACAAGGUCAAACAUUACCUGUCCAAUGCCCUAGUGUUGAUGCCACAUAGCCCAGAUAAGCCGCUGAUAUUGUACUUGGCAGUAUUUGGAAAUUCUAUAGGAUACGUGCUUGGCCAGUAUGAUGAGUCAGGGAGAAAAGAAAAAGCGAUACAUUACCUCAGUAAGAAGUUUAGUAAAUGUGAGACAAGGUACUCGCCAAUUGAAAAGUUGUGUUACGCAUUAAUCUGGCUAACCCGGAGACUGAUUGUACCAUACAACUUGGUUAAUCUAAAAAAUAAACCCUCUAUAAUACAUGAUGGAGUCGACUACUCCGAAUGGAAAAAUAGCCCAAUGGAUAAUUUUGCUUUCUAAAUUUGAUAUAAUCUAUGUGAACCAGAAGGCAGUAAAAUAGAGCGCAAUAGCAGAUUUUCUAACCAGUAAAGCUCUAGAAAAUUACGAGCUUUUAAAUUUUGAUUUUCUAAAUAAAGAUCUAAUGUAUGUCGCGACUACUGAAGAAGGUGCUCAAAAAGAACAUCUCUAUAAACUAAAUUUUGAUGAGGCUUCAAACGCUAUGGGUAAUGGAAUCGGGGCAGUCCUGAUAUCCCUAAAUGGAUAUCAUUAUCCUUUUACUAGUAAAUUAGAUUUUGAUUACACAAACAAUAUGGCAGAAUACGAAGCAUGCAUCAUGGGUAUCCGUGCAGCCAUAGAACACCAGAUCAAAGUACUGAAGGUAUAUGGGGAUUCUGCGCUAGUGAUCUAUUAACUCAAAGGAGAAUAGGAGACGAGAGACCCCAAGUUGACCAAUUAUCGAAGGCUGGUUCUUGAGUUAAUUAAGGAGUUUGAUGACAUCACCUUUUGCUACCUCCCGCGAGAUAAAAAUAAGAUGGCUGACGCCCUGGCUACUUUAGCUUCCAUGAUCAAAGUGAACAAACAAGAAGGUGUAAAACCUAUCCAGAUGAGUAUUUAUGAUGCUCUGGAUCAUUGUUACAACAUCGAGGAAAAAGAAAAAAAUGAUCACCCUUAGUACCACGAUAUACUGCGGUAUGUGAAUAACCGUGAAUACCCAAAACAAGUAACCGAGAAUGAUAAAAGGACACUACGGAGAUUGGCCAAUGACUAUGUCUUAGAUGGGGAGAUCCUAUAUAAGAGAAGAAAGGAUCAAGCGCUAUUAAGAUGUGUGGACGCUAUUGAGGCUAAAAAAAUCUUGGAAGAAGCCCAUAAGGGUAUUUACGGAGCACAUGCUAAUUGUUUUACAAUGGCCAGGUAAAUCAUGAGAUUCAGGUAUUAUUGGUCCACCAUGGAAGGGGAUUGUAUCAGUUAUGCCAAAAGAUGUCAUAAAUGCUAAAUUUAUGGAGACAAAACUCAUGUGCCUCCUUCACCUAUUCAUGUUAUGACCUCUCCAUGGCCUUUCUCUAUGUGGGGCAUAGAUGUCAUUGGGCCGAUUUUACCAAAAGCUUCUAACAAGCAUCAAUUCAUCUUUAUGGUCAUCGACUACUUCACCAAGUGGGUAGAGGCCACUUCUUACGCCAAUGUCAUGAAGUUGGCAGUCAGUAAAUUCUUAAAGAAAGAGAUCAUAUGUCGAUUUGGAAUGCCAAAAAGGAUCAUAUCUAACAAUGCAUUGAAUUUGAACAACAGCACGAUAUCGAAAGUCUGCAGUCAAUUCAAGAUCAAACACCACAACUCGUCACCAUAUCGCCCAAAAAUGAAUGGUGCAGUGGAGGCAGCCAAUAAAAACAUUAAGAAGAUCGUGGUGAAAAUGACCGAGACUUAUAAAGAUUGGCAUAAGAAGUUACCAUUUGCCCUCUAUGCUUAUCGAACAUCUGUCAGGACCUCUACUAAGGCAACAUCUUUCUCAUUGGUUUAUGGAAUGGAAUUGGUUUUGUCCAUUGAAGUCUAAAUUCCUUCUUUCUGAGUUUUUUCAGAGUUAAAGUUGGAUGAAGCAGAAUAGAUCCAAUCUCGAUAUGAUUAGCUGAAAUUGGUUGAAAAAGAUGGUUGAAAGCUAUCCGUCAUGGUCAGAUGUACCAAAAACGAAUUAUGCGAACUUAUGACAAAAAGGUCCACCCCAGGGAAUUCCAUGAGAGAGAGCUAGUAUUGAAAAAGAUCCUGCCUAUGCAAAAGAACUUCAGAGGGAAAUAUAUGUCAAAUUAGGAAGGACCUUAUGUGGUAAAGAAGGCCUUUUUUUGGAUGAGCGUUGAUUCUAACAGAGAUGGAUGGCAAAUCCCUGCCUAAUCCAGUGAAUUCAGAUUCAGUCAAGAAAUACUUCACCUAAAAAACAAAGAGGAGAGGCCAAGGUGAAAACCCGCAAAGGGCACUUUGAGACCAAAGAGGUUCUGAGUUGAAAACCUAGGAAAGGGCAGCUCAGAUUUAGAUCGAAGAUUGAACAUGUGGUAGCCGCGUCCUCUUAAAAAAAUAAACGUUGCAUCUAGGGGCAUCAACAAAAUACUCUAGAUCUCUUAGACACAUAUCAAGCUCAAAAUAGUCUCAAGAAGUUCGUACAGAGAAGUUCAUGCUACGAUAUUUGGGGCACCUAUUUUCAUCUUACUCAUUUUUGUAUUUUAGCAACGUUUGCUAUUUUGAUUAAUUUAUUUCAUUUCUAGCUUUGCUCCUAAUAAAUUUCAAUCUUGUCCAUUGUUACGAUCUAUUUCAAGCAUUUUUCAUUGAAAUAACGAUUAAUGGACUAAUAAUAUUCAAGUAAAAGGAUUUCUACAUAUUGCCCUGGAAAGUUUCUAAAUAGUACAAGAACUUGAAACAAGACCACUAGUUAGAACUAACCAAAUCUAAGGGUUGGAAGCAUCGGGGAACAUAUUGUUUAAAUUAUGAUUAAUUAUUCAAAUUUUUUGUCAAAGAUAUCAGAUUUGAACAAUGUCAGUGAUGGAACCUUGACGAACAAUAAGCCAUGUCAACCUAAGUACUAAAAUGGGGAUCAUUCUCAAAAGAUGGCAUUCUGUAUUUACGCAAAUAUCAUUCAUAUACAUCUAGUUAGGAGCAUUUGAUUCAUUUUGAUCAUAACAUCCUAAUCGCUUGGCAUAUCAGUGAAACCACAAAUCCUAUACCCUUAAAGUUGUAGUGGGUCGGGUUGAAGUCACCAUAGUAAAUCUUAUCUCCCUGAAGUUGCAGUGGAGCAGAUUGAACUUACCAUGGCGAAUCUUAUCUCUCUGAAGUUGUAAUGGAGCAAAUUAAAGCUACAAAUCUUAUCUCCCUGAAAUUGCAGUGGAGCAGAUUAAAGCUAUAAAUCUUAUCUCCCUGAAGAUGCAGUGGGUUAGGAUGAGGCUACAUGAAAAAGAGAAACACCAAAAAAGUCAAGAUUCGUUAAGGCCAGGCAAAAUUUGCCCUUUUUAAAGUUUUUGCUCCAUUCUCGUUACACGUCAACGAACAAAGAGGGGCAGUUGUAAUAGGCCGAUUUAGCCCGAGCCCAAACCAAAUAAAAAUAAAAAAUAACAGUCUAAAUUCCAAUUACAAAACAACAACAAAAAUAGCCAAAUAGCCCAAAUAUAAAAACCUAAAAGCCCAGUGGCCCAAACUAUUUUACAGAAAGCCAGAAACCCUAGAGUUUCUAGCGCUGCUCUCCCCUCGAAGGCGGACCACCCGAGGCCUUCCUUCGUUGCCCGAGGUUUGACGCCCCUACCGCCGUUGCACUAAAAUAGCAAAGGUACACACCCCAUCGCCUUCCGUUGACCGCACUAAUACCUGUAAAAAAGAAUAGAAAAUGACAGAAACAAGGACAGAAUAAACGAAAGUAGAAACAUAAGCUAGAACAAUGACAAAAUAAAAAAAUGCAAUAUAAACAGUGUAUAAUAGCUAUAAAGGCCAAAGAAUAGAUUGUAUUCGAGAGGAGAUUUUUUAAGGAGAAGAAAUCAGAUAUGAAUAUUAAAAAAAGGUGAUUCACUUUUUUUUUAAGAUUUAAAGCAAGUAGAAAAUAAUAAAUAAUAAUAUCUUUAUCUGUUGUUCCAUUUGGGCACCGCUGUUGAUGUCACCUUCGGUUCGCAAGGUCGUCGAUUCCCUGGGGAUUCAGCCAAGGCCGCGACGGAGGACGUCGAGAGUUGGAGGGUUUUUUUCUUUUUUCUAGAGUUUUGGCCUUAGUCUAGCGAUUUCAACACCAAAUCAGAGUUCCACGUAGAAAUGGGGUUAAAAGGGAUUUUUUGGAUGAUUUUUUGGCCACUAAAGACGGUGGUCACCGUCACAGGCGACCGGUGGCCACGACGGAAGACCGUCGUUCCUUGGCCAAAUGCUGGAAUUAUUUGAGAGGAAAAAAUGAAAGAAUGUUUUUUAAAGCGCGGCGAAAAUGAAUUAUUUUUCAGAAAUUUUUAAUUUUUAUAGGGCUCCCACACUACGUCGUUUUGGCCUGGCUUCAGAAAGCCCAAAACGGCGUCGUUUUGAUGCAAUCCGAGACCCGACCCGUGUGGCUCAAAUUACAUGCCCGUGUGGCCUAGACACAUGCCCGUGUGGCUCAAAUUUGAUGAAUAGUAAAUUACACGACCAACCACACGGCCUGGCACACGGUCGUGUGGCGUCGACAACCACAUUUUUCGUUGUUCAAAAUUCGCAAAGUUAAGGGUUUUCGGUAUGCAUCUGAAUUGAUUUCAAAGCAGUAACAAUAUAGAGCGCUUCCAAAGCCUAAAACAACCACUCAAUCAACUCACUUUAACAACAAUAACAUAAACAAUAACAUACAAUUAUAAGCAGAAUACUGGUGUUGAAAGUUUCGACACAAAACCUUCAACGAAAUCCACACUUACCAAAAGAUCAACAACGAUUGUUCGAAUUGGCGUUUUGAGGUUUGCUACUUUCGAUAUCCCUGGCUAAGAGGGAAACCAACCGACCGAUUAUUAGAAAAAUCACUCGACAAACACGGAAUACCCAAUUAAAAUUGUACCACGAAGUAUAAGAAGAAACUGCGAAUUCAAUCGCAUUUAACAAGGAAACUUACUUAAUAGUCUUUCAAUCGACACAACUAAAAAUCUAACUUCAAUUAACCCCAUAUUCCUUACGGCAGUGAUCAAAAAUAAAGGACAAGGAAGAAGAACCGAAAGAAGAAGAAGAAGGAGAAAGAGAAAGAAAGAAGAAGAAAAAACAUAAGAAAUAGAAGGAAAACAAUACAAAAGAAGAACUAACGUUAAUUAUGACUUAACUUCCACUCAGAUUCCUGGCAUUUAGCAAAAAUGUUCCCUACCGCAUACUCCGAGACUCAAACACAAGACCAAAUAAAAUACAAAAGCUUUACCAGUAAACCAACAGGCGCAUUCUUGACAUAAGUUUACACACAAUUAAACUUAAAUGUGACAUUCAAGGAUAGAAGCUAUCUUAAAUGAAAAUAACAAAAUUCCUAAAGAUGUAACUUGAACUCUUAACCCCAAUCACAUAAACAGAGCACAGAAUCAUAGAUACAAAGACUCAAUUACAACAAAAUCUAACAGUCAAACAUUAAAAUUUUUGGGGCGUUACAGUGCAUAAAUCAAUGACUUUGAUGGUUUAGUCUCAUAUAUCGGUGGUUUCUUUGGAGUCUCAUAAAUGGUGGUUUGGGUUUUGAAUUUUCGUUCUUUGGAGGUGUAUAAAUUGAUCAUUUAGGCUUAAGCUUCUCUUUUUUUGGUGGCUUAUAUAUUGAUGAUUGGGAUUCAGACUUCUUUUUCUUAUAUAUAAAUAUGAAGAAUGAUUAAAUUUUAGUUUUGGUCCCAUUAAUAUGUCAAAAGUUGAGUUUAGUUUCUAACAUAAUUUGGUCUCUAAAUUUUUAUAAUGCUAUUAAUUAGUCUUAAAAAUUAACACAAUUUUAUCUUUUUUUUUAAAGUUCGCAGUCACUUUUUAGACAUUAUAAAACAAUGGUCAAAAUUUUAACCCUUAGGCUAUACUAAAACUUGAGAUUGAAUCUAUACUUUAAUUUUUGACAUAAUUUGACUCCUCUACUUUUAUAAUGUCAUUAGUUAGUCUAGUUAGUUAAUAUCGUUAAUUCUUUCAAUAUAAAUCUUGACCUCAAUUCUUCUUAAGAACAUUCUUUCAAUAAAAAAAUUUAUUUUAACAUGACGAUUUCAAAUGUGCGUUUUUAAAAUAUAUAUAAUUAAUAUUUUUAAUAUUUUUAUGUUACAUAAUAUCAAGUGAUUUUUUUGAAAAUUUUAAAAUGUUACUCCGGACAAUUUAAUAGAAGAAUUAUAACGGUGGUAACAACUAAACUUAAAUUUUUAUAUCGGAAAAGUAGAGGACUAUAUUCUUAAAAAUAAAAAGAGGAAAACUAAAUUCUAAAUAUAUGAAGCAUAUAAGAAUUUAGAGCAUAUUUUAAUCUUUAAAUUUUUAUUCUAUAAUUUAACUCAAAUAAAUAAACAACGAAGCAUGGACAGACAACUAUACUAAUAAUUAAUUAGCAUAUAUUUAUAAAAUUUUAUUCACUACCAUAAUAGAAUUCUGAAGACUUCUAACUGUUUUAAAAGUGGGUAGUGAAUGAGAACAUAGUUAGACAUUUUCAUAAUUAUUGGACUUGGUGUAACUAAUUAUGAGGAAAAAUGAGGUCUCAACAUAAUUCAAAUAAAACAACUUCAACAGUUUUCACCAACCAAAUCUCCAUGCACCAAAAAAACUACAAAAUCUCUUUUGACGUGUCGGUUCUAAUUAUAAAAUUAGUCAAUUUUAGUCUUAGUACUUUUUAAAAUUAGUUUUGUAUUAUGUGUACAGUUGUAGAUUUGGUCCAUAUUCUUUAAUUGGAUCAUUCUAAGUCUCUUUACUUUUCAAAUUUUGAAAUUUCAGUCUCGAUAGAAAUAACAGGUGUUGAUUCAUUAACUGAAUUUUUAGUGAGUAAUAAACAGAAAUAACUAGCUGACAUGACAUUACACAUAUAAUAAUAUGUUUGGAACAUCAAAUUUUUAAAAUAACAAAACUUAAUAAAUUUAACAAUUAUCAUUUGAUGAUGACAAAAAUUUUAAUUAAAUUCACACCUUCCACAAAAUUUAACUUUUUGGAAACAAUAACAAAACAAAAAAGACACAGUGCAGGAAAUUCAAAAGAAAAGGCUAAUUAUUUCAAAGAUUUGAUAUUAACCGAAUUAACCGACCCUUUUAAACCCUUAAUCGUUAACCGAACGAAAUUUUUAAAAAAAAAUUUAACCUAACCAAACUUUUUCGAUUAAUUUGGUCGGUUAACCGAAUUAACUGAAAUUUAUAUAUUUUUUUUAUUUUUGGUUAAAACAAGUAUAAAACAUAUAAAAAAAAUUAACCAAAUUAACCGACCGAUUAAUUUAUACUUCCAAAAAAUUAACCGAACCGACCGACCCCCGAUCGAAUACUUAUGUAUUAUAAUAUUAUUUAUUAAGUUCGGUUAAUUCGAUUAACUGACUGAUUUCGAACCGAAUUAACCAUUAACCGAACUUCCAAAAAUUUAUUAACCGACCGAUUAACCAAAUUCGAUCGGUUAACCAAAUUAAUCCGAUUUUAUCCGAAAUUUGCAUACCUCUAGCUGCAGGUGACUCUGACUCCCAUUUUAAACCUCUAAAUAUUUAAUAAGCUGGAAUUUUUCAGCAUAUUCUCAAACAGAAUGGUGGGGUUGUGGGGGGACCUUGCAUGGCAUACCUUUGAAGACAAUUUCAUAGCCUUGGUAAGAUUUGAAAAUUUGCCACAUAAUAUUAAUAUAAUUAUUAAUGAAGUUUUGGUAGUAAUGAAAAAAGUUGAGAUCCUACAGUUUUGAUGUCGUAAGUUUGAAUAUCAUUCUUCGUAAAUCAUGUUGAAUUGUCUUUAUAUUUAUUUUGAAUUAAAAUUCACACAUCUCAUUAUAAAUAAUAUGAUUACAUUAAUUAAUAAUUUUUUAAAUUUUGGUGAAUUACAAGUAGAGAGCAAAGCCUUAACAGCAAUACGACUAGCACAACUCGAACCCAAAUCACACUUGAAGUGAUGAAUAUCUUAAUUAUCAGGCCAACAGAUGAGUUUAAUUUUUAACCUAUUUUAAGCCUUCAUUUAAUCCCUCACACAGCAUGUACUAAAUAUGAAUAUUUUAAAAUUCUUUAAUUUUUUUUUUUUUACUUAUUUGAAGGAUCCUUAGAGUAACAUAUUUGGUAUUUAAGUAAGAUAGGAAUGGGAUACCUUUGAUAAAUCAUUACUAUUUUUGUUAUCUUAGACCAAAAAUCUGUCCUGCACCAUUUCUCGAUGCAUAUAGAGUGGAACAUAUAUAACAAAAGUUGAGAUGGUCUGGAGCUAUUUUGGAUGACCAAAAAAGACAUGCAAAUGCAUGAGAGUACAAGAAAAAAAUAUCUAUGAUAUGAUGCAUGACAAAUAGAAUAUAUGUUGAAACCAUGAUAUUCUCAUUGAGAAACAAGAAGAUACAGAAUAGGCAUUCAUUCCAAUGAUACUGCCAUGUGCAUUCUUGCUAGUAAAAGAAAACAAUACUACAUGACAUACAAGAAAACAGAACAUGAGCCGGCAGCAGCUCUUAUUGCAGUGAUAAUAAUUUAUCUAUGUAGCCAUAGUAGCUCAGUUGUCGGGAAUGGUUAGCCGAGGAAAUCUCUCUAUUGAGGCUUCUCCAAUGGAGGGUGUCCUGGAUAGUGACCAUAUGGUGGCUUCUUGGGAGACUCAUAUACUGGUGGUUUAGGUUCUGGCUUCUCUUUCUUUGGUGGUGCAUAAACCGGUGGCUUUGGUGGCUUAGGCUCAUACACUGGUGGCUUCUUUGGAGGCUUAUAAACUGGUGGUUUGAGUUCUGGUUUUUCUUUCUUUGGAGGUGCAUAAACUGGUGGUUUAGGCUCAGGUUUUUCCUUCUUUGGUGGUUCAUACACCGGUGGCUUGUGUUCAUGCUUUUCUUUCUUUGGUGGUGUAUAAACCGGUGGUUUAGGCUCAGGCUUUUCCUUCUUUGGAGGUUCAUAUACUGGUGGUUUCGGUUCAGGCUUCUCUUUCUUUGGAGGUGUAUAAACUGGUGGCUUAGGUUCAGGCUUCUCCUUCUUUGGUGGUUCAUAAACCGGAGGUUUAUGUUCAUAUGGUGGCGGUUUCAGCUUAGGAGGAUUAUGAACAGGAGCAGGGGGCUUCCCAUAGUUGGGAGACUCGUAGGUACCAAAAGAGGGAGUGGCGAGAGCCACCACUCCAAGUAGCAAUAUUAGCAAAUGGGUAGUAGCCAUCAUUGAGCUUUUUGCUUUCCAUGGUGCUAUGAGAAGAGCCCUUUUUAUAGUGGUAAAGGAGCCUUACUGUUAGCCCCAAGUGUCAAACCAUUUUCUAGUUUUAAUACCUUUCGAAUUAGUCAGCUAGAUGUUAUUAAAUCUUUGAAGUAAUUCAUAAAUGAAAUAGGGUCCAUUUAGGUCCCACUUAGUUGACAUUUUAGAGCAUGGAUACAUGGUUAGUCAUGGUAGGAGAAAUUUAUACAAUUGUGCUAGUAGAGAGUGAAGAAAAAUUAGCUCUUUCUUAAAACGAAAUUUAUACAAGUGGUUUUAUUUUAUUACUUUUUUGUUUUUAUAAUUUCAACUAUUUUGAUAUAAUACUUAAAAUUAUUUAUAGUCCCUUUCCAACUCAUAAAUAAGAGGAUAAUGCGCUUUAAUGCACUCAAACUUACAUCCUCCUAUAUUAACAACAAUACUCAUGCCAAUCGAGUUAAAACUCAAUUGACCGAAUAUACCAUUUUAAUUAAUUCAUAUAAGUUUUUAGAAAUCAUAUAUAAUUUUAAAUUUUAAAUUCAUAUCCGCAUAUAUAUACAUACUGUAUGAGAUUAUUUUUUCUUUCUUUUUGAAAGAAAAUAACCAAAUAGGUUUAGGGUUAGUUGUUGAAAUUUGUAGGUACAAAUUUGUCAAUAAUGGAGGUGUAAAACUUGAACUACCACUACCACUCUCAUUUCCAUCAUUCAACACCGCUACAGCAUGUGAACUAGCACCCUCAUUUCCCCUAGUAAUUGUGUGUUAUCCAAAGUUUAAUCAUGUGUCAAAAAAUUUGGAUUAAUAUUGACAAUUGUGUACAUGUUUUGGAGAAUGGAUUAUAUGGAAUUGUGAUUUCACGUCAUCCCUACCCCUUUCCAAUAGGAAGAUGACAAAUUAGAUUUUUUCUAUUGGACCAAUAGAAAAAAUCUAAUUUGUCAUCUUCCUAUUGAAAAGGGGUAGAGAUGAUGUGGAAUCACAGUUCCAUACAAUCCCUUCUACAUGUUUUGACACCGUAGAUUAUGGAAGUUGUGUAGAAAGCAAAUAGAAUUUGAGUGUAAACACUUAUAUGUUACAUAUUUAGAUAACUAUUAUAAUUAGUGGUAUCAUUGAAGUGAAUAUCAUUAAAACAUUUUAAUUACAUUCUUUAAUUCGUAGAGGAGCGUGAGAACUAAAACAAUUACAUUGUAAUUAACCAUCAUUAAUUUUAAACUGUUUUAAAUAUUUUAUUUCUUUUAGAGAUAUAAUUACAUUUUUUUACAAUUACCUCACUUAGAAUACCUUUUAAAGGAAUACGUGGUACGAUUGGAUCGAAUAAACCCUUAUAUCCAGUCGUCUGUGAACCUUUCGAUAUUGUUUUAUUCAAUGUUUGCUCAAUUACUUUUUUACUUGCAAAUGCAAUAUAGACAUAGAGUUCAACAAUAAUGAUAUCCCCCAACAUAUCAAAACUCGCAGUCACUCCACCAAUAAUAAAAGUCGUAAGAAUUAAUACAUAAAAUAACUUUUUAUUUAAUUGUUAAUCAUAUAAAACGAAAAAUAUUUUAACCAUUUGGAUCAAGCUCAAACUUGUUUCCUGACUUUAUAUUAUUCAAACAUGUUAAUAAUAUAAGGUCUCAUUAUUGAGCUAGGUUAAAAGUAAGGCCUCUUGGGGGUAGGAGACAUACUCAAAAAGGCUUAGAGAAAAAGAAUAUAUGGGCUUUUGACCUUUAAAAAUAUUGGGUUAGAUGAUUCUUGGUGCUAGCCUAAAUUAAGGCUAAGGAAGAUAUGGGUUGAAUAAUGGCUUCAUUGGUGAAUUGUGAUUCAGCUUUUGAUCGAUACAUGGUUAAUGAUAUUUGCAUUUAGAUUUCGGAAGUUUUGUUGAGUUUUUAUUGAUGUAUCCAAUAAUUUAUGAAAUGAAGUUCACAUCUGCAAAGACUUUUAUUGAAAUAGUAAAGUUUGAGGAAAGGAAGAUUUUGAGGGAUUAAAUUUAUAAUACAUAUUAUAUGCAUGUUUUUUUUUAAAAAAAAAUUGUACGUGAAAAGAUAAAAAUACUCUAAAAAUUAUAUUUGUUGCUUUAUAAAAAUGUUGAGGUUUUGAUAAUUUCACAACUGAGUUGAAAUAUGAUUGAGAGUGAGAUUAACUCAAGCAAAGCUUUAAAUGAUAGUACUGAUAGAUACGAGUAUGAAUAUAAGUAAAGCAAAUCCCUCAUUGAUUUGUCAAGACUUGUUUAAAACAGUGGUUAAAGUUCUUGUGAACUUAGAUGACAAAUCAUGUCAUCCUUUUCCUCUUUCCGAUACUGUAAUGAUAAAAGGUAUAAUAACUUAUUUGGCCCUUUAACUUCAUAAAAAAAUUAUUUUAGUUCUUCAUUUAAUUUUUUUUACCUCUUUUAGCCCUUAAACUUGUGUGACUUGUCAAAUCACCUCAAAAUAGAUAGAACUGGCGUGGCACACAUGUAGAUUGCCACAUUAGCAAUUAAUUAAUUGUUUAAUAUAAAAAUUUAAAGAAAUUAUAAAAAUUAUAAAAAAUCAUUUCUAUAUUUUUUUUUAAUUUUAAAAAAUUAAUUAUUUGCUAAUGUGACAUCUACGUGGCAAUCCACGUAUAUGUCACAUCAACAAAGUUAACAGAUGUUAACUUUUCAAUCUAUUUUAGGUUGAUUUGACAAACAAUACAAGUUUAACAACUAAAUAGACAAAAAAAUUAAAUAAAAAUUUAAAAUAACUUUUUUUAUAAAAUUGGAGGGCCAAAUAAGUCAUUGUCAUGGCAAAAGAAAAAAAAACACUCGAAUGGAACAAAUUAAAGCAGCAAGGGAAAAUUUACGUACCAGCGAUAAGAUUUAAAUCACAAGCCACAAUUGCUUCAUCCUGCCUGAAAGGCUGACCAGAUUGAAGGAUUGGAAUCCUUGUUCCAUGUCCACUGAAGUAGAAAAACAAGACAUCCUUUGGUUUAGCCUUUUUCGCCAUUUCAUUAAGUGUGCUUAAUGUUAGCACCUGUAGGCAGAAGAACCGACGUCGAGCCUGGUGCAUCAGUCAAGACCUGAACAUUGCUUGCUUUCAUGAAAUCCUAAUUUUCCCUCAACCACACUUUUGAUGCGAUUCACAUCUCGUUACGCAUCCAUGCAACGUGAAUUCGGUGUUGGGACAAUUUCAUCCUACAAGAACAGCUCUCUUCAUACCUUUCAUCCUACAAGGACCAAGACACUGCCUAUCUAUCCAUCACCACCCUAUCUUUACAAGUUACAAUUUGAAAAUGCAAUUGACUUGUUUAAUAAAAUUAUUACUUUACAUUAUUUGCAUUAUUAUAAUGUAUUUGAUUAAAUUAGUGUCAUUAAUCGGGUCCAAAUUCAGUUGUAAAAUUAUCAAAAGUUCAUUACUUUUAUUAAGUAACAGAUAUUAUUUUAAGGGUAUAUAUGUCUGUCUAUACUUCGAUAGAUCAUAAAAAUACAUAUACAUGGUAGAAACCAUUGGACUUAAACACAAAACAUCCUCAAUUUUAUCAUUUCAACUAAAGCUACAUUUAGUUUUUAUAUCAAUUUUUUAUAAAUUUGCUGCAUAAUUUUUUUUACUCAUAUUGUAAGUGUGUCGUAAUCUAGUAUAUAUAAUAAUCUCAUUAUUGGUUUUGUUGUCAAUACAGGAGGACAUGGGUUCGAGUGCGUUGAAGCGCGUUAUCCUCCUAUUUAUGAGUUGAAGAGGGGCUAUGGGUAGUUUUAAGUAUUAUGUAAAAAAAUUAAAUAUGACCAUAACCUAUAAUGAGAUUAUUAAAAAAAGUAAACAAGGAAAAAAACAUCCUACACACUAAUCAAAAAAAAAUUAUCCAAAAGAUUACUUAAAAGAAAACAUAUUAGACAAAAUAAAAACCACAAAAAAAUAUUGACAAAAUAAAAUCACAAAACUAUGAACAAAAUCAUGAAAAUAUAGAUUGAAAUUAAAAGCAAAAUAAAAUUACGAAAAAAAAUGUUACAAAAACCACAACCAGUAAUCAACUCGAAGACCGAUGUUGUCCACAAAAAAAAGUUUAAUUUGAAAAAAAAUUGAGUAGAUGAAUUUUUCUACGAAAAGAAAAAAAAAAGGAGAAUAAGACUAAAUGAUUUCAAAUUUAAGUAAUUUAGAAUUGAUACAAACUUUGAAUUUAAGAUAUUCCAAAUCUAACUCUCUCUUUUUAAUCAAAUGAGAUUAAAAAUUAAAUUUAAUAAAGAUUAUUCUUAUGGAAUUGAAUCAAAAUAAUAAAUUAGGAAAAUGAUGAUAAUAUAUGUUUUGAAAAACCAUAAAUGUUGUUAUAUAUACUGUCGUUGAAUAUUUAAUUGAGAUUAAAAAUCAAAUUAGUGCCAUUAAAUUCAUAAUCAAUGUGGAGUUGACAAUUUUAGACCACAGGUGUCGUUAAUAAUUAGGUAAAGAUGAUCUUUGACUUAAAAUAGAAGGUCGUUCCAAAAUAAUAAAUAAAUGAAAAACCCUGUUUUGGUAAAACAAUGAACAUGUGGGCACCUUCACUGCCUCAUAUUCUAAAUUAUUAUACUAAGCAUUAAACAAUUGGAAUCCCUCCUCAGCUUCAACUAUGGGUUUUUGCCACUUGCCAUUCCCUCCUAUAUGAAUAUGCAUGUUUUAUUUUUAUAAUCAAGGAAUCUUUUGCUAUGGAAAAUGUUGAUUUUUAAUAAAGACUAAUCACAAUUUCAUCAUCUAGAGAGGUUGAAAUAUAAUUUUACUAAUUUAGAGGGACUAAAACACUUUUUUUUUAAGAGGUCAAGGCGCUUACCUUCCCCUCUAAAUUUGCCCCCGGCUUUUGGUCUAGUUUUUGAAGUAAAUUCAGCCCAUUGAGGGGCACUAAAUUAGUUGCCCUGACCAAUUCAACUUAUUUUUUUCUUUUUAAUAUUUUUUUAUAAAUUUUUAGUGAUUUAUUUUACUAAACCCUAAACAUUUUUAGGGGAACAUGCAUUUAUUGGUUGGUGGGUUUAAUAGAUUAUAAUUAGUUCUAUUCGAAUUUGGUUUGUAUCUAUUGAAAAAUUAAAAAUUAUGCUUAAAAAAAGUGUUUAAUUAUACUCCAAUCUUUAUACUCUUUAUAAUUUUUUAAAUUCGACUUUUUCUAUUAAAUUAUCAAUUAGAUUUUAAAUUUUUGAAUAUUAAAAUACCACACAUUCAAAUCUAAUUGAAAUUGCCAUCAGUGUAAUCAAUUGGAUUUUCAUUUUCAAAUCAAUCAAACAAGUGACUGAAAAUAAAAACAAAGGACUAGAUUUCAAAUUUUCAAAAAAUACAGCUACUAAAAAUAAAAUUAAACCUUUCGAAGCCAUGUUUUUGUGAUUACAACAAGUCACAUAUCUAUAUCUGAUUGAACUGUAAAUAUAUCAUGGAACUUUCUACAUUUAAAUCCUAAUUUUUCCAUUAUCAUCUUCUUCUUCUUCUUUUUAUCUAGUGCUUUUUUUUUUUUUUGCUUGGGGGUCCAUUUUUUCACCUACUUUGCAUUCUCUUCUGCUUUAUCUAGGUUUUCAAUUUUGUUUUUGAAAUUCCUAGUCAUUUUCUUUAUAUAACCCUCUCUUCUUAUUCUUCUUAUCAUUCCUUUUAGCAAACAACUUUGAAAGAAUAUAUUCUCAUGGUUGCUUUUUUAUUUCAAGAACCAACAAUCAACCAUUCUUUUUCUGCACCAUGAACAACCAUUUUAUUCUUUCCUUUUUUAAAUAAAAUAAAUAUUCUUUUUUCACUUUCACUAGAAAAUCAUAACAUGUAAUAGGUGGUAGUAGAAUGAAACCCUUCUUUGAAUUUUAAUCUCCUUCUUAGCUUUCUCUUCUUCUUGUUUGGUGACUAUGGAAACUAGGGUUCUUGAUGGUAUAAUCAAUAGGUUGCUUGAAGUUAGAGGAAAACCAGGGAAGCAAGUCCAACUUUCUGAGCCUGAAAUAAGACAGCUUUGUCUUGUUUCUAAAGACAUCUUCUUGAUGCAGCCCAUUUUGUUAGAGCUUGAAGCACCUAUUAAGAUCUGUGGUAUAUCUUUUUCUUUUUCCUCUGUUUUUUUCUUCAUUUUAAUUUUCAUUUCUAUGUUGAUUUUGAUCCUUUUUUAAAUGGGUUGCUUAUAGUUUAUGUGUUUGAACAUGGAAAGUACUUGUCUUUUUGGUGCGUCGUGUUGUGUGAUCACUGAAAUGUUCUAAAUUUGACACCCUAUAACCUGUUUGUUGGAAGUGAUGUCUCAUGUUUAUGUUGUUCUACUACACCUUUUAAAGGUGACUGCAUGAACCAGUUAAACUAAAUUUGAGUAUCUAUGUCUUAAAGGAGACAUACAUGGCCAGUAUUCGGAUCUGUUAAGGCUGUUUGAAAAUGGCGGCUUCCCUCCUCGUGCCAAUUACUUAUUCUUAGGAGACUAUGUAGAUCGUGGCAAGCAAAGCCUGGAAACCAUAUGUCUUCUCCUUGCAUACAAGAUCAAAUACCCUGAAAACUUCUUCCUUCUAAGGGGCAACCACGAGUGCGCGUCCGUGAACCGCAUCUACGGAUUCUACGACGAGUGUAAACGAAGGUUCAAUGUCCGGCUCUGGAAAGCAUUCACCGAUUGUUUCAACUGCCUUCCCGUCGCGGCCCUGAUCGAAGAAAAGAUAUUCUGCAUGCACGGUGGACUGUCCCCAGAGCUUCGCAAUUUAGACCAGAUUCGAAACUUGAAACGGCCUACUGAUGUCCCAGAAUCCGGCUUACUAUGUGAUCUCCUAUGGUCUGAUCCUAGUAAAGAUAUCCAAGGCUGGGGGCCUAAUGAUAGGGGUGUUUCAUACAUAUUUGGUGCUGAUAGGGUGCUUGAUUGUCUAAAAAAACUUGAUCUUGAUCUAAUAUGCCGUGCACACCAGGUUCAAUAAUGCAGCUCACAUCAAAUGUAUUCAGUAUAAACUCGUAUAGUCUCUCGCUAAACCGAAUCUAUAUGGUUGUUUGCUUGCAGGUCGUCGAAGACGGAUACGAAUUCUUCGCCAACAGGCAACUCGUAACCAUAUUUUCAGCACCAAAUUAUUGCGGAGAGUUCGACAAUGCUGCCGCCAUGAUGAGUGUAGAUGAAACAUUGAUUUGUUCUUUCCAAAUAUUAAAGCCUGCAGCUAAGAAACCGAAAUUCGGGUUUGGGACAUUCACAUCAACUAAGUCUCCUACACCUCCAUCUAGAAUCAAGGUAUACAUAAAUUAACAUACUCGUGUCAGAUACAUAUUUAUAUCCGGAAUCAACGGUGUCCUUACUUUGUUCUUUGAAUCUUUGUUUUGGCAGUCAUUUCUUGGAGCCAUGGUAUAAUGAUGGCUACCAUUGGAUAUGGGAAGAAUUGCAAAGUAAAAACUGGAAAUCUGGUGAUUUCUAGGAGCAUUUUUAUGAUUGGUAUAAGGUAAAUUUGAAAUAGUUUUUUUUUUCAAUGUAUUGACCCUUUUGUAAAAUAAUAGUUUAACAGAGUCCCCCUCUGUUCCUCUUCUUUCAUCUCUGUAUUUAAGCUUUUGGGUUUUUGUAUUGUAAUCAAUGAAUGAAAAUGAAAAGAGGGAUUGGUGACUAUUUGCAGUAGUUAGUAAAUCCAUAAGCUUCUUGAUCUUGCCAUUUGUCUCUAUACUUGAUUUAGUUAAUCUUAAUGUUUAUUUUUUUUAAUUUUAAAAAUUUAGUCGUUAACUCAAAUAAUAGCAUUUAAAUAAGUUAGGUCAAACUUUGCUUUUAGUCUCGUACUAUAUAUAACUUGGAGAUUUAGUCUUUGUUCUCUAAAUUUAUUGUUUUUUACUUUUAUACUUUUCAAAUUUUGAAAUUUUAGUCCUGAUUCAAACAAUCAUCUUUAAAUCUGUUAACUAAAAUUAUGUGACUUUUAUAUGAGAAUUAUGUAAAAAUAGCAUUAUGACAUGGCAUUACACAUGUGAUAAUGUAUAUUUGUCUAAUAAGAUUUUGAAAAUAGUAGAAUUUAGGGAUAAUAGGUACCUAAAUUUGAUAACUUGUAUCGACUUGGUACCCAAAUUUGGAAACUGUAAGUUAACUUGGUAUUUUUUUUAGGUAUCUGACUAACAUGGUUAAAAAAGCUGGUGAGGCACUUAACUAAUAGCACAGUGGCACAUGGCAACAUCACAUUUUUACAUGUGACAACUUUUUUAAAAGAAACUAAACUUCAAUUUUUUUGCACAUGUCAAAAUGUGAGACUGCCACGUGUCAUCAUAUUAUAGGUCAUUUGUGUCAUGUCAACAUGUUUUAACGGUGUUAGUUAGGUCACUAAAAAAAGUAUCAACUCGGAUUACGAUUUUCAAGUUUAGGUCCAACAAAAAAUUUAGUUACCAAAUAAAUAUAAGUUGCCAAAUCCAGAUAUCUCGGUAUAUAUUAAUCCUAGAAUUUAACUGAAAGAAUUAAUGACUCUCUUAUGAUAAAGGCUGAAAUUUCUAAAUUUUAAAAAUAUAAUAACUAAAAAUGAUGAAAAUAGAGUGUAGGGACUAAAUUAAUAAGAAUCAGACGAAUAAAAGCGUUGAAUAUGUGUAAAUAAUACACUUUCUUUUCCAUUGUGCAUUUGGAAUGAGUAAGAGGGAACACGAAUAAGACUCAAUAGCAAGAAAGGGUGAAGGCAAUGUGGCUGCACUUUCGUUUUCAAGUACAUCAAUUAUUUCUACUAGUGGUUUGAUCGAAUAUCAUCAUGUCUUGGUGAUCCUCAUUACCUACUUUUGCUGCUUGAUUAACCAAUUUGUCUGAAUAUCAAAGCACAAUUUGUUGUUGUUUUAUACCAUUCAUAAAUUUGGGUAAACUACACUCAAGAUCACUAAAUUAUUUAUAAGUUUAUGUUUUGGUUAUUAAAUUUUAAAAAGUUACAAAAUGAUUACUGAACUAUUUAAAAACUUUCAUUUAAGUCACUGGGUUAUUAAAAUUAUUGUUAUAUGGCUGCUUGCACCACUUCUCUUCUAUAGUCUGGUCUAUUUUUCAUGAAAUAGUUUGAAUGUCAUGAAUAUGUGAACUAAAAUUCCAAACAGCUUUAUACUCCAAUUUCUGAUACUGACCGUCAGAUCGACUUGGACCUAAGGUAUGUUAUUCUACUCACCGAUGGGUACUGAUCCACCAUAUCGAUUGUCAAAUCGUCGCUUGGAACUCGCUAACCAGAAUUUUUUUUUAGAAAAAUAAACUUAACAACCCAAUGGUUUAAAUAGAAUUUUUUGAAUAGUUCAAUGUAUUAAAUGAAAACUUUUGAAUAGUUUAAUGUCCAUUUUAUAAUUUUUUUAAAGUUGAGUGACCGAGAUGUAAAUUUACUAACAGUUUAAUGACCUUGGGUGUAGUUUAGUUUUUAAAUUAUUUGUUUAAUACAUAAUUUGGUAUUUGACUCUGACACUUUUUUUUCUAAUAUAGUAAUUAUGUUUUUUUUUCCAAUGUGGUACAUGUAUUUAGCAAAAGUUAUACAUUUUGGUACCAUAAUUGUAUUUAUUUUUUUAGCAAUUAAUUCUAGCUUUAGAGUUGAUUUGAUGAAAAUUCACGCUUGGCUAAUAAUAUUAGCAAUUAACUUUCAUCAAAUUAACCCUAAAACUUGAAUUAAGUCACAUUCAUCAAACUGUAUUUGACAAAUUAAACAAAUUCAUAAUUAACACUAAAUUAAUUCUAUUAACAAAAUGAUGAAAAAUUCAAAUCUAAUAAUAUUGACAAUUAACUUUUUUAUCAAAUUAACCCUAAAACUCAAAUUAAACACUAAAAAGUUAACAAUGCUACAUUUGGAUACCAAAAUAUAUAACUUUUUUUAUUUAAAAAUAUCAACCGAAUAAUUAGGAUUGCUAGUAUUUCUUGUCAAAAUUUAUCAACUUGGCAUGUGGAUUAGGUUGCCUUCAUAUUAUGUAGCAUAUGAUUUUUUUUUUUUGGUACAAAUUAUGUGACAUAUUGUUGACAAAAAAUAAACAUGUUAAGUUCGACGAAUUUUAACAAAAACUACCAACUAAUAUAAUGAUUGGAUUAUAAUUUUUAAUUUGAAAAAAUAAGAAGAUUGAAUUUUUAACUUUUAAAGUAUAAUAACUAAAUCUCAAAUUCUAUUAAAGUAUAUGGACUAAUAGCAUAUUUUAAGCUUCUAAAAUAUAUUUACUUUAAUAAUAAAAUAAAGGGCUUUUAUGAGUAAAAAUCAUAGAUUAAGAGCUUAUUUAACUACAAAAAUAGAUUGAGGGCUUGUUUAUUAAAUAAAAAAGUGAGUUGAAGGGGAAUAAAAAGAAAAUAAUAAAUAAGGAGGGCUUAGAAGGCAAUUAGCCACAUUUCAACUUUAGUGUCGCCACACCAAGGCGGUGCCAAUUCACUUUCAAAAUUUAAAAUGGUAAAUUUGCACAUCAGGUCCUUGAAACUUUAGAUCAUUACAUUUUAGUCCUGUGCCGCCUAUGGGCACCAUUGGUGUCGCCUUUCUAUUCCCCUCCAUCAGCCUCCUUUUUUUGUAUUAUUUUGGUAAAUAAAAAAAGUUUAUAAUAUUUUGGUAUUUUUUAUUUUUUGUAAUAUUUUGAUAAAAAAACCCUAUUAUAAACAAAUAAAUAUUUAAUAAUAAAAUGUGUCAUAUCUUAAUUUGUCAUUUUAUACAUAUAACUUUUAAUUAUCAGUUAAAUUUUACUAAAAACUUUAAAUAAACAAUUAAUAGAAUAGUUGAUCAAAUCAAUUAAGUUAUUAAAAUCAGUUAACCAGACCAACCAUUACAAUCAGUAAUUAGCUAUACCAUUCCAAAUCCUUUUUGUAUAUUUGUAAUUUAGUCUAUUUUUACUUUUAACAAUUUAGCUCCUCUACAAUUCAGAUUUCAAAAUUCAAGUCCAGUUAUUAAUACCGUCAAAAAUUUUUCUAUUAAAUCUAAAAAAUAGAAAGAUUAAAUUCCUUGAAAUGAAAAUCAUAAUUUUAUAAAAGAAAUAUUUUUAAAAAAAUCAAAAGAGUCUAGAUACGUAACCAACUCUUUUCUCCUUCAUCCCAAUCCUCAGUUCUUCAUUAUCUCUAUAUUUCUUUGUAAUUUCAUCCUUUACUCAUUGAACCAUUAAAAAGGAAAGAUUAUUUUUGUUUUUGUUUUCUUCAUUAUAAGAGUUGUUUAAAAAUCAUCUUAGUGAUGGUAAAGGAUCAAUUACAAGUUCUUAAUGCACUUGAUGUAGCUAAAACACAAUGGUACCAUUUCACAGCGAUUAUAAUUGCUAGCAUGGGAUUCUUCACUGAUGCAUAUGACCUUUUUUGCAUUUCAUUGGUCACCAAAUUGCUUGGUCGCAUAUAUUAUCACAAGGAAGGUGAUUCUACCCCCGGAACACUUCCGUCCAAUGUCUCGGCUGCCAUUAAUGGUGUUGCCUUUUGCGGUACUCUUGCGGGACAGCUCUUUUUCGGUUGGCUAGGUGAUAAGAUGGGACGAAAACGUGUCUAUGGCAUGACACUAUUGCUCAUGGUUAUCAGUUCGGUUGCCUCUGGUCUUUCGUUUGGCAGUGACUCUAAAUCCGUGAUGGCUACACUUUGCUUCUUUCGGUUUUGGCUUGGUUUUGGUAUUGGUGGUGACUAUCCUCUUUCUGCUACAAUCAUGUCCGAAUACACUAAUAAAAAGACUCGUGGUGCUUUUAUUGCUUCUGUUUUCGCGAUGCAAGGUUUCGGGAUAUUGGCUGGUGGGAUGAUUGCCAUUAUGGUUUCUGCAGUAUUUAAGGCUUAUUACCCUGCACCAAGUUAUGAAAUUGAUGCUAACCUAUCGACUGUGCCUGAAGCUGAUUAUAUUUGGAGGAUUAUCUUGAUGUUUGGAGCAUUCCCGGCUUUGCUCACCUAUUAUUGGCGCACAAAGAUGCCCGAAACCGCUCGUUACACUGCCUUGGUCGCCAAGAAUGCUAAACAAGCAGCAGCAGAUAUGUCAAAAGUUCUUCAAGUCGAUUUGGAAUCAGAACCAGAGAAACUACAACAAAAGAAAGGGAACGAGUUCGGGUUGUUCACCACACGGUUUUUCAAUCGACACGGACCCCACUUGCUCGGUACCACAAGCACUUGGUUCUUACUAGACAUUGCUUUCUAUAGCCAAAACCUGUUCCAAAAAGACAUCUUUAGUGCCAUUGGUUGGAUCCCAAAGGCAAAAACCAUGAAUGCCAUUGAAGAAGUUUAUAAAAUUGCAAGAGCUCAAACUCUCAUUACACUAUGCAGCACUGUUCCUGGAUAUUGGUUCACAGUGGCAUUAAUUGAUAAAAUAGGAAGAUUCAAGAUCCAAUUGAUGGGAUUCUUUUUCAUGACAAUUUUCAUGUUUGCAUUAGCAAUCCCAUACCAUCAUUGGACACUACCCAACAACCGGAUCGGAUUCGUUAUCAUGUACUCGCUAACGUUCUUUUUUGCAAAUUUUGGACCGAAUGCCACUACGUUUGUAGUCCCUGCCGAGAUUUUCCCAGCAAGGUUGAGAUCAACAUGCCAUGGAAUAUCAGCUGCAUCAGGCAAAGCAGGGGCAAUGGUGGGUGCUUUCGGGUUUUUGUAUGCUGCAGACGCUAUCGGAGUGAAGAAAUCACUAAUGAUUCUGGCUUUCAUUAACUUUCUGGGAAUGUUGUUCACAUUUUUGGUGCCUGAAUCUAAAGGAAAAUCACUGGAAGAGAUAUCUGGGGAAGCUGAUCAAGAAAAAGGAACUGAAACACAAUCUGGCUAGCUAAAUUGAUGGAUUUUGCUAGCAAUUCUUGCCAUUUUUUUUCUGGUUUAUCUUUGUUUUAAGUUAAUGCUAUGUUGUCUUUUGAGAUUUUUUGUUAAUUCUUACCUGAAUCCGGGAAAAACAGAUCAAUCCACCCGAAUUUAAGCCGAAUAGAAUCCUAUUUAAUCCGAAAAAUUUAGUAACACAUAUACAUAUAAUGCUAUCAUUCCUCAUAAACCAACAAUAGAAGUAAUAGUUUCAUUUCAUCAAAUGUACUACAAGAUGUGACCUUGAUUGCAUAACCGUAACUCAAUUGUUUCCAAGAACACGAAAACAUAAGUUGAAACCCUGGUUAUUUAGUCGAUUUCUCUAUGCUUGGAACAAUAUCUAAAAGGGAAUAUAAACACAUAUACCAUAUGCAUAUGAGAGGAAACUUUUAUGUUAGUCAAGCCCUGAUGAAACAGUCUAAAAGGAGGGUAUUCGUGAACUGACCAUUUCGGUUUUCUUUAUCAGAACACUGCUGGGAAUACAAGAGAGAUACAGGCGACUAUUGUCUUAAAACUCCUGCAAUGCUAAUAGUAUAAGUGUCAAAUCCAACAUUAGAAACCAAAGUUCAAACUUCGUAAAAAUCCAUAGCACAAAUAGUACUAACCAUUUUUGUUGGAAGCCUGUUCCAAGUCAAAUCUUUUCGUGCCAUGUUAGGUUGAGAUUGGAAGAUUCGUGGUCCUGAAAAGGUCUGCCAUCGGAUGAGGAGCAAUACUGUGGAACUGUGAAUGAAAUUAUGCUAGUGCUAGUACUACUAGUACUCUUCUGCUUCUUAGAUGCCGAAGAUUCAGCCGUCGAGCAUAAGUCUUCUCUUCCUGAGGUCCCUGCUUCUUUAUUCUGCUUAUUCGGUUUAUCCAUAUGCAACUUCUCUUCAUCUACAGGUAAUGGUCUCUUCCUAGGCAACAAACCAUUGUUGCAGUUUUGAAAUGAUGGCACCCUUUGAUCAUUAGAUGAAUACGUCAGACAUGAAGACUUUUCCUUUGGGAUAACUUUCAGGAUGGCAGAGGUCUUGAUACUAUCAGAAUUAUCGAAAACAUCUUCAUUCAUCUGAUCUGAAGUUGCGGAUUUUGCAGCUGCUUCCAUUUCCCACAUUUUAAAUAUAGCUUCUCUUAGAUGUUCUCGAGCUUUAUCUAUAUCUAUUAUGGGUUUCGGAUAGUUUAAGCCCAACUCGACACCUGCAGCUUUAAGCACGGUAAGAGGUGCAUCCCAUGGAUGAUGGAUCCACUCGAUUGGCAUCCUUGCUAACUCUGGCAGCCAUUGCCUUACGUAUUCACCUUCAGGGUCAAAUUUGGAGCCUUGAAUCUGACUCAAAAAACCAACACAAUAUAAGGUCCAGAGAUGGGAGAGUACUGGAUUAGUUACUUAUUUUGCAUUUAAUAAAUUAACUAGUGUACUCAACGCACCUGCGGGCAGUCUAAUUGUUCUAGCUCUUGACCAUCUGGUAAACUCCCGGAGAUGUACUGCCAACCAAGAAUAUCACAUUCCAAAUCUGCAUCCAGAAGUGUGUCCCAGAAAUAUUUCAUUCCCCACUUCCAUGGAAGAAGUAGAAACUUCACCGCGAAACUCGAAACAAUCACUCUUAUUCUGUUGUGUAUCCAACCGGUUGCCCAAAGCUCCCUCAUUCCUGCAUCCACUAAUGGAUAUCCUGUCCGACCUUGUCUCCAUACCUUAAAAUGGUCCGCAUCAGCAUUCCAAGGAAAAUACUUCAUGUUUCUCAAUAACGAUCUCUCAUGAGUGAACGGAUAGUUGAAACAAAGAUAACGAGAGUAUUCUCUAAGCCCGAUAGCCUUUAAAAAUAGAUUGACACUCUCUUCCCCUUGAGACUUCCAUUCUCUUCGCCAUAGUAUCUGUUUCAUACGUACACACCGGAAAACUUUCCUGACACUUAUCUCUCCAAAAUGAAGAUAUGGGGACAAAAGUGAUGUUGAGCUGGCCCCAACCUUGAAUCUACUUUUCGAAUAGUCAAAUAAAUUCUGUUCGACAAACUCAGUUAGAGCCUUAUCGGCAUUGCUCCAACCCGGAGAACAUCCUCUUCCUAACAAAGCAUUGCUAGAUUUUUCCAAUUCAUUUUCAAGCCCCAAACCUUCAAUUGUGCACCUUUCAACCGUCCCUGUAACUAAUAACAAUUCAGCAACAAGUUAUUCAUUUUGCAAUGAGAAUAUACGUAUAUAUGUAUACAAGCAGAUCAUUCAUCUACACUCCAUCUUUCCUUUUCAUCAAAAUCUAUGUGCAUAACUACGUAUAAACUUACAUAUACAUAUACAUAUAAAUGAUGUUUGGUUUAAAUCUACCUGCAGCUGGCAUCAAUCUCCACGGGGGAAGAAGUGAAACCGGUUCCAUUUGCAUGUUCAAGCACUUGUCCCAAUAUGCAUCAAAGGUUGAAAAAGCUCGUCCCUCAUCAUCGUAUAUCUCCCAUGGUUCAUACAACAAAUCUCCAUUAUAGCUUUGCACGGAGAUGCCAACCUCUGCUAGUUUCUCUUCGAUGCUAUGAUCACGAACCAGCGAAACAGGAUCUGGAAAAAAAAGGACAACAAACCGUAAUCUCAAGUAUUUCGAUGCUUUCAUAUAUUAACCGAAAACAUUGCACUGCAAUUGGCAUUAGUUAAAUUCUCAAACUAUUUAACCAUGUCUAACUCGCCAUUUCAGUAUAAACAAAUUAGAAUUCAUAUUGGUUUAAGAAAGCAGCAUUUGAUCUGUAGAUCGGAAUAUAUACCGUAAAGACGGUUGACUACAACUUUCGUCGCCUCAGUAGCUUUGAUGCAAUCUAAAAGAGCUGAAAGGGUACUUUGGGUCUUAAUCAUCACAAGUUCAGCCCCAAGAGACUUCAAUGACUGCUCCAAAUGAGCAAGAGAUUGCUUAAGCCACCAUCGUGAAACUCGACCCGGGUAAAACUGCCCUUCCUCUUCAGGACACCAUAUAUAAACCGGAAAUACACUACCGUCCCUUGCAGCAGCUGCUAAAGCAGGAUUGUCUUCAAUCCUGAGGUCCCUCCUGAACCAAACUAUUGUUUUACCGCUACUCAUGUCAAACUAACAAGAUCUUUCGAAUAACACCGACAUAUUCGAAUUCAUACAAAGGCCUAAAAAUUCUCACAAAACUUGAUACAAACACUUGAUAAACAUCCCAAUUAGACAAUCACAAUAUGUAUCCAUGAUAUCCAACCAUACCCUGACUUCAAUAAAACCUUCCCUACCUGUCUCGUCGUCGGUCCCCGAUUCGACCAAUCAAAAAACACCAUAACUUUCCCAAAAUAUCUCCAAAAUCCAAUACCUUGAUGCAGACCUGCACUAGAAUUAAUAAACCUUAAAACCACACUAUGAACUUUCCAGUACAAUACAGAAUACAGAUACAACCUAAUUCCCUUAAUAAUUGACAUUAAAGAAUGUUAUCUUCAAACAAUGACAACUAAAACAAGUAAAUGGACCAAACCCCAAUUUUUAUUUGAUAUUAAAUUGUUGAAGUUUUACCCCAUUGUUGCUAGAAACUCAGAAAGAACAGAUAAAAAAAAAAGAUCACGAAGGGUUAGGUAAGAAAAAAAAGAAACAUGAUUGAUGAUAUUUUGUUCGUUACUUACAGCGAAUUUCCAACAGUGAGAUUGAAGAAAUGGAACUGGCAAUGCCCAUUUUGCUAAGUGUGGCUUGUAUGUGUCAAGAUCAUGUGGGACUCAUAUGAUAUUGAUGAUGAUCGUGGUGGGAGGAGACAUGCCUUGUCAGCUUUGUUGAUCCACUGUAAAUUUCUCUCAAUGAAAAAAUUGGGUAAAAAGACCUUUUCAAUCCCUCUCAAUUUUAACAUUGAGCAAAUUGAUCACUCUCAAAAAAUUUGGAGCAACUUAAUCCUUGCCAGUUUCGAAAGUGAACAACUAAAGACAAUUAAUUAUCAUGCUAAUGUUUUUCAUCAAUUGUACGUGAUUUUGAUUGAUAUAAUAAUAAUUUUAUCCCUCAAAGUUUACACAUUCUGUUAAUUUGAUCCUGAUUUAAUAAAUUUAUCUCGCAAUAUUUAUGUAAAUGUGUAAAUGUCAAAGCUGAAUUUUUGAAUUUUUUAAAAUUAAGGUCAAAAUGACAAAAUAUAUAAACAUCAAAGGCUAAAUUUGUUACUAUAUCAAUCAAAAUUAUGUAUAAUUGUGGAAGAUAUUAUCGUCCUGAUUAAUUGUUCUAAGUUGCUCACUUCCGAAAUUGACAAAUUAAAUUGCUCCAAUAUUUUUUUGAGAGAUCAAUUUACUCAAUUUUGUAAUUUGAGAGGGACUAAAGAGGCUUUUUACCAUAAAAAUAAGUGAUUAAUUAUCCUAAUUUAAUAAGGGUUUUUUCUUUCUUUCUUUCUUCAUAUUUGCAUGAGCGAAGACUCAUUUGUAAAGCUGUUCAUUUGAAUCAUACAAUGAAUUGGAAAUCCCCCAAGUUUUGUAGCUAGUAUUUUUAUUGAUAAAUUACACCAAAGGUCACUAGACUAUUAGUAAAUUUAUGUUUUGGUAAAUCAGCUUCAAAAGUUACAAAAUGGUCACUAAACUAUUUGAAAAUUUUCAUUAAGUCAUUGAACUAUUAAAAUUAUUGUUAUAUGAUUUUCUCUGUUUGUACUGCCUACACUAAUCGAAAACUCUCCUUCCCUUAUCUUCUACAAUUCAAUUCUUUUUUCAUAAAACAUAUUUGAACGUCACGAAUCUGCGAACCAAAAUCCAAAGAGCUUUCUUCUUCAAUCUCCAACACUAAUCGUUCGAUCAACUUUGAUCUAAGGUAUGUUAUGCUACUUGUCAAUAAGUAUUGAUUCACCGUACCAAUCGUUGAAUCGUCACUUGGAACUCACUAAACAAACAUUUUCAUAAAUAAAUAAAAUAAAAUAAAAAAUCAGCUUAACAGCCCAAUGUCAUAAAUAAAAACUUUAGAAUAGUUCAAUGACCAUUUUGUAAUUUUUUGAAGUUGAGUGACCAAAACGUAAACUUAUUAAUAGUUUAAUGACCUUAAGUGUAAUUUACCUUUUCUUUUACAAAUUGUUUUUAUGCCUUGCUUUGGGAAAACAACUUCUCUGGUAGAAGGGACCAUAAAAAUGGGGGACCUCAAAUUGGGGAUAUGGAACAAAAUAAUUUUUCUUUAAACAGCUUAGAUACAUUUAACAAAAUGAAUUUGGAUCAGUUUUAUACUUUUUUACAGUAUAUAUUUCCAUUUCAUAUAUAUUUUUUAAAAUUCCUAAUAAAAAUUAUAGAUGUUGCAGAUCAAUCAUAUAACUCAUAUUUUUUUUGGUAAAGGUAAAUAACAAUCAUUUUAGGCACUAUAAAAUUAUCUAAACCUUCAUGUAGAGUUCGAAGAAUUGCAUUUAGUGGUUGUAGGAAAAUACAAAUACUCGGUUCCAGGUUAAGAGUCAUGAUAGUCAUUCAAUCCGUUAAUCGAUUCCAUUCACAAAACACGUACUUGAGUUCAAUUUUUCAAUCACAAGCAACUAGUCUUUUUAUGCUCCAUAGCACAACAUUAUCAUAAUCUAUCUCACCUUUCGUACGGAUAAGAUCCAAAGUUGUUAAACUGUCCGUAUCCAGGAGCACCCGCCUCACUUUCAUUUUCCUUGCUAGCAUCAAUCUAUUGUAGAUACCUCAUAAUUCAAUCUCAAUACUACCACAGAUCUUUAUGUCCCAUGCAAAACCAUAUUGCCCAACACAAAAACUUUUAGAAUUUUGUUGUUUCCGUAGCUUCUCUCAAUUUAUAAUUUGUAAAAACAAAAUGGACACAAAAACUUUUAAAAUGUCGAGUCAUUGUUUAGCUCGACUCAACCUAUAUAGGAAAGAUUAAUUUCAAGUUUAAUUUUUUAUUUUAGAUUUAGGUUAGAUCAGUUUUUCUUAAUGGUAUAAAUGAGAUAUUAGUACUUGCAAAUUAUUUCAAGUAUGAUUUAAUAAUUAUUGAGUAACUCAAGCCAAAUUCAAGCUUAAUAUUCAACUUAAAUGGCUAGCAAGUCUCAUAAAGCUUUUUAUAUUUUUAUAUUAUUAAAUUAUAUUAUUACCCUAUGUAUAUAUUAUUAACCCUAAGCUUAAUUAUCGAGUCAAGCUCGAGCUUCAGUACAAAAACAGGUAAAUAAACUUAAUUGAGAUUGAGUUUAAGUAGUUUGAUUAUAUCUCGAAUUGAACUCGAGCUUCAAGAAUAUGUUUGAUUAAGCUCGAACCGAGUAUUAAGCUCAAAUCUAAUAGUAUUUGGACUCAACUCGACUCGAUUACACCUCUAGACUUUUUUUUUAUACAAAAAAAAUUUUAACCGAGUCUUGUUUAGGGCUCCUAAAUCAAUUAAAAAAUAGUAAAAUGGAGAAAAUAUUUAUAUAUAAUUUUUAAAUUAAAUAUUGAUUCAGACCAUAAAUCUAAAUUAAAAGAUCAAGAUUUAAUUCCCUCUAUAAGAUUUUAAAUCAGAAAUUUUUAUUUUAUGUGAGUCGACUUUGAAAGAAAAAUUAUAACAUUUAUACUUUUUAUUAUUUAAAAAAAUAAACGGUUUGAAAAAAAAAAUCUUUAUGGAAAACGAUUAAAGAUACUGUCAAAAUCUUCGUUUUCAAUUUUCUCUGCUCAAGCUUUUUUAUUUUCUUUUUCCUAACGAAAAUGUCGUUAGGGCACAAAAGUUCGGGGAAUCCAGCCGCCAUCCUUUCUUCUCUCAUGAACAAAAGAGAAAAGCUUCAAGACGAGCUUCGCAAUAUCGAAAAGCAGGUAACAGUUUUCCUGCUUCCCCAUGGAAAAUUUUGCUCUUUCCUUUCCCUCUUUUCUGUAUAUAUAUAUUGGUAAAGAAGCUACAAAUUCGUUGAAUUUUGCUAUUAAGAUUAAAUUUCUUAAUUUAAUUCAUAUUUUUUGCAGGUUUUUGAGUUAGAAACUAAUUAUUUGCAAGAUUCGAGCCAUUUCGGGCAUGUUUUGAAAGGAUUCGAAGGGUUUCUUUCUUCAUCCAAGAACACAGCAAAGUAAUUAUAUUUUUUAUUAACCCAUAUUUUAUCAACUGCUGGUAAUUUUAAUCUGAAUUUAUUUUUAAUCAUUUAAUUGCCAGUUUGCAGAUUAUUGUCAAUUGUAUGAAUUUGAACUUCUUCGCUGGAAAAUUUUCUAGUUCUAUUGAAAGAUUAGGGUGAAAAUUGUUACAUAAGCUUGUAUUUUCAUAAUAGCUUAGGUUACAAUAACAAUACUUUGCUUGAUUAAUGAAGAUUUUGUACCUGUUUUUAUCAUAAUUAUAUGUUAAUUGAGACUCCUACUGAAUACUCUGCUGGUUGUUAAGUAUUUCAUGUUUGAUUUUCUUUUUUUCUUUUUUUUUUUGUGAUGGAAAAUUCAUGUGAACUUGUUUUUGUAUGUAGCUUGAAGAGGUCUAGGAAAUUUCAGCCUGAAGAUAGAUUGUUUUCUUUGUCAUCAGUCACGUCACCAGUGGUAUGUGAUGGAAUAAGCUUCGGUAUUUAUACAUUAAUUGUUCCUUUUACCGCUUUCUAGUUCGUUCUCACGCAGCAGAGGCAACACUUGCGAAUUUAGUGUUAGGUAGUUAGAGUUAGGAAUGCUAAUUUGGCACGUCGAGUUGCUUUUGGCGUAUGCAUAUUUGGAUGUUACAUUUUAUUGUGCGGACAGACACUAGGAGAACUUGCGGCGUAAUGUAAUAGCAACAACACAUGCUGAGAUGGUUAGUGGAAGUUUGGUAUUAGGGUUUCGCUCAAAACUUGAUUAAACUCGAAGCAUAAAGGAGCUUUUUCAGUAAUAUACCCUUCUAGGACUGAUAUGCUCUAUUUCUACUAUCUAUGAUCAUAUUAGAACAUAAAAGCAUUUAAUUGAGUGACUAAGUGUAAAGUCAGUACGGUUGAUUCUCAUCUUUAGAUUUUCUUAUAGUGUAUCUUUCUCAAAAGAAUAUCCGUUUGCUUAUUGUGUUGAGACAAACUGUUAUUUACAGUUGGUGAAUGAAAUUGUUGCUGUUUAUAUUGAUAAUGUUUAUAUUAUCCCAGCCUUACCAUGAUUGUGCAAUUGUGCUGCUCCUUCGAUUUGUUUGAGCAGAAAUCAAUUGUGCAAAAAUGGACAUGUAGUUGAGAUAUUUAUUCAGGUUUAACAAAGACUGCUUUGUUCACUUUGCUUCUUUAUGUUCAGGCUGACGAACUCGGAGUUCGACAAGAUGGUAAACCUUGUUCAUUAAGAUACUAAUGUUACCCCCCCCCCCCCACACUUAAAAUGCCAUUUUUUUACGAUGUGUGAUACGGAAUCCUCUCUGUUGCAGAUGGAAGAUCCGACUUCGGCUCAGCUCGGUCUAAGGGUGGAGGCUUAGCUGCCAAUGGCCAGUGAGUGUGCUCAUCCAUCUUUACUAUUUGGGUUUCUAUUUUAACAAGUUAAAGACUGAGUUGGUUCAUUUAUUUAUUUUUACUUUCAGAGGGAAACCAAAGAAGGGAAGGACCGCCUCAUCAGCAAGAGAUGGAAAGAGAACGAGGCCAUCAAGCGAACAAGAUUUCGAUGAUGAAGAUGACCCUGAUAUGAGCUUGAGAUAACUUAUAAAACAACCACUUAAAAUGUAAUUUUAAAUGUAGGUUUGUAGGUGUUCUUUUUUAUUACAAUUGAAGGGAAUUCUUAGUAUUAGUCUUAGGUAGCCUUGAUGUUGAAAGCAGUCGCUAGGGUAGCUUGUAUUACUUUGUCAAAUGUAGCAAAUCUAGGUAUCAUGUAUUAUGUAUAACUAUUGUAUAAUUUCCACUUUCCUGUAUCUUGAUUGAUUUCAUUGUAUUAUGUUGUUGAAUAUUCGCAUAGAAUUAUGUAUACUCUAAGCUCAACUCCAGUUGUAUAUUUUUAGACAUAGUAAUUCAUGUCGUAGCUGUUCAUUGUUUUCAGAUUUCAGAUAUUGUCGUGUUUUAAUUGUGUUUUAAAUAAUCAUUAGUUUAACGAGAGGGGAAAAUUUUUAAUUUUGCCCUCACUCGUCCGUAACGUAUUAGCUAUGUAUCUGGAUAUCGUAGUAGGAAUUUGGGAACCAUUACUACCCCAAGUGAAUCAUAUGAUCAAGGUAACGUGACCGCAGAAAACUCCAGAUUUAUGGGUAUAAAUGAGACAUUAUUAGUUCCCAAGCUGCUCGAAUUUGAUUCAAAAAAGUUACAACUCAAUUCAAUAAUGAGCUGUCAUUAAGUCAAAUUCGAGCUUAACAAGCCUUAUUCAACUUUUCACUUUUAAUAUAUUUUAUAAAUAUUUUUUUGUAAAAUUAUUUUAUUACCUUUAGUAUAUAUUAUGAACUCUAAACUUAAUUACUUAACCAAACUCAAAUAUGAAAAUUUAUGAACAAGCUUAAUCAAACUUCAACUCAAUUAGCUUGCUUAUAUCUGAGUUUGAGUUGUAAAGAUAGAUAUUCAAUCAAAGCUCGAGUCAAGUAUCAAGUUCCAAACUGCAAGUCAGGUUCGAGCUCGACUCAACUCAAUUAUACCCUAAUUGAGAUUCACAGUAAACAAUACACUAGAUAGACAAAAAAAACAAUGGUCACCAACAGUAUCGAUAUCCCAUUUAAAAUUGGAGCAUAAAAUCCGGGAUUACGGUAAAAUAUCCAAAAUAUCCAUGAACAAGUGACAAGUAUAAUGAAGAUCUCGAUCAGAGGACGUCGCUUACCAAUCACUAACAGUUCAUCUAGAACGGUUUUUUAUUCAAAACUGCAGCUAAUCCUAUUAAGGCAAACCACUCCUCUUCCAAACAGAUUAUGGAAAUGAUGAAUGCAUUCAUGAGAGGCACGAGUAUGCCAAUUCCUUCUCCUCGGUCAGCUCCACUCCAGUCAAGUCCAACUUCUUCCUCGAGAAUUCAUCAAUUGCCAGCCCUAAGACAAAAGAAGAAAUAAGGAAACUUACCAAUGAGCAUAUAUACAAUAAGACUUCACUUCAGCAAUAAGUGAUGGUUUCAUCCUCUUAGGGAAUCCCAAGGUGUGGGAGGGGAGGAGAAAGCAUCAAUAUCUUGUUCUUCGUAUUAGUUUAACACACACUGAACAAGACUACAUACAACUAACAUGUAAUGGGAUCAUAUUUUCCUGUAUUCUUACCUUGGACAAUUGUCCAUUCUCCAUUCUUACAAGUUACAGGGAAGGAAUAGAUGACCCCAGCUGGGGCAUUGUAUGAACCAUCAGAGUAAACCCCCAUGGAAACCCAUGUGCCCUACCAGUGCAACCAAAUAAAGUAAAAAAUGAGAUCAUGACCGUAUGAAAUAUCAUAUAAAAAUUAACAGAUUAACAACAUUGCCAACCUCGGGAGUUCCAAGGACCCAAUCACGAAUGUGAUCACAAGCAGCACUAGCAGCAGAUAGUGCACUUGAGAGUUUCCUAGCUUUGAUGAUUGCAGCACCACGUUGUUGAACAGUGGUUAUGAAUUCUCCAUUCAACCUUUAAUGAAUCAAUAAUUUCAAAAUGAUGUUUCAAAAAUCUCAUUUCAAAUAAAAUUAUUUCAUCAGACAACAAAUCCUGUUUGUAUUAUUUUAUUUACCAUGCAUCAUCCUUAACAAGCUCGCGAACCGGCUUUUCUCCAGAUGGAGUCAUAACAGUUGCGUGAUUGACAUCAGGAUAUUGAGUUGAUGAAUGAUUACCCCAAAUAAUCACAUUCUUAACAUCAGAAACUUGGACAUUUAGUUUCUCUGAGAUUUGACCUAGUGCCCUGUUAUGAUCCAGCCUUGUCAAACAGGUAAUGUUCUUUGCAGGGAUUGAAGGUGCAAAUUCCUUCAGGAUCAAUGCAUUGGUGUUGGCAGGGUUAGCAACAACCAAAACCUGAAACAAACAGGAAAGUCAAACAACAAGCGAAAUCUUUGAAUUGAGCAAUUUGCUACAAUUUUAACAAGUUAUAAGACCAUACGUUUGUCCAUUCCGCAAAAUCAGUAACAAAACACAAAAUACAUGACACUUCAAAGAAUUCCAAGAAAUAGAACUUCAAAAUUUCAACAAUAUAUGCUCUGAUCUAUAUACGUGGAGUUGAGACAUUUUUUUCUCACCUUGCAGUUAGGAGCUGCAUGCUGUUCCAAGGCAGAAGCCUGAGACUUGUAAAUAGACACAUUCUUUGACAUAACAUCUUUCCUCUCCAUUCCUUCCUUCCUUGGGAAACCACCAACCAUGACAGCAACAUUGACUCCAGUGCAUGCCUCAACAGCAUCAGUUGUAGCAACAACACCUGACAAAACAACAAGAGGUUAAAUCCCAAACCAUACAACAUAUUCAUACUAAUUCAGUAGAACCUAAAAUACAGCUCGAGAACACCAUUCAAAACUUAAACAACGUGAUAAUGACCAUAUAUAUACCCUUUAGAAGAGGAAAUGCAGCAUCCACCAACUCCAUUUUGACACCAUUCAAAGCCUCCGCAGCAGGUGGGAUAUCAAGCAUGUGAAGGAUCACGGGCUGGUCAGCACCCAACAUGACUCCCCUAGCAAUCAUGGGUACAAGAGCAUACCCGAUUUGUCCUGCAAAUACAACAAUAACUCUUUAACAAGUCCUUUCGAAGGGAUAAAAAAAGAGAACACCAAGUCUGAGCUAAGUUAGUCCGACUCAGGUGCAAAUAUUUGAUACAGUAUACGGAUAUCUUCAAGUACUUGAAGGAACUUUUGAGAAAGUCGAUCGCAGGUACUCCAAAAUAAAUAAGGAAUCAAAUUUAAUUCAACUCCUAAGCACUAAAUUUUUUAAUGUCGAUUCCAAACAUAGCAGAUUCCUCCAUUUUAUUUGUGACCUGAGCAAGUCAACGUACUUAUUUUUCACAUUAGCAUAAAGUUCAAAAAAUUUCAAAAUCUUAAAUCACUUCUUCCAUCAUUUAUCAUAUAAACUUCUACGAUCACUACUUUGAGCUACUAAGCACAGAUCCAUGGCAGAUCAAAAUUACUUUUCAGUAAAAUCCGACUUCUAGAGCAAUUUGUGUUCUAAUCCAAACAAUAAUCAGUCCAAUCAAAACAUCCAAAAUACGAACAGUUGAAAUCCAGAUCCCUAUUAACUAGAUCUGAAAAGAGAGAUCUGAUUCAUCCAAAAAGAAAACUAGAUCUACAGAUAAGAUUUAAGCUGAGAAAUGUUUUAAGUACAGGAUCUGAUCAAUGGAACAUAACAGUACCUGCAGCUCCAGUAACGAGGACGCGAACUGGUUCUUUCGCCAUUGAUGAAAGACUGACUAAAACGAUACCGUUUAGCAAGAAUUCAGUGGAGAGAGAGUGAGAAUGAAGAAGACUUCGAGCAGAGAGACAAAGAGGGAGAAGAAAACGCGAAGAAUCGGAGGUAUUUAUAGGCCAAAGGAAAUGAUAUUACCGAGGAAAAAUUUAUGAUAAAAACAAGUGGGCCUUUUGAGUUUUGCAAAAAAAAUCAGUGGAACGUCGUCGUUUGGAGAUGAGAGAGAAUAUAUAUGACGUUGAGAUGCAUGCGAGCAACGUUUAUUGAGCCCACACCGCAUAGAUGCGUGAGAGUAGUGGACAGUAUCAUGCGUGCCGGAACGUCAGUUAUUUUUUUUGGUAAAUUUUUUUUUAGUCCCUGUGCCUGUGCCUACGCUUAGGAUAGAAAAAAUUUAAAUCCGACAGUAGGGAUGGCAAAACUUGAACUUUUUAAUAGAUUUCAAAUGAAAUAGAAUGAAUUUUCGAAAAGUGGAUAUGGAGCAAGGUAGUGUAAAUUUUGUUUUAAUAGUGGGUACGGAGCAACUAUGGUAAUUGUUUGCCCUGUCUCAUCUCACCCUACUUCACUACAUAAAAUUAUUAUUUUGUCAUUGUAUAUAUAAAACUAUUAAACGGGUAAAAAUAUUAUGAUGGAUUUAUAAUAUUAAUAAAAUCCUUGACUGAGUUUGUGUCAUGAGUCAAUCAAACAUCAACUCGAUUAAAAGAAUUAUAAAAAUAUCUUUCUGUAAUUAAAAUAAAUUAUAUUAUUUUGAGAGUACUUUACUUUUUUUUAUUUUAAUAAAACCCAAUAAAAAUAAAUAUAUACAUGGUGAGAUUUGAACUCACGCCAAUUAAAUUAGUAAAAUCUUAAAUUUAUCAUUCAACCAAAGCUAAAUUUUAAUAUGUUUUAUACAUUUUUAUUUAAUAUGCACAAUUUAUUAUCUCAGUCAAUUUUAUAUACUAAUAAUAUUAUUAAUUGAGUUUCUGACAUAAGUAAACUUAACAAUACCUCACAAUUGAUGAAAAUGUCAUGAUAAAUAAUUGUAAUGCGUUUAGUAUAGUUAAUUUGAUGUAUUUAUGUGUUUAAACUUCGUUUUACUCACAAUUUAAUUUAUUUUUUAUUUUAAUAUAGUACAUAUUUCAUGUGUUAUUAUGAUUAAUUACUUCCAAACUAUACGUUUCAUUGUUUAUUGUAUGUUAUUUUUAAACAUAUUUAUGUUUUAAAUCUAUAGUUUACCCACACAUACGCAUGUGAUAAGAUUUCAAGUUAUAGAAAGAUGGUUAAAUAUUUUUAUGAAUAAUUAUGUUUAAAUAUUUGCAUGACUUCAAAAAUAUUAAAGAUAAGUAGCAAAACUAAAUUGUAGCACAACGGGGUGGGAAAGGUAUGAGUGCAUCCAACAUUCAUGAAGAUGAUAGUAGUUUUCAAGAUUAUAUAUCCAUGAUGAAAUAGAACAGACGAUGGAACAAAGUGUGUCUAUUGUGAAAUGAUGAUGAAUUUAGCAACAUUUAUCCCUACCCUCAUUCCAUUGCCAUCCCUACCUCGAUGAGUCCCAAUCAACCUCAAUACUAUUUUUUAUCAUAAAAUUUCAAGAUGGGGUGGGUUGAUUUUUCACUCUCUAUUAAAAACUUGGGGAUCGGGAUUAGAUGAAAUUUACUAAUCUCGAUAUAUUUACUGAAAUACUCAUACAUUAAUAUCAUAACUUUUUAUAUUUUUUAUUAUAAUUUCUUAUUUUUAUACUAAUUUAAAACAUAUAUUUUAACUUUUAUAAUUAUUUCUAUAUACUUCAUUAUAAUUUCUUAAUUUAUUAUAAGAUUUUAUAAUUUGAUAUAAUUUAAUUUCAAACUAUUAUUAAUUAUAUGUUUUAGUUACAGUUGAAAUCUAAAAAAAAAAAUCUAAAUUAUGUGGUUGAGUUAAAUUUUUUAAAAUGAGAAAUUAAUUUAAAACAUUUAUUUUAAUGUUUAAAAUUAUGUCAAUUUAACUGUGUCAAUUGUAAAGUAUGACCUUGGAGUUAAUGAUAAUGCGAGAGUUAAAUUUUGUCAAAUUAAAAAUAAGGGUAAAAAUCUUAAGUUGAAAAUAGUAUAGGGACUGCAACUGGAAUUUGACUCAAAAUUUAAAUUUAAAAAAUAAAUAUUUUUUAUCUGCUAGACUAAAGAAAAAGAAAAAGUAAUGGCUAUAAACUGAGUGUAGCAGCAGGCCCAUUGAUAUUAAAUUAUAGCCACAGAUGUCAAAUACUCCACCAGAUAUUAUUUAAAAUUACUUUUUUUUUAAAGAUUUUAUUAAAUAACUACUAUUUGUCAACGGUCCUAUACUAGAUUUUAUUUUUAAAAUGUUGUCUAAAAUCGAUUUUUUUAAUAAUCAAAUAAAAAAUGUUUAUAUUAUUUUUAAAAUUUUAAAUAUAAUUUAACAUAUUUUUUAAUGGUUAUAUAGUAUUAAAUUAUUAUAUAUUUAAUUUAUGCGAGGUGUAAUAAACUAUAAAAUAUAUUAUAAAAAUAUAAAAUGGGUCAAACUUCGAUAUUAAAUAUAGAAGCUCAAGUUUGACACAUAUUUUAAAUAAUUUUUUUUGCUCAAAUUUAUUUUUCAAAUAACAUAUUUUUGCCUAAAUAUAAUCCUAUCUUAAAACAUGUUUAGUUGUGAUUUAAUGGACAAAUAUGCCCAAAUUAAUCAUAAUAAUAAUUUUUUUGAUAAAAUAUUUUUAUAAAAUCAUAUAUCAUAUAUAUUAUAAUUUUAAUAUUAUCCUAAAUAGUCGAUACCCUAAAGCUUUGAGAUGUUAGUUUUAGGUUCGAGUCUCACUGCAUGUAGAAUUUUUUAAAAUUUAUUUUGAUUUAAAUUUUAUCAUGUACAAGUUAUGUUUAGAAUUAUUUUAAUUAUUAAUUUUGUCGUAUAUUGCAAUGAUUAAUUUUAAUUGGAAUUAUGGGAAUGCAUUAUUUUACUUAUAAUUUUACUUUUAACUUAAAAAAAAAAAAGAAGGCAAGGACUGAUUAUACAUGGAGUUUUGCGUGUGGAGGGGGUAAAUUACAUCUAAGGUUAUUAAACAUCUGAUAAAUUUUUGUUUUGGUCAUUUAAUUUUAAAAAAUUACAAAAUGGUUAUUGAACAAUUCAAAAGUUAUUUUAAGUCACUAGGCUAUUAAAAUCAACAUCAUAUGGCCUUCUCCAUUCGCACUGCUGACACAAAUAGAAAGCUUAACAACCUAGAUGAAAACUUUCGAAUAAGUUAAAAACUAUUUUGUAACAUUUUUAUAAUUAAGUUAUUAGAACGUAAACUUACUAAUAGUUCAGCGAACUUAAAUUUGGUUUACCUUCUUUUAAAGGAUUUUUCAAAUUGAGUAGGCUAGACAGGGCCAAUAUUGCCUUUGACAAUAUGGGCCAAGCUUAAUCCAUCAAUUGUUUCAAUAUUUCAAAACAACAAGUACGAACCUGCCCAAACUCAUUCCGGUCCGACCCAACCCAAUAAACCGUUCUCCACUCAUAGAGUCAUAGUUAAUUUAGGAUUUUCAUUUGUCGGUUUAUAUAUUGGGGCAGAUGCGUCUGUAUAUAUAAUUAUCCGGUAACGUAAUCAUUAAUUAUCAGUAAAAAAAAAAGGAAAAACUAGCAAAUUCCGCAAGGCAAUCGACUUCCAUUAGGGUUCUUCGAUUCCGAUUUUACAGAACUUCUUUUAUCGAAUUUGUGAAAUUUCAUCUUCAAAACCCUAGUUUCUGCUAAUAUCUUAUUGAUUCAACAUGGCUACUGCAUCAGGUACGUUCUCUAUUCUUUUUCCCCCAAUUUCUUUCUUCCGUUUUCUUUCUAUGCCGAAAGAGAGUGAAAAUUUUAAAUUUUAUCUGAUAAUUGUUUUGGAAUUUCAGUGGCGUUUAAAUCAAGGGAGGAUCACCGAAAACAGCUGGAAUUAGAGGAAGCUCGAAAAGCGGGGCUUGCUCCGGCUGAGGUUGACGAGGAUGGAAAAGAAAUUAACCCUCAUAUUCCUCAGUAUAUGUCAUCAGCACCUUGGUAUCUUAACGCUGAAAGACCUAGUUUGAAACAUCAACGGAAGUGGAAAUCUGAUCCCAAUUAUACCAAAUCUUGGUACGAUAGAGGCGCGAAGAUAUUUCAAGCUGAAAAAUAUCGAAAAGGAGCCUGCGAGAAGUAAGCGAAUCUCUUGUUCUUUUUUCUGUUAUGGUGCACCAUACUUGUUCGCGUGUCUAUGAAUGCCUUGUUUCGUGUUUUAUGUGUAUUUUAAAUUUUAGAUCGCACUUUUGAUCGAUUUUAAUCAUUUGGGGUAGAAAAGGGAGUUAGAAUUCUGGUUAUUAAAGAUGGAUUCUUGGCUAAUGUGAAGCUAAAAUUGUAGGUUAAAAUUUCGUGCAAUAUGACUUGAUGCUGAUGUUCUUCCUCGUACUGUUUCUUUGAAUUUUUCUGUUUAGCAAACAAGAAUAAGGUCGUAUUUUUUUUUUUAUAUGUUCCGUUUCUAACUAUUCAUUUGGAAGUGAUGCAAUAGAUGUUCAGUUGUACUAGUAAUGGAAUUUCUCUCUAAUGAGUGACGAGCCUAUUUAUUAAUUAUCAAAUUUAUUGACAUAUUGAGAUAGAAGUCGUUUAGGUAUUUUUGUAGGUAACCAUAUAGGGAUAGAUCCCAAUGAUAGAACUUUUUUCUGCCACAUCAGACAAUAGCUGGGUUAUGUUAACUAAUGAAGUUCAUGCUUUCUUUCGAACACAAGGCAUGGCUCAUGGAAGAUACUUAUUUAUUGAUCGAGUUGAAAGUCAGAGAUUAAUUCUGUAGCUUAUGUGUUCUAUACUUGUAAUAUGGGAUUAAAUAGUUUUAGUUUAGAUGGUGAUACUAGUUUGUGACUUUGUGCUUUAAACUCUUAUUUUGCCAUGAUUCAUAAUUUUUUAUUUCCUUUAAUUGUUUCUUAUAGCUGUGGAGCCAUGACACAUGAUGCAAAGUCAUGCAUGGAGAGGCCUCGUAAAAAGGGCGCAAAAUGGACGAACAUGCACAUUGCACCUGAUGAAAAGAUAGAGACUUUCGAACUGGAUUAUGAUGGCAAGCGUGAUAGAUGGAAUGGUUAUGAUGCAUCUACAUAUGCUCGUGUCAUUGAAAGGUAUGAGGCAAGGGAUGAGGCUAGAAGGAAGUAUCUGAAAGAACAGCAGCUGAAAAAGUUGGAGGAGAAAAAUAGUAAAAACGAGGGAGAGGUAGAGGGAGAGGGGGAGGAAGGAGAGAUUAGUGACGAAGAAGAUGAUGAUGAUGCUCUGAAGGUUGAUGAAGCGAAGGUUGAUGAGAGCAAACAGAUGGACUUUGCUAAGGUUGAGAAGCGUGUUCGUACCACUGGCGGAGGGAGCACGGGAACUGUGAGGUACAUUUAUUAUACCAUUCCUCAGCUGUAUCUUAUUUUUUAUGUAUUAUUCUUACUUAUUUUGGUUUCUAAAGAACAUUUCUUCCGUGCAAUACAAAACAAGUAUUCUUAUUUCAUAUUUGCCUUUUUCUUCUAGGAACUUGCGUAUUCGGGAAGACACAGCAAAAUAUCUUUUGAAUCUUGAUGUCAAUUCCGCAUAUUACGAUCCCAAAACUCGAUCAAUGCGUGAAGAUCCACUUCCUGAUGCUGAUCCUAAUGAGAAGUUCUAUGAAGUGAGUAUCGUGCAGAAUUUUCCCCUUUAAUUUCUUUCAUAUCUAUAUGCCACAAAGUUAAUUAAACAAUGAAUUUUGACUUGUUUAUUUGUUACCUUGCAGGGUGAUAAUCAAUAUAGGAUGAGUGGGCAAGCAUUGGAGUUCAAGCAGCUCAAUAUUCAUGCAUGGGAAGCAUUUGAUAAAGGUCAAGAUAUUCACAUGCAGGCUGCUCCAUCCCAAGCUGAACUCCUCUACAAGAAUUACAAGGUCAUUAAAGAGAAGUUGAAAUCAAAGACGAAAGAUACCAUAAUGGAAAAGUAUGGCAAUGCAGCGACUGAAGAAGAGAUACCCAUGGAGCUUCUCUUGGGGCAAAGUGAGAGGCAGGUCGAAUAUGAUCGUGCUGGAAGGAUUAUUAAGGGAAUGGUAUGUAUGGAACUUUCUGCUUAUUCUAGUUAGUUUGUGGUUCUCCCUGUCUGUUAAUUUGUAAGAAUUUCUCGUACAAAACUAUAUUUUCACAUGCUGAUGUUGGUUGCCUUAAAGACUAUCUAAAUUAAACAACAAUAUCGUUCUUUUGUUCUUCUUGCUAAAAGUAUCAUGAUAUCUUCAUGCUCUUACUAAUGCUAGAAUGCAUGCCAGUAGAUGAAAACUGUAUCGAGUGGUUAAUGACUUUUAAAAGUGAGAUGCAUCUGGAAAAUAUUGGCAAUGCAUGUCAUCCUGGUCUUUAUUUUUCCCUUUAUUUUCAUGAUUAAAGCCAUUUAAUUUUGUUUCUGACUUGUUUGAAAUAAUCUUCUUAAGUGCUUCUUUAUAGGUUAUCAAGUUAUAUGAAAUUAGUAGUUUAGUCCCAAUUUAUAUUAUAAUUUUACAGUGGCUUUUCUUUGAAAAUUGAGUGCUAAGUCCUAUAAUUCCUUUCUCCUUGCAACCAUUUUUGUAGGAAACUUCUCUUCCAAAAAGUAAGUAUGAAGAAGAUGUUUUCAUUAAUAAUCACACCAGUGUCUGGGGCUCCUGGUGGAAGGAUCACCAAUGGGGAUACAAGUGUUGCAAGCAGACCAUUCGCAAUAGUUACUGUACUGGUGCAGCCGGUAUUGAAGCUGCAGAAGCAGCCACAGACUUGAUGAAGUCAAACAUUGCUCGUAAAGCGUCCUCCGAAGGUGGGUUCUUCAUAUUGAUUACAUACAUUAAAUUAGUUCUUUAAGUCGGACUCAUUCUUCUAAGUGAUGGUCUUUAAGUUCAUAUUAUGUUGCAAAUAAUUUUGGUUUUUACAUAAAUCAUCUAAUAGAAGCCUAGAUGGUGAGCUAGCUUCUAUUUUAUAUCCCUGAAUUGCAAAGUAUCUGCUUCUUUUAGUUCCUAGAUUUUUUGCACUUCCGUCAUUUUUAAUCCUUGUACCUAUCUUCUCUAUUGGACUGCCAACUUGAAUGCAGAUGCCCCAGCUCCUGCACAGGAGAGGAAACACGUUACUUGGGGAUCCGAUGUUCCUGAGGACUUGGUUCUCGAUGAAAAACUUCUCACCGAGGCUCUUAAGAAGGUAAAUGGGAUGCAUAACAUUUACUUAACAAUCUGGUUGUAUACCAAAACGAUAUAUUGCUUAUUUUUAUGCAUGUUCAAUCUGACAGGAGGAGGAGCGGAGGAGAGAGGAGAAAGAUGAAAGAAAACGGAAGUAUAAUGUCAGAUGGAAUGAUGAGGUAAUGGUCUCCUAUCAAAGCUAAAUUCUCCAGAUAUUCUUUGCGGAGAUAUCUUGUCAUGUUACUAAAUCAUCGUGUUGGUUGUAGGUAACUGCUGAGGAAAUGGAGGCAUAUCGGAUGAAAAGGGUACACCACGAUGAUCCAAUGAAGGAUUUCUUAAAUUGAAAAGCAUGUUGAUAAAAGUAAGAACAAAUAAAAUGGAUACUUUUAGCUAUUAUGAUAUCGUCAUUGAGUUGUGAUGAAAAUCAUAUGUUCUUUUGUUUUGUUUGUGCGAUACACCAUGUAUUUUCAUUCUACAUCAAUGACAUAGGUUUCCCCUAAUAUAUCAUGUUCUCUGACAGUGCAACCAUUUAAAAUUUCUCAACCAUGCUUUAUUAAAGAGCUUGAAAGGUUUACUGAUAUGGUCAUUGUGUUGUUACCUGUGGAAAUCUCACGUUCUUUUUUAUAUUUUAUUUGUUUUUUUUUUUGCCUUUUUUUCUUCAAUUGUGAUCCCUACUCUCUUGAACCUCACCACACUACCUUUAUUAUGAUCCCUUAACCGAGACACCCUCAAUAUCCAUAUUCCCCAAUCCAUUGCCUAAGCCAAAUUCAAUGUCACCAUCUCUCCUCAUCAUUUCCCCAAACAUAAACAGCAACUCAAAACUCUCCCAUACAUUACCCAAUCAGUCGCCAUAUUCGUCACUAUUGGCCUCUCCAUCAGCACCUCACCAUAUACUCUUAAAUGAACUAUUUAUUGUUGCAAUCAUUAACCAUGACCAAAACCUUCUAAUCUCCAUGGCAUAUCUAAUCAACUCACAAGUCUCGUCGUGUCAAGUUCCUAUACAACCCCAGCAACACAGCUAUAGUGUGCAUGAGCCAGGUCGGGCUCAACUAAAAAUUUAGGCAUGUUUGUUUGGCCCAGGUUUGGUCUAAAAAUUAAGCCUAGAAUUUUGUCCAAGCCGACCCGGAUAAAAAUGUUAAAAUCCUAGUCCGAUUUGGCCCGUCCAUAUUAAUUUUUAUAUUAUUUUUUAUAUCAAAAAUACUAAAAAUAUCAAAAUUUAUUUUCAAAAAUUAUGUAUACUUAAAUAACACUAAGAUAGAUGCAAUUUAACAAGCAAAUGUCUCUAAAAUAAUAACAAAAUUAACAAAUGUCUUUAAAAUAAUAACAAAAUUAAUAAUAAAAUAAAAUUUAUAUAAUAUUUAAAUAAAAACAACAAAAUAGUAACAACAUAAUAGUAAAAUGGUAGCAAAAUAGGGAGAAAAAAUAAUAAAAUAAUAUUUGAAAAUAAAAAAAAAAUUUCUUUUAGUGAUUUGGGUUGGGCCCGGGCCAAAAAUGUUUUACUCGAGCCCGACCCGUUUUUUAAAUGAGUCUUAUUUUUCUGUUCAAGUCUAUUUUUUAAGCCUAUAUUUUUUCUUAAACCCUCCCAUAUUUCGGAUAAGCUUUCAGGCAGGCCGGGUGGCCCAACCUAUGAACAGGUCUAAUCAUGUAAUGUAUAAAUGUUGAGGGAUAAUUUUUUUGUUAAAUUAUAUUCCAUCUUAUAAUAUGUAAAUUAAGUAAAUAAUAAAAAAAUUAUAAUAUAUAACAUUUAUAAAAGGAUUUUAUAAAUUGUUGAGUAACUUUCGUAGCAUUUUUCUAUAAAUAAUAUAAGUUUUGGUUGUAACUUUAUUAUAAAUAAAUUAUGAUAAAAAAAAUUAUAACAUAUAUAAUAUGGAUACAAAUAAGUUGCGUUGAUAUUUCUUGAAAAAUAUUAUAAAUAAUUAUAUCAUAGCACUUUCAUAACAUGUAAAUAAUAAAAAAAUUUAUCAUAACUUUAUGAUUUUUUAAUAUUUAAGUAAUAUAAUUUUUUGUUAUAAGUUCAAAAAAUACAUAAAUUAUUUUUAUAAUAUAAUUUUUUAAGAUUUAUAAUAUAAUUUCUUUUUGCAAUAACUAACCCGAACACUCAUACGUGUUAAUGUUUAUAAUAUAAUUUUUAUAACUUGUAUAAAAAUAAUUUAUUAAAAAUUGGAUUUGGAUCGCGUAAUUACUCAAAUUCUCACUCUCCCCUUAAGAAUUGAAAAGUAUAAUUGAGGUGUUCUAAUUACAUCAAAUUCACACCACCCUUCAAGGGCGUAGCCGGCCCCUAAAAUGGAAAAGUUUUCAUUUAGUCCUUUUAAAAUUUUAAAUUAGUAAAGAUAAAAUUACACUUUGGCCCCCUUGAAAUGAUAAAAAUUUGAUUUAAUCCUUUAAAAAUUAUAAAGAUAGACUAUUGAAAUGGUGAAAUUAUAUUUUUAUUAUCAUAGAAAUUACAAUUUAAUUUUGCCUCCCCUAAAAAAAAUUCUAACUUCACCUCCGCCACCAUUAUGUAAUUACAAAUAAUUAUACCCAAAUUCAAUUAUUAAAUAACUUUCUAAAUAUUACAAAGUAUGAAUAUAGAUAAGCCUUUGAAUAAUUAAGGUUAUAGAUUAUAAUCGAGUCUAAAGCCAAGGCAUUUUGGGAACACAACAUCUCAAAAAGAAGGUCUUAUUGGUGAAAAUAAAAAGAUAGAGAGAUGCGAGAUCUCAAUAUCUUACUUUGCUUUUUGAUAAUCAAUGUGAAAAAAGAAAGAAAGAUAGAGGAAACAAAUUGGGGGUAGGCUUUGGAUGGUUGCCCACUUUCCGGAUCUCCAUUUUGAUCUUCCAAUUUGAAGCUAAUCCCACUAAUUAAUCUCAUUUCUACAAAGUGAUUAGGGCAUAUAUAUUGUUUAAAAAGAUUUAUUCUAUUUGUUUCUUUGUCAUUUAAAGAAGCAAACCAAGAACAAGAAUUUGGAUGAUGCUAAAUUUAAAUAAUAAAUAAUUACCGAUUAAGUCUUAGCUCGAUGCGAGAGGAUAUGGGUUUGAGUAUGCUGAAGCGCAUUAUCCUCCUGUUUAUGAGUUGGAGAGAGGUUAUGGGUAAUUAUAUGCAUUAUGUUAAAAAGAGUAAAUAUGAUCAGAACCUAUAAUAAAGUUAUUUAAAAAAAAACAAUAAAUAAUUAGAGAUGCUAUUCGACCCAAUAAUAAUUGAUUUCAAAUUCUCAAGUCUAUGGUGAUUUAGGGAUACAUUGGAUUUCACCAUAUAUAUAUAUAUAUAUAUAGUAUUAAAAAAUACAACUUUAUUGGUCAAAUUUUUCGUUUAACACCUAUACAACAUAGAUUAUAAUAUAUAUUUUUUAAAAAGAAUAACUAUAGUGGCAUAUAUUGCAUUAGUUGCCAAAAAUGUAAGGGACACGGUGGAUUAAGCACUGGUGAAUUAUAAAAAUAGGAUAAAGCUCGAAACAGUAAACGCGAUUAGCAUGACUCGAAUACAAGUCACAUUUGGGAUGGUGAACAUCCUAAUUAUCAAGUCAUCACAUGGGACUCAAGCACCAGUUUAUUGGUAUCUUAUACUUAAAUUGUGUUAAUUAAGUGAUUAUCUAUGCUACAUAUAAAAUGAUUGAUUGAGAUGAUGUUGAACUUUUGGUGCAAGAUUGCAAUAACUACACAAUACAUCAUUACACCUUUUGGUUAAUGUAAUUUUGGUCCUUAAAUUUAGUUAUUAAGAUCAAUUUGAUAUUUGUACCUUUUUUUUUUGUUUACUGCAGUACUUAAAGAAGUAAUUUUUUCUCGUUUUGCUUCUUGAAUUUGGAUUAUAUGAAAGAGUAAUGAUAUGGUAUUUAGAGGUUGGACCUGAAAUUUAAAUUUAAAUUUUUUUCAAGUGACUUAAUUUUAUAUUACUACAUUAUCACAUUCUUAUGCAAUCCAAAUUCAAAGAGUAAUCUGAACUUAAUUACGAAGUUCAAGGAUAAAAAAUUUAUAUCAACCUAUAAUUUAUUAUAAACACGAAUUUAUGUAUCUUCUCUAAAUUAAAAUUCAAAGUUUGAAUUUAUUAGAAGUUACUUGUUAAAAAAUUAUUACAUAAACAAGAUUAAAUUUUGAGUUGGAUCAUUAAGAGUUAAUUGAUUAAUUUAAAAUUGAAAACCUUGUGGUUUUUCGUUCGAGUCCCAUCAUGUAAGAACUCCAUCCAAAUUUAUCUUUAGUUUAAAAUCGAAUAUAGUUUGAUUAUUAAUACGAGAUUCUGAUUAUAUUAUUAAAUCAAUAUGAAAUUAAGGCUAAUUUUUUUUCGUAAAUCUUAUUCUUCCAUUGUAAUGAUUGAGAAAGAAAUUAUUGGGAAAAAAAAUCAGAUUUAAAUGAAAAAUGCAAAAUAGUUUACUAUAGAAUCCAACCUUAAUACAGUAGUUGAACUGUGGAAGUCAUUUUCAUUAAUAAGUGAAUGCUUCUAUUCUUGAAAUUAGCUACUUAUGUUGUCCAAAUUUUCAAUCAAAAGUAUAUAUACUUUUAGACUACUAAUCAAUCAUGUGUAUUGUCGAAAACUAUCUUUUCCCAAAAUUUAAAUGCUAAUAAUUUCAGUGGUUUAUUAAAAUCAUUUCAUUUAAAAUAUAUAUAUAUAAUUUCCAUUUGAUAAAUUUAAAAUAUAAUUAAUAUAUGUAGAAGAAAAUUACUUUCUUGUGUAAAUAGAAAAUUAUAUUGUUUUGCAUAAAAAAAAAUUAUAUUUUCCCCUUGCAUAUUUUUACCAUUCAUAAUUUAUAUCUAUUUAAGAGUUAACCUAAUUUUAGUUACUUGAUUCAAACAAAAAUCUUGAAUUCAUUCCUGCUGAUGGAUUGGUAGUUAAGGAUGUUCACACCAUAAAAUUCACUCGGGUUUGAGUUUUUGAGAAAGCAGUCAUAAGUGCAGCUCCUUGAGUCCUUGUUGGACGCGGUGUAUACAAGUGAUGUGGGUAUAUCCCAACUAUACGUGUAUGAGUACAAACUCUCUAAUUGUACAAUAUGUUUCUUUGGUCGAAUUUUGGAUAAGAUAAUUUGUAAUUGGCUUAAUACAUUAUUUGAUUUCCAAGUUUGACAUUUUUUAAUAUCGUAUUUGUGUUGUUUUGGUCUCUUGUAGUACAUAUAUUUGAUGAAAAUUAUAUAUUUUGAUACCCGAAACUAAUAGUGUUAACUUUUUAGUACUUAAUUCAAAUUUUAAGAUUGAUUUGACGAAAAUUCAUAAUUGAUCAAUAAUAUUAACAAGCAUUUUAUUGUAAAUAUAUCUUAAUUUACUUUUUAUAGAAUACACAUGUUUUAUUACUUAAAUUUAUUAUAAAUACAUAUUAAUUUAUUUUUUAUACAGUACACAUUAUUUUACCACACGGAAGGAACCUAAGCAUCGAAUUAGGGUUUGAAACUGAUAAGAUCAUAAAAAAAAAAAAAAAUUUGGAUGCGAUCUUAAAAUCAAUUUAAAGAACUUUCAGACCACUACCUUCCCUAUCAACACAUCGAGUAGCAUCCUACCAAAGCUAGUUUCUUCAAGAAAAGACUGGUGAUGACUGAUGGGAGAUGGUUGCCAAAGCCACGUGGGGGGUAGAUUUUACUAUGAAAAAUCCCAAAUUGGAAGUGGAAUGGAAAGCCACAAAUUAGGGUUUCAAAAAAAAAAAAAAAACUGUUGCCACAUGAACUGUUUGUGAAUCAACUGUUGCUUGACUGACUGAUGGUUCCGGGUGAUGCAAGUUAUGCCCCCAUUUUCAAAGUUACAAGAUUUCCUAUUUCAUAAUUCUAUUAUUUAUUAAAACACAAAAUCAUUUAAAGACGCAGUUUGUAAUAAUUAAAAAAGUAUAUUGAUUCAAACGCGUUUAAAUUUAUACAUGUCGGUUCGAGAGAAUUCACUCUCCCUACUUAAAAAAUCUUACUCGACUUGAUUUUAAAUUCAGACAGACUCGUUGUAAUUAUCGAAUAUUGGAGUGCGACUAUAUCACGCUAAAAAUAUACAUCAAAAUUAUUGACAAAGUUCGAAGGGGUAAAAUGGUCAUUUGAGAAAAGGUGUUGUCAAUCAAAAGAAAAGGGUGAAGAAACAAAAUCAUGUUAUUCCCCCAAAUAGCUUUAUCCUGUCUCCAUCAUCUUUUCCUUCCUCUUUCCAUUUCCAAAAAAGCCCUAGACACACUCACUUAUUUCCACUUGCAUCAUUCUCGGUACCUAUUAUUAUACAUUUCAAAAUAGCAUUUUAUUUAGGCUAUAUAAAAUCUAAAUUCAAAUUUUCAAAAUCAUAUUUCUAAACAUAACAUUUUAAUUUAAUUAAAUCUUAAUUCAAUAUUUUGUAUCUUAUUGUAUGCCAUGCUCAUAUUUAAAUUAUAAUUUUUUUAUAAAAAUAUUGAUACAUUUCAAUCAUGUCACACUAUAUAUAUCAUAUUUUAUUCUUCCUAUCAUAUUAUUUCUUAUAUUGUACACAUAUUUUAAGUCACUACUUUAUAUAAUUAUAUCAAGCUUAAAGUUACUAAAUUUACACAUACAUAUGUGUAGAUUUAUGCUAAAAUACUACCUCUCAGAUAUAUAUAUAUAUAUAUAUAUUAAAUUAUAAUUAGAUUGUUCGAUAAAUAUAAUAUUAAAAUAAAAAAUUGAAAAUAUUUUUUAUUGAGUGAAUCUUUUAUAGAAAAAAAUUGCAUCAUAUUGUGUUUUUUUUAUUAUAGAUUAUAAAACACAUGUAAAAAAUUAAUUACUAAAAAUAUUAUACAUUCGUUUGACACGGGUUGAAACUAUGUGACCCCCAUCUCUUACUAUUAAUAUUGUAUAAAAAAUAUUUAUUUUUAUUUUUAUUUUCAGCAAUCAACUAAAUAAAAAUGAUAGAAAAUGGCUUAGUUAAAACUUUAUUAAUAUUAAGGAUAGGUUUGAACGGACGAUACAUUUACUUGCGACAGAUAAUUCUUUAUUAACACUAAGGUGGGUUUGGAUGGGUAGUGCUUUUACUUGUGGUUAGUGUAAAAAUAACGGUAGCGGUAAGAUUAAAUACUAUAACAAUAUUGUAAUAUAAGACAAAAAGUAAAUUAAAAAUAUCGCACCACACUGCAUCUAACCGUCCAUCCAAACUCACCCUAAUUUUAGAAUUCAAAUUUCACACAAAAAUGAUGAGAACCUUUCAAGUUAUCUAGGAAAGAUCAAACAAAAAAAGAUUGAAAAAAACCUCAAGGUAAAAGAAAGGGAGGCUCACUCUACCCUACCUUUACUAUUCUUUUUUCCUCUAAUUUCCCUCUCCAUUCUCUCUCUCUCUCUCAUGAAUUAAAUUAAUAAUAUGUUCUUCAACCCUCCCUCUAUAUGCCCUUCUCAUCCCAUUAUUGAGUCCCCCCCCCCCUCCUUUGUUAUGUAAAUAUCUCACUUUUUUUUUUUUUUAAAUUUCACCUUUUUAGUCUCUUCAUUCAUCACCUUCGAUCUCUAUAAUCUUCACAUAUUUUUAUAGCAUUAUUAUUAUUUAUCCUAUAAUUUUCAGUUCAUUGUUUACUGUUCAUCUUCCUCCACUAGAAAACUUGUGUUUUGAUGACUUUCUUUGUUCUCAUGCUGAAAAUCUGAAAUCUUUUGUGUGUUUGAAAUUAUUACUGUUUCAGUCCUUUUGUUUUUGAUUUCCUUUUGUUUCAGUCCUUUUCUUUUCAAGCUAAGUGUUGAUCAUAUAUGGAUUCUCUUCAGGGUUUCCAAACAGCAAAUAUAAACCCUUCUUCCACCACCAAUUUGAAUCCAAAUUUCCCUGCAAACCUCUCCAUCACCACCGUGGGAACCACCGCCGGCGCCACCACCAACACGAUCCCUUUAUCAGCAGCCGCGGCCUCCUCCUCCUCCUCCUCUUCUUCCACUUCUCCUUCGACACUCAGUCGCUACGAAAACCAAAAGCGCCGUGACUGGAACACGUUCGGGCAAUACCUCCGCAACCACCGCCCGCCGCUCUCCCUCUCCCGCUGCAGCGGCGCACACGUCCUGGAGUUCCUCCGCUACCUCGACCAGUUUGGGAAAACCAAAGUCCACACUCAGCUUUGCCCUUUCUUCGGCCACCCUAAUCCCCCGGCCCCAUGCCCUUGCCCUCUCCGCCAAGCUUGGGGAAGCCUCGAUGCCCUCAUCGGACGCCUCCGAGCCGCCUUCGAAGAACACGGCGGCAAACCCGAAGCAAACCCUUUCGGUGCCCGAGCUGUUAGGCUUUACCUACGUGAGGUUCGUGAUUCACAAGCUAAAGCAAGAGGCAUAAGCUACGAGAAGAAGAAAAGAAAACGACCCCCUCAUCCUCAACCUCAAGUUCCUCCUCUUCCACCUCCCCAUGGCAAUCAAAACCAGUAAGAACAUAUAUAUAUAUAUAUAUAUAUAUAUAUAUAAAUGGAAAGACGUAAUCAUGACCCAUCUGCAUGGCAAAAGAACAUGGUUUUUCCAUUGUUCCUUUAUAUUUUUAUUUUAAUUAAUGUCAUUUUAAUUUGCACCUAUAAGAUCCUGCUGUGAAUCAAAGCAAUUCCUUUUUGUUAAUUAAAACAAUAUUUGCUUAGUUCUGGUUUCAUAAUACUAGUUAAUUAACUAAUAUUUCUUCUUUUUUUCUUCACAAGAAUUUAUAUUAGAAAAAAUGGGGGGCAUGAGGAAAAUCAGAUACUAAAAAGGAAGUCAAGUGUCGGUUGAGUUAAAAGAAGCAUUCCUGUUUUAGUAUCAUUUAUGUUCGUCGUUUUUGCCUUCUUUCUAAUUUCUUAUCUUUUGCUUGCCUUCUCUGUGUUUGACAAAAGAUCUAUAAUUGCUUUCAAUUGUUAUAUAAAUAUAUAUAUAUAUAUAUAUGUAUAUAUAUGAAUAUGAAGUAAAGUGAAAGGAAGAGACUAAACGUGUUAACCAAAAAGCUGCAUCAGACACUCGAAACAGUGAACUAAAACAGUUGUUUCCAUGUUUUUUACAAAACAUGGGAGUUUCCAUUUCUUUUUUUCAAGAACAAAAGUCCCAUUAAUCUGCAGAAAUAUCAGGCUUUAAUACUGAUGAUGGGGUCUUCUUUCUCUUGAUAACUAGCGUUCAAACCUAGUUCAUUGUCUGAUUUGGUCAAUUUUCAUCUCACAUUUACCUUGUCAUAUGUUUUCAGUGGAAAAAUCCCUAGUCAUAUGAACCCUAAUAAACAGCACUGAAAAAUAUUAUAUAUGUAUAAUCAUAUAUGUUUGAUUAGGUCAAGGAUUUUUAUAAUAGUUGUUUUUUUAAAGAACAAAUGUGUUUGGUUUUCAUGUCUGAAACAUGUUUUUGUUUGGGGUUUUAUCUAUGCAUCUUAGAGAGAUAUGUCUAAUGGAACAUCAAUUUAUGAUAUUUUUUCCCACUAAAUUUAAGAAUAAAUUAAGAAAGAAUGACAUCUAUAUAUUAUAAAAAAAAUUUGAAAUUAUAGUGUGUCAUGCUAAGUACCUAUCUAUAAUAAUAUUUAUUAUAUUUUUUUGAGUUUCUGAUCAUAUCUGUUUUUUUACACAAAUCUUAGAACUAUUUAUAACCCAUUUCCAAUUCAUAUAUAGAAGGAUAAUGCGCUUUAACGCACUCGAACCCACCUCCACCUAUAUUAGAAAUAAUGUACAUACUAAUCGAAUUAACACUAAAUCCACAUCAAUUUAUAAUAUUAAAAUUCAACAAAUAUUAGAAAGACUAUUAUUUUACCAGACCUUGGUCAUCAAUAAUAAUUUAUAAUAUUAAAAUUCAACAAAUAUUAGAAAGACUAUUAUUUUACCAGACCUUGGUCAUCAUAUUCAAUGAAUUAUUAAUUAAAAUAUUCAAAUUGAUUGAUUUUUUUGGUAUUUUUUAAUGCAUGUAUAGAAUAUUUCAAUUAAUAAUUCAUUGAAUUUGAUGCUUUAAUCUUAUACUGAUUAGAAAAGCUAAGAUUCCGGUGUUUGUUUAAUUGUUUCAUGCAAAUGUUUAUAAGAGUUGAGAUUUAAUAUAUUUGAAAAUCAAAUUUAAACAUUUAUAAUUUUUUUAAAUAAUAGAUGAAUAUAUAAAAAUAAAAGAAGGAAUUAUACGAAACUGUGUAAUUUCACGAUAUUAGUAUUCCUUUUCAAUAAGAAAAUAAUAAAUUAGAUUUUUUCACCUGAAAAAAAAAUUAAAAAUGCUAAAAAUUAAGAGUAAAAAUUUGAUUUGUCAUUCUCUCAUUGGGAAAGGAUAAAGAUAACAUGGAAUCACAGUCUCAUAUAAUCCUUUCUCGUAAGAAUAAUGAGUUUGGUUCUAGGUGUUUGAAAAUAUUUUUUCUAGGUAAAGCAAUCCUUUCUCCUAUUGGUAUGCAAGUAUAUAUAAAUGAUAGCCAACCUGGAAUUAUAUAUAUGAAUUUAUAUUUGAUAUAUUAAUGUAGUUUUUGAAAAGAUAAAACGUGCUUUUAGUUCUAAUAAUAUAUAAAUUUAUAUAUUAAUUAUCAGAAAAUCAAAUAUAUAAACUAUAUAUAUAUAUAUUUAUUGCCUAAUUCACGUUAUUGAAUAUUAAAAUAAGGGAAGCAAAAGUCUCACACAAACUCAAAAGAAGAAAGCACGAAUUUUUUUUGAUAAAUUAGACAUGAAAAAAAUAUGAUGAGAUUACGUAAUAAUAUAGGAUUAAAUCAAUGAAUAACGUUAUAGAGACGGAUGGACGGAGAUUUUCAAAAAUAAUGUUAAAGUAAAUUUUGAUUUUGUGUAAUUUUAUAUAAAAAUUGGGUAAACUAUAAAAAUAGUCACUUUUGUUUGUCUCAGACUACAUUUCAGUCACUUACGUUUGAAAAGUUACGUUUUAGUCACUUACGUUAUCGUUUUGUUACGAAGUGAUCACUCUAUCGUUAAGCUCCGUUACCUCCCUAACGGCGGUCCUACGAGGCAGUCCAAAUGGGUUUUAAUUAUCAACUUGGAUGUCCUACGUAACAGUCCAAAUUGAAUUUUAUUUAAUUAAAUCCCAUUUGGACUGCCACAUAGGACUUCCGUUAGGGAGGUAACAAAUUUUAACAGUAGUGUGACCGCUUCGUAACAAAACAAUAACAUAAGUGACUAAAAUGUAACAUUUUAAACAUAAGUGACUAAAAUGUAAUUUGAGGUAAACAAAAGUGACUAUUUUUGUAGUUUACCCUAAAAAAUUUAUUUGAUUUGGUUUUAAUAAUUAGUUAACACAAUUAUCGAUACAGAAUUAUUUUACGUUUAUAUAUUGUAUACACAAAUAAUUAUAUUUAUCUAAAAUAUAAAAAAAAUUAAUGUAUUUAUUUCUUUAAGUGUAUAUAAUUGAAUUAAAAUCAACAUUUUAUCUAUAUAUUUGAACCACAAUCAAAGUUUCGUGUGUAUGAUUGAACAAAAUUAAAGUUUAUGUAUAAUUUUGAGAUUCAUCAAAAAAAUAUCAUAUUAAAAUUAGUAAUAAGUAUUAUGAAAAUGAGAUAAAAUGUAAAAUAUUCGAGCCAUCAAUUGAAUAUUAGUUCACUUGGUAUUAUUUUUGUCGCAAUAAUUUAGAGGUUGUAGAUUUAGUCGUGCUUAAACGUACAAUAUCCACAUACGAAGGGAUUAUGAAAUAAAGGGUUGACUUGUAAGGGAGGAGAUGAAAGAAAUAACCAUUAAAAUACUUUUACAUUUGUAAAAUUAUGGAAUAUUAUUAUUUGAUAUGAUUAUAGUGUCGUCCAAUUUUGUUUUGCAGUUUAUAAAUAUUGAUUUUUUUCGUGGUUUGUAAUUACCCCUUUUAAUAAUAUUAUUUUUAAAUUUUCUUCCUGAUGGUGUAAUGUAUCUUAUUAUUGCAACCAUGUUAAUGCAUAUAUAAUAUUUUGUUUGAUCGCUUGGAUGUGUUAAAAACUAUAUUCCUUUCUUUUUUUUAAAAAACUUAAAAUGAGUUUAUUUGAUGUAUUUUUUAUAUACAAUUCUUAAAUUACACAUAAACUUGUUUAAAACUCUUAAAUUAAAAUAUAUUUCACAUUUAAAUGUGCUCGGUGCAUAUUCUCUAAUUUAUUGUAAUAAUAAUGGUGUUAACUAAACUAAGAUUCAACAAGAAUUAAAUUUUAAUUGGAUAUAGUCUUAUAAAUUAAGAGAGUUAAAUUCAAUGUUAUUUGAAUCGGCUAGAUUUGAUCGGUCAAACAGAUCAAGUCAAAAAUCGGUUCGAACAAAGAUUUUAGACCGACAAACCAUUCAAUCAAAUUAAAAAAUCAAUUAAUUAAUCGACGAUUAAAUAAUUUAUCAAAUCGAUUAAACUGUGGAAGAUCAAAUUAACUACCGAUUCGCCUCAUAGGAGAAAUAAAACAAAAGGUGGCAAAAUCAAAUGCAUAAAACGAAAGAAUACGAGAAUUGAGCAAUUCCCCUAUUUAAUCAUUUUUCUUGGCCACUGUGCAUCAGCCCUCACACGUGCUUUCCUGUCAUUCUACCAGCAUGGUAUCGAAUACGAUCAAAACACGUGGAAGAAGAUCAACCGUUUGAUGCAAUUUACACCCUCCCCACUGGUGACAGUCAGAAAAUGAAAUUGUCAAAUUUUUCAUGUCAACAAUCUAAGUCAGUGAUUUUCUUAUGAACGCUUCCCCUUUUCAAACAGUUUCGGGAUUGGGUUGUCUCAAUUUUAUUAUACUUUUUUUAGAUUUUUUCUUUUUAUUAUUUCAUGAAAAUUAAGCCUUUUUAACUUAAUACCAUGGCAAAACACUAAAAAAGGUCCAAUUUUUAAAAAAUUUACCGAAAUGGGUCCGGUAAUAAAUUAAUUACCGGAUUGGCUCAAUUCUCCGAAAGCGCGUCAACGUCAACGCGAUGUCAAGGGACGUGGCAGGAAAACGCUUCCUCAAGGAAGCGCUUUGCCUACGUGGCAACAAAGCGCGCCCUCAAGGACACAUUUUUCUGCCACGUAAGCUCUGCCCUAGGGACUCGUUUUGGCCACGAGUGAAUAGUAGCAACGACUACUUUUUUUACCGUUGGUGACACCCCAACUGUAAAAAAAAAAAACUAUAAAACCCCCCACCCUUUCAUUUUUUUCACAAAUAAUUAAAUCAUUUCUCUAAUUUCCUCUCAAUUUGCUCUCAAUUUCCUCUCAAAUUUCUCUCAAAUCCCUAUUUAAAAGAGCUUUAAUUUUUUAAUUAUUUUUUUAAAAAAAUUUAAAUUUUAUUUUUUUGAUUUUUUUUAAAUCGUAAAAAUUUGUACGAAUUUAGCAAUGGCCGGAGAAUUAUUCGUCUUGAUGACAAUCACAUAUCCGUCGAACAAAUGAAAAUGGUAAGUGUUAAAUUUAAUUUUUAAAUAUUAUUUAAGAUUUUUUUAUUUAUGCAAUUUUAAAUAAUUAUUAAUUUAUUAUUUGUUAUAAAAGUUUGUAGAUUGGAUAUUGCAAUGCUAUAUCCAUAAUAUGCAUGACCCUCCAUCACCGUUGGUAGAGAAUUACCUGCGGGAAGCGGGUUUUUGGCACGUGGCAACGGUAGGUCGGGGAUGCAAGUUGGACCCAAAACUUAUCAGUGCGUUGAUUGAGAGGUGGAGACCCGAGACGCACACAUUCCAUCUUCCACAUGGAGAGUGCACUAUCACUUUGGAAGAUGUGAAUCUGCAAUUGGGAUUGCCGGUGGACGGGUACCUAGUCACCGGGUCUGUUCAAUCUGGCGAUUAGGGAACGGUAUGCUACGAGCUUUUAGGCGCUAUUCUGGAGAAUAUUAAUGGAGGUCGGAUCGAGAUGGGCUGGUUACGAGACACAUUCCAGGAUUCGGAUGAUGAUUCAACCGAACUAGAAAGAAUCUGAUAUGCUCGGGCAUACAUUAUUCAGAUAAAUGGAGGUUAUCUGAUGCCAGACUUGUCACGGAACCUCGUACAUCUAAAAUGACUGCUGAAACUCAUUGAUUUUAGAGCAGCCGAUGAAUUGAGUUGGGGAUCGGUCGUAUUGGCAACACUGUACCGGGAGAUGUGCGGGGUGACGCGACCGAAUAAAGCGAAAAUCAGAGGUUGUCUGUCACUACUGCAGUCAUGGGCACGGUUUCACAUUCUAUUUUUACGUCCUCGAAUGGACCACCCAUAUACAUUCCCACUCAAUGAGGUAAAUUUUAUAUUAGAUUUUACAAUUAUUACGUAGAUUUAAAAUAUAAUAGUAUGCUAAAAAUUUAUUUAAUUAGGUGGAACCAUCCGGCAAGUUAUGCUGGAUUACCUAGCUGUCUUGAAGAUAUACGGCUUCUAUUAGACCAAAAGUCGGAAGCACAAGUAUUAAAUAAAAUUGAUAUUUCCAUCAUGAGCUAGUCGAUUGGUAUUUAGUAUUUAGUAUUAUGUAUUAUGUAUAUAACUAAUAUUUCCAUCAUGUUCAUAUAGUUUGAAUGGAUACCAUACGAGAAUUUGGCAAUUCGGGCAGUAAUUUCGGAUGAGUACUUUCAAAAUCCAAACGCUUGACACGUGAAAGUCACGUUGGUCAACUAUGCGACCGUGGAGAUGCACUAGUCAGACAGAGUAUUACGGUAAUUUGGAUUCCGACAACCGAUUCUCGUGGCACCUGAGGUGUUUAAUGAUCAGCACAAAAUCGACCUACGACAAUUGCAUACGGAUUGGCCGAGAUUCUGGUCAUACUACAUCCAAAUAUGGGAAGAUAAGUAUGAUUAUAUACCUACUCGGGAACCGAUCAUCGUUCCAGAGUUAGCGUGCGUGUUGAAAUACAUGCCAUGUUUUAGGAUCCAUGGUAAGCCGUAUUUACUGUCGGCAGAGGAGAAGCAGCAGCAAUUACAUGUCCAAAGGGAACGACAUGGCUUUUUUAAAUCCAAGACGAAGGGACGACGACGCAAGCCCAUCAACGAGGCCUAGACAUUCACCCGGCCCAUCAUCAGCGGCCAUUCAAUCACCAGGCCCAGCGAGAGCACCAACACAGUCACCCGACCCAGCAGUUCAACCGACAAUACCCACGGUACAACCUUUUCAGAUGAUGCCAGGUGCGUAUCCUAGCCCUUUUAUGUAUCCUAACCCUUAUAUGUUUCCUUUUUCGAGUCCUAUAACAGGUCGGAGUUCAUGGCCUGGUUCAUCUCCAUUUUCCGUUACACCGAGUGGACUGUCGAUGUAUAGGCCAACGUCGCACGAGGGAUCGCAAGAGGGGCCGUCAUGGAGCUAUUCUUUUUACCAAUCCCAGUCACCAUAUGGGUUUCAAAUAGCUUCGCCGUUGGUGAUGCAAACACCUCCACAGUCACUAUUCUAUCAGGGUGGCUCAUUGUCCCAACAUCGACAACCAGAUACCCUACCGGAGGAACCAGAAUCCCCACCGGAGCAACCAUAACCCCCGCCGAAAGCUGGACAAAGGAGGAAUCCAGCGCGUAACCAUCGACGGCCGCCAUGUGGCACUGAAUCCGGCGGGCACGGAGAUUGAUUUUUAUUUUAAUAUAUUUGUACCAACAUUUUGAAUAUUUUGAUAUUAUUUGAUGUAAUAAAAUAGAAAUUCUUCUAUAUUAUUUCAUGUACUAAAAUAGAAAUUUACUUUUACAUUUUUAAUAUAAUAGAAAUUCUUUUAAAUAAGGUAAUAUGUUGAAUAUUUGUUUUGAAUACGUUGUUUUGAAUAAAGUAAUUGUAAUUUACUUUAAUAUUUUUAAUAAAAUAGAUUUUCUUUUAAAUAAGUCAAUAUUCUGAAUAUUUGUACAAAUUUUUGAUUUAAAAAAUAUAAAUAAUACAAAUUUUUUACAAUAACGUUCAACUAUUGCGAUUUGGGCAUGAUCAGCUUGUAUGGGCUGAGUUCCUUGAAAUUUUUUAACUAUGAUGUAAAAAUUAAGGCUAAAGGGUCUUUAAAGUCCCUCAAGUUUUUCCCAAAAAAAAAUCAAUUUAUUGAUAUGAUAUACUUAGACUACUAAUUGUAAUUCUAUAGAAUGAUUGGAUUUACAUUUAACUUACAAUGUGGAUAAUUAUUUAAUUUCGAUUAUUUAGAUGUAAUAAACAAAAUUGAAAUUUGGAAAAGAAGAAGAAAUCAUGAGUUGUAACUAUUUCUUAAUUAGCAAAAGUAAAAUACUUUGUUUAAAUAUUAAAAAAUGAUUGAUAUGAAAGAGAAGAUAGUUGGCAUCUUUUUUAUUACCAACUCAAUUUCAUUUUAAUCUUCUUUCUACUUUCAAUGCCUUCAGGUUGAUGUUUCAAACCUUCUUAACCAUUCUUUUCUUUCUUUACUGUUUUUCACUCUUUCAUUUCUUCUUUGUUUUCUUCAUUUCUUUUUGCUCCCCAAAAAGAAACCCCUAAUUUUGAUUUGGAUUUGAUGAUUUGUUUGGAUUUGUUUAAAUCCAUUCUUUUAUUUCAAUUUUUUUUCUUAUUUAUAACUAUUUCUUGGGGUUCGCAAAUCAAUACUAGUUUUAAAUUGCUAAAAAUUAAGGAAAAUAUCAAUGAAUAGUGAAUCUAUGCAUCCACGUGAGAGCUUUUAUCAUGAGCUACUGUAGCAAAAGCGCGUCCACGUGGGAGCUUUUUUCAGUACUUCUGCAGACAAAGCAUCCUGCUUAAAGCGUUUUUGACACCGUUUGCUCAGAAACGUCUACUCGAAAUUAUUUUAUCAAGAGCCACUGUAGCCCUAAUCUGAUUUUUAAAUUUUUUAAUUAAAUUAGUAACCCUAAACCCUAAUUUAAUUGAUUUUUUCUUAAAAAAUAAUAAACACGAAAACUAAUCCAAUUCUGAAAAAUUUAUAAUUAAUUUAAUUGGCAAGCCCUAGACCCUAAUCCCUUAUUUAUUUAAUUUUUCUCUAAAACCCUAAACUUUAAAACACCCAAACCCAAACCCUAACCCUAAACCAAAAACCCACUACACAGGAGACGCGGGCAAAACGCAAACCCACUAUGCAAGCCCUUAAGGGAGCGAUUUCUAUCCAUGUAGGCAAAAUGCUUCCUCAGGGACGUGUCCUGCCACGUCCCCUGACAUCGCGCUGACGUGGACGCGCUUUCGGUGAAAUGGGGUCAUUCCGGUAAAUAAUUAGUUACCGGGCCCAUUUCGAUAAUUUUUUUUAAAAAGGACUUUUAUAUGUAAUUUGCCCUUAAUACCACUCUUUUGAAACUAUUAAGACACUCGAGUCUUCAUCAUAUUUCUCAGGAAAAUAAUAAACUCUCAGAUAAGACCAUUAAGACAGUACGAGAUAGGAGAAUUGAUUUAUGGUUGGUUGAUAAUCCCCUUAAGAGAGAUUAUUUAAUUGAUUUAUAUUUGAGUUAUAUUUACUUUUCCACCAAAACAAAAUUCUACCUCCCACUUAAGCUAUUCAUUAAAUUCGUUGAAUAUGUUGGAAAAAAUUGUUAAUUGAUCAAAGGCUGCUUUCUGCAUAGUUAGUGUGAAAAUGCGCUUAGUUGGACAAAUUUUACUACUGACAUGUUAAGGAAAGUGCACUCAGUUAGACGUGCUUUCUUUAUAAUUAUCAGAAAACUCGUCCAGUUAUGCGCGCUUUACUUAACAUGUCAGCAGAAAAGUUCAUCUAGUUGAAUGCGCUUUCUUACUCUCUUUCCAAAACGAUUUAUUUUCCUAAAUUUAAAAAAAUUCGACCUAUUUUGCAAAUUAAUAUUUUUUUUCAGAAUAUUUAACUAAGCCUAAAUUAUCUUACAUUCAUUUGAUAAUGUAACGUUUUUGACAAUUUUACAUCUUUUUAUUAUUUUAAUUUAUUUUACUUGAAUCAAAACAAAAUAAUUUUGUAACUAUUUACUUACAAACAUGUUUAAAAAAAAAAACAAAUUUUGUAACAAUGACAAUUUAAUAAAUUGUGUUUUUGCUGUAAUCUUAUAUUUCGCUAGUUAAAAAAUAAAACCCUACAUUCCAGCUAAAUAGACAAAGUUAUGUAAUAUCACAUAUCCGAUAAUGUGAUUUGAGAGUUUAAACUACUCAAAUCCACAUUUGAAAUUCCUUACAAAUUUUGAAAAUUUCAUCUAUUUUUUACUUAAACAAGUAAAAUUUUUAUACAAUUUUUACUAUUACACAUAACUUUCUCAAAACCCAAUCGGAAGAUAAUAUUUACUUAAACAUAUAUUUUUUUAAACAAGUAAAAUUUAAUUUGUUUUUAUCUAAUAUCAUUUUUAAACCUAUAUUUUAAUCCAAAUUUUCUUAAAAUCAAACUAACCGUCAUAUGUGAACAAAUAACCCGAUUAUUGAAUAAGUUUACUGACUAAGAGUUCAUUGUCAUAUAUUUAUACUACAAAUUUGUAUCAUGAGUCAACCGAAUAUCAACUCAAUUAGAAAAUAAGUAAAUGAUAUCCAUCAUUUUUACGAAAUAAAAGAUAUAAUUAUGAUGAUAUUUUCGUCUUGUUAUAUUUUAUAUAAAAUCUAUAAAAAUUUAUUUAAACCCAAAAUAAAUCUAAGAAGUACCCGCACGGUAGACAAUGAAUUUUGAAGAUUUAUUGUUUCAAAAAAAAGAAUUUUGAAGAUUUAACUUUAUAUUUUCAUAUAUAGCAUUAUUUUUAUUGAAUUUUUUUAAUUAAAAACUUUAUAAACAUUUAAAAAUAGUCCAUUGAUGCAUGAUUUUAAAUUUAAAGUUGAAAUUAUUUAUUGUCAAAUAAAAUAGAAAAACUCCUUUAAAGUCCAAAAACAAUAAAUCAAAACCCAGAGCCUAAAUUUUGUAAAAGGCUUGGAAUUUGGUCAUCAAAAGCAAAUGAACCAUUCAUUGCGUGGACUAUGGCCCUCAAACUUCUCACCUUAAAAGCCCUUUUUAAUUUAUAGUUGAGAUUAAGAAAUUUUCAUGUAUUUAUUAAUUAAUAUUUUAAAAAAUAAGAAAAAUACAUUUACGGAAUAAAAAAACUCCACCACUAUGUAUCAGAUAACACUCAUAUUAUUUAUGAAAAUUAAAAUAGUUUUAUAUAUUUUCGUAAUUAUUUAUACGAUUAAUAUUUUAACGACUCAACCGUUUUAUUUUAUAGUCUAUUUAUGUAGAUUAUGCAUGUCAAAUUUGAUGUAAAUUUAAAAUUUCUAACUAUUUAUUUUAUGCAAAAAAAUUCAGCCGUUGAAUAUAUAUAUUAAUGUAUAGAGUAUUUUAGAUCGAUAUGAUAAAGAUAUCGAAUCAGUUCGAAAAUUUACAUGCAUGACAAGCCAAUUAUAUUGAUAAAUUCAAAGGUUAGAUUGUUACAAUAUUAAUCAUAUAAAUAAUUACGAAAAUAUGUAAGACUAUUUUAUUUUUUAUACUGUAUAAAUGAAUCUCUCAUAUAUAUUAAGUACUGUGUAUUGAUAUAAAACAUUCACAAGUAAAAUUAGAAUCAUACCAAUUGUUAGUUUUUUAUCAUUCUAAUUAUGUUUGCGAAUUUUUUACUUUCUAUUUGUGGUCAAUCCCACAAGGACUAAGACCCCUAAUUUUUCUGUUUAUGUAACCAAAUUCCUAAGUUUAGGCAGUUGUCAUGCCUACGACCCAUGUGUUGCAAAGCUAAAAAAAAUAAAAGUGAGAUUUUAGUUGAUAAAGAAAAUAAAAAAUAUAAAAAUAUAAAAUAAAAACAGAAUUAUGAUUGCAAAAUAAAAUUAAGAAAAUUAAAUUAAAUUAAAUCGGUGAAUCAAAUGUAUUAAUGCUUAGCCUCAGCUUCGAUACACUCCGAAAUUGAAUCGAUCCUUGAACAUUUCCAAACGAUAAGCUAGUUAUAACGAUCAAGGACACCCCAACCGCCAACUUUUCAUUGUGUAGUUUGUUCUAGCACGACCUGCAAACCAAUCAUUACCAAUUAUCUAACCACGUAACAUGCGUCCAUAAUUUAAGAUCUCAGUAGUCUAGGAAAGCCCACCUCGAAUUAACGACCUCAAUUGCAUGGGUUGUUUAAAUUCGAUUACUAUCUCUCUUGACAGAAUUCAACUAAUUUUUUCCAAUUGAACACGCUAAUUUGUUCGUGGGAAUUUGAACUCGGCAGGCGAUCGUCUUGUUUUCCCAACUGUACGCCAAACAUCUCCAACCUAACGUGUACUUUUUGAAUUGAAAUUGAAUUAACUUUAAUGGACAAUUGUGACUAUCCCAUAUUCUGGAGAGAUAACAAAUACCGUGUUGAAAGGUUUUAGUGCAGGUUCAUAUCUUACGAUUUUUUAUCGAAACGAUAACCGAACUAAGGCUAAAUGAGGUUGACACCUUGAUUGGUGGAUCUCCAAUGUUAACACCAACAUCCCACUAGAAAGAGCAAGGACUUCAAAAACGAGGGGGAAGGAGAAAGAAAUGAAAACCACAACAACAAACGAUAGAUCUAAAACAUCUCGAUAGAGAAGAGAAAGGGGGAAACAUAUGUACUUAAUUAGGACAAAAGGAAAAUUCAAAUACUAAAUUGCACAUUGAAGUUAAACUUAAGUAUUUGUAUAAGACAAAAAAAAAACUUGAAACAUCAAUUUUUUUUUUUAAAAAAAGCUCAUAACCAAAUUGAGAGAAAAAAAAACUUGUUAUAAUAAACGUCGAUAAUGACGGUAGAACGAUCGCAAAGUAAUAGGAAAAGAAAAAUAAGAACAUACAGAUUAAAAACUAAGGGCAGAGGAGAGAAAUUCAUUAAUGUUGAAAAAGAAAUGAUAUAAGAGGAGUUUUAACUACAUCUAUUUAAGGGUUGAAAAACUCUGUUCUAAUCAAAGUAAAAUAGUAAAAGUAUAGUUCUAUAUGGACUCAACUUGUGCGGUAUGGUCCGUACCGCGAGAGUGAAGUCCAGUUUUGUGCUUAAUGGGGAUCUGUGGCGAGCUUUAGCCUACGACCCUCGACUUCUCACCCUCACAGAUCCCUUAUUUUACUAUUAUAUUUAUUUUUUAAUAAAUAAUAAAUUCGGGUCACACAAAUUUUAACAAAACUCAAAUACCAAAAGCCAACCAAUAGUAAUAAUAACUUAAUGAAUGAAUUAAACGGAGCUUUCAUAUCUGAAGUUCUCAUCGGUGAUUUCCAAAGAUAGCAAAUGGCAAUCACCCAAGUAAGGAAAAGGCAAUGAAAUGCAUUAAGAAAUGGGGGAUGUCUGUGCUUUUACUGCAUUUGCAGGCAGAAUGAAAGAAACAAUCACUAAUAAUAAAUUGCUGCAACUUGCAAUUUCAUCAAUUAUUUCUUCUUUCCAUGGACUUACCCACUUCUCUCAUCCUAAGGAUUAUGAGAUCUAUUCAUUGCUAUUUUUACUUUCAUUAAAUCAUGUCUUUCCAUUUUUGUUAUUAACAAAUUAAAUCAUUAUAUUAAAUAAUUUUAAUGUAAAAACUAAUCCAACAUUUUAAUUUACAAACAAAAUCUAAUUCGAUUCUUUUCAUAUUAGUUCGACAUUUAAAGUAAGUUUGAAUGGACGGUGGGGUGUGAUGCGGUGCGUUUAGCUUACUUCUUCUCACACGUUAUAUUAUUUAUCUUAUCAUCACCGCUGUUUUUACACUGACCGCAGGUAAAUGCACUACCCAUCCAAACCCAACCUUAGUUUGCUAUGCAUUGUUUUAGAUGAAUUAUAUAUUAUAGUUGACCAAAUAUAUAUUUAUAAUUCACCGUUUUCGUAUUAGUAAAAUUUUGAAAAAAAUUUAUUUAAUAAAAUUUAUGUAAGUAAUUAAAAAACAAUAGCACUUAGUUAAUUUUUUUCAUUAAAUUUUUUUGCACUUACUAGUGUUUUUUUUCUACUUUCUCUCUACUUCCUUCCCUUCGUUUAUAAGAAAAUGUUUUUUUUUCUUCAACAAAAUUCAGAUAUUAAGUAAAAAAAACCUCCAUUUUCACAUAAAAUGCUCACUUAUUUAUUUUUUUAAAAAAGUACCUAAUAUAUUACUUUAAAAAAUUAUUUCUCGAAGUUAUAUUUUUUUUCACCGAGUGUCAAUUUCUAGUCAUAUUUACAAAUCCAGUCUUGGACAGAUAGAUGCAUAUGCCAUACAUAUAGAUUCCUUCAAAAACGUGUGAAACUCAACACUGUCUUGCACUUUCUCUCUCCCUUUUCUCACUGUGCAUAUGAAAAAGAAGAAGAAUCUUUGAGAUCUAAUAGUUCCUCCCUCUCACUUUGCUUUGGUUUUGGUUCUUCAUUUAAAGAUAGCCCACAGCUAUCUUUUUUCUUUUAUCUCUCAAUUACACUUUGCCCCAGUUCGGUUAUUUUCAUUCAAACCCAGUAAGCUCUUCUUCUUUUUUUAAGCUUGUUUCUUGUGAAUACAUUUCUGGGUUUUUAUUAACAUGUUCCUUUUCAUAUUUUUGGGAUCUGAAUUGUGGGUUUUGCUUGUCUUUGUGGUGGUUUGAAUGGGUCGGUUUCAGUUUCUUAUCUUUAAUUCAAGAAUGUUAAUGAUAUUGAUUCCUUUGUAAUCCAAGUUUGAUUCUUGAUGGUUGAAUUUGUUCAGUUUUUAUGCUCUCUUUAUUUUUUUUUUGGACUCAGAUCUGUUUAGUUCAUUAAAGAGCAUUAGUUACAUGCUUUUUAGUGUUUUUUCAUAUCCUUUUCAUUUCAUGGUUGUCAAUCAACUGGUUACAACUGUAGGCAGAUAACAUGAUGGUAUUUAAUCAUUUUCUUUUCUUUACCUUUUUUUAUGUAAUGUAAGUUUAUCAUAAGUCUGGGCUAUUAACAUGGAUCUGACUUGUUACACGAGUUUAAAGCUUAGUUUUGAACUUUAUUGUUGAAAUUAAGUAACUUCGGUCGUUGAUUCAAGAGCAUUAUUAAUCACCUUAUGGUUUCUUGCAGGUUUGAUGAGUUUUCCAAAGUGUUUGAUUUUGACAAGUUUUUGAAGUGAGUUGUGUUAUUCAUUCAAUUGAAUUGAGCCCCCUGAUGGUAGCGACAAAACAAAUUUAUUUUGAAUACAAAAUUUGAUGUUAGAUUGAGUAGGAUAAGGAUAUUUGUGCCUGUGACAAUUCAGUGCUCAAGUGAAAACAGUUUGUGAAGAAAUCAUAGUACUAAAAGAAGGAUGAGGGGAAGAUCUGAUGGAGGCCAAAAGAAGAGAUUAAUCACCUCUCUUUGUGCUGUGGCAAUCUUUCUUGGUUUUCUCUAUGUAUAUUAUGGAUCUAUUUUUGGAUCUUCAAGCAAUGGUGCUUCAGCUCUAGAAUAUGGUGGCAAAUCUCUGAGAAAAAUUGGAUCAUCUUAUUUGGGUGGAGAUGAUGAAUCUUCAACCAAAUCUGGACUGGAGGAUGGAGAUGUUGUUGUUCCAAAAACGUUCCCUGUAAGUUGUUUUUUGCUGAAUCAUUUUGAUAUGUAAUUCCACUGUGAUUCUUCCAUUGAUUAGUUGCUAUGGCCUUUAACUUCUCUGUUUAUGGCUUUGAAGGUUUGUGACGAUCGACAUUCGGAAUUGAUUCCUUGCUUAGACAGAAACAUCAUAUACCAAAUGAGAUUAAAGCUUGACUUGUCGGUAAUGGAGCACUACGAACGUCAUUGCCCCCCUCCUGAAAGGAGAUACAAUUGCUUGAUCCCUCCUCCUCCAGGAUACAAGGUACUGAUGAAGCGUAUGUGUUUUUAUAAUUAAUUUGUCAUGAAUGUGUUAUAGUGAUGAUCAUAGUCAUAUUUGUCAUAUUUUGAAAUUGUUUUAACUCAUGUGAAAUUACAGGUCCCAAUUAAGUGGCCUCAAAGCAGAGAUGAAGUGUGGAAGGCAAAUAUUCCCCAUACUCACCUUGCACAUGAGAAGUCUGACCAGAAUUGGAUGGUGGUAAAAGGUGAAAAGAUAGUAUUUCCGGGGGGAGGCACCCAUUUUCACUAUGGAGCUGACAAGUAUAUUGCUUCAAUUGCAAAUGUAAGUUCACCAAUGCAUACUGAUUUUGGCUCGAAAAAAAUAUUUUAAAACAUGAUCAAUAAUCUUGAAUGCCUACUAAAGGAUGGUUGUACUCGGUAUAUUUGUGUCUGUUUUGAGUUUUCCGUAUCAUAUUUUGGUUCCUAACUUUACUGAUCAGCUUCAUAUAUAAUGCUCCUUAUUUAAACUUCUCAAAGCUAUGGUAGAAGCAAUGACAUUAAUUUCUACGAUUUUGUUUGGCAGAUGCUCAACUUUUCGCACAACAACUUAAAUAAUGAAGGAAGAGUCCGUACAGUUCUUGAUGUUGGUUGUGGUGUUGCAAGUUUUGGAGCGUAUCUUCUUUCUUCUGACAUUAUAGCAAUGUCAUUAGCACCCAAUGAUGUUCAUCAAAACCAAAUCCAAUUUGCCCUGGAAAGAGGAAUUCCUGCAUGUCUUGGUGUUCUAGGGACAAAAAGGCUCCCUUACCCGAGCAGAUCAUUUGAACUUGCUCACUGUUCUCGUUGUAGGAUUGAUUGGCUUCAAAGGGAUGGGAUUCUUCUUCUCGAGCUAGACCGGUUACUUAGACCUGGAGGCUAUUUUGCCUACUCGUCUCCAGAGGCUUAUGCACAAGAUGAAGAGGAUCUCCGGAUAUGGAAAGAGAUGAGCGCCCUUGUGGAACGUAUGUGUUGGAGAAUAGCUGCAAAGAGGAACCAAACUGUCAUUUGGCAAAAGCCUUUGACAAAUGAUUGUUAUAUGGAACGAGCACCUGGUACAAAUCCACCGCUCUGUCGGUCUGAUGAUGAUCCAGAUGCAGUUUGGGGUGUGCCAAUGGAAGCUUGUAUCACUCCUUAUUCUGACCGUGAGUAUAUUUAUCUGUCAGUGUUGCUAAUAUUAGUCUCUCCCCCCUCCCCCCCUCAGUUGAUAUUUUCUUUUCGAGUAUGCUAAUAUUUAGAUACAAAUUUUCAUAUAACGUGUCUUGAAUUUGGUUUUUCAUUGAUUUGGAAGUUGACUUCGAUUUCUGAAGUCAUAAAUUGGCUGGCUGAUGACUUUUAUAUAUUUAUUCUUCCACAGAUAUGUUGCUUACAUAUUUUAACAAAAUAUGAAAUGGCUUGCUAUGUUUUUCCAACUCUCCAUUUUGCUUGAAGUACCCUAGUUUGACACUUGUCUCCAACACAUAUCCGAUCUUGGGUUUGAGGAUAUGACCUUCCAAGUCCCCUCCAAAUACAUAGAAGAGAAAUUGAAAAAAAAUUAAACAUACCCGUCCCUGACACAUACUCAUAUCUGAUGCUUACACUAAGUCCAAGUAACAUUGAUGGCCUGUUUUUCAACUUCAUAUCAAAUUCUGAUGAGGUGAAAUCUUGACAUAUUCUUUUAUGUUGCUGAGUUCCUUAACAGUAAGCUCGAUUUGCUUUUAGCUUAAGGAUAAAGAGAGAAAUAUGAACCGGAAUCUUACCAAAUAAAAGUAAUUGCUUGAUAAUUUUGGAAUUAGUUGCCUUGUGCUUAGGUUAUGUGGUAACAAGUGCAUUCAUUCUGCUCAAUUAUUCUUUUUGAAUAUUUGCGAGUUAUACGAUAUAAUUGUUGCUCAAUUAUAUGUAAUUCCUGAUUAUAAAUUAUGGUAUAUUUUGCGACGGAAAAUUAUAGGGAUUCUUUGAGUUUAUAGCUUUAAAAGAUUGGUUUAAACUUUAUCUUAACUAAAACUUCUCUUUGUUUCUAUCAGAUGAUCAGAAAGCCAAGGGAAGUGGUUUGGCUCCUUGGCCAGCGAGAUUGACAUCUCCUCCUCCAAGGCUUGCUGAUUUCGGUUAUUCAAAUGAAAUGUUUGAAAAAGACACGGUAAUGGAGGCAGCAUUGUUUCAUCUAUGCCUUUACUUAUGAUUAGUGUGUUGUUCUUAUAUUGUGACUUAUGUGGCCAUGACAUAGGGUAUAGAUGCUAAUAUAGCUUUUGCAAUUUCAUAGGAAACUUGGCGCCAGCGGGUAGAGAAUUAUUGGAAUCUCUUGAGUCCAAAGAUUGAGGCCAACACUUUGAGAAAUUUGAUGGACAUGAAAGCAAACAUGGGAUCUUUUGCGGCUGCUCUAAAAGAGAGGAAUGUUUGGGUGAUGAAUGUCAUCCCUGAGGAUGGACCAAACACACUUAAGUUGAUAUAUGACAGAGGCCUCAUUGGCACUACUCAUAACUGGUAUGCGCAAAUUUACUUGAAAAUCUACAUAACCAAGUAUGAAAUAUUAACAUAUUUCUCCUUUCUGAUAAACACCGAAUUUUGUCUAACAAAACACAGCUACAGCUUGCGCCCCCCCCCCCCACCAAGCAUGUAUAUAUAUAUUCAGUGAAAUGGAUUCUCUGACAAAACACAGCUAUCUGCAAAAAGACUGCUACAUGCUCCGUGUCCUACUCAUGUCUGGAUAUGAUUAAGGAUACGACUUUCCAAAGAUUUUUCACGCACACGAAGAAACGUGGAAAAUCUGUUUAAACAUAUUUGUUUCCGACACUCGCACUGGAGUCCAAGUAUCAUAGUUAGGAGAAAGUACAAUGAUGUAUUUUCAUUUUAAUCUUAUAAAGAUCUUUUUCCUUCUGGCUGGUGAAAUAGUGGAAUGCAUGUUGAGGGAUAGUAAAAUUUGUAUUGAUUGAAAUUGAUCUUUUUGGCAGGUGUGAAGCCUUUUCCACAUACCCUCGAACCUAUGAUUUACUCCAUGCUUGGACUGUCUUUUCUGAUAUUGAGAAGAAGGGCUGCAGUGCUGAAGAUUUGUUACUCGAGAUGGAUCGCAUUCUCCGUCCCAAGGGUUUCAUAAUCAUCCGGGACAAACAACCAGUUAUAGAUUUCGUAAGGAAGUAUUUAUCAGCUUUGCACUGGGAAGCAGUAGCAACUGCUGAUUCAAGUUCGGAUUCAGAACACGAAGGAGACAACGUCGUGUUUAUUGUCCAAAAGAAAUUGUGGCUCACAAGUGAAAGCAUCCUGAAUUCUGAAUAGAGUAUUUCCGGAUUACAAUUCCCACGUACUCUCAUUAUAUCUUCUUCAGCAGCUCCAAGGUAUUAAGAAGCUCUCCUAUUACUAAUCCGGCAAACAAUUUCAUUUUGUAGCAUUAAGCAAUGGUUCAAAUUGUUUUUUUCUUUUUUACCCUUUUUUCCUUGUAUUGAAUUACUUUGACAAGCCAUGAAAUGAUCAUCAUCUAUAUAGGCUAUGCUUCGGCUGAUCAUGGUUACCAAAUACUAUGUUACUCCGACUCUUCGUUUUACUUGAACGACAUGCGUAUCCCGACAUAAGUAUAAGAAUAUAGUGAAAGAACUUGAUGCUCGAGUUUGAGUAAACAUAGCCCAUGUCCAUUUUUGUUUUUUUUUCCUUGAAAAAUAUUCUUCUUAUCCUUUGUACUUUUGUUUUGCAUGCCUUGUCGUUUGCUCUUAGUGGUUAGGCUACUUUUGAAAAAGCUGUGGCUUUCAUUGGCAGAUUUAUCCCUAAUUUUUAUGUCUGGUUUUGCCCCUUCUAGUUGUAAUUUACAAAGCUGGGGUUGACCAUCAAGGGAAGAAUAAAUGAUUUUAUGGCAUUUUUGGGAAUAGAUUUGACCAAUUUCUUAGUUUAGAGUUCCAAAAACUCUAAACCCUAAAUGUUCAGAACAUGAACGUCAAUGUUUUCAUGCAUUCACAAUUUGACUUUACAAAUCAAACUAUGCUUCAAAUUUUUAAGAGGACAUGUGUGUUGUAAUAUGUUCUAACUUGUAUUUGAUUGGAUAGUUAAAAAGGAAGGAGAAGGCAUUGUAGAAAGAAAUAGAAAUGAUCCAUUAUAACCUUCUUUCUUCAAUUAUAUUUAUUUUUUAUAAAUCAAUUUAUGUCCAAUAUUACAAGGAUAAAUAAGAUAUUUCACAUCUUUUUUUUUUACUUCUCUUUGUUUUUUUUCUUCAAACUGGAGUAAAUCAAAAUUGAAUGUUUAAAAGAGAAAAUAAAAUAAAGGUUAGUUUCAUUGUAGGUGUGGUUUGGGUUCAAGCUGUGCUAGUUGCGUUAUUAUUAGGGCUUUGCCUUUCUCUUGUAGUUUAUUGAAAAAAACAUAAAAAAUAUAUUUUUUAAAAUAAUACUAUUUUAAUGAAUACAAAAAUAAAUUAAUACUUAAUUGAUUCGUGAUACCUGUAAUAUAGAUAUAAAACUAUGUAUAUAAAAUGCGAAAAUGUAGUAUUGUCUUUAUUUUAAAUCGAAGAGUUGAAUUUACCCAUGUUUUUAUUAUUUGGAUUUUUUGUUCUCCGAGAAUUAUUUGAAUGUGAUUAUUGUAAGUAAUACACACCGAUAAUGGAUAUGAACAUAUAAAUUAUAAUCUUCCAAACAAACCAAACCCAUUAUUGGUUUUGUCUAAUUAUAACCGUGUAAGAAAAAACCAAGACAUUGGAGCCCAAUCCAUGAAAUGACUGUAACGACAAAUUGUUGUUUCUACGGUUCUACUACUUGUUUACCUGGUCACCGGGGGACCAAUGCCCAACCGCCAACUCAACUGUUUUUCCUUUCUUAUUCUCCAUCUAUAUAUACAUAUAUACAUACAUACAUCUUUAUGUAUGUAUACAUGAACUGGGAGGAACCCAAAAGUUCUGUCCUUUUGUUCUUCGUUGCGUGUCCCUCUUUGUUUUCUUGGUUGCAAGCAACGGAAUAUCUACAAUGCAAGCAAUAUUCAAACUCCUAACUACUUUAUAACUGUUAUAUUUUUUAUAUUUGUAUUUGAACAUGAAAAAAAAAAAAUUUUGGUUUACACUUGAAAAUAAUUUCAUUUUUAACUGCAGUUAGAAUAGAAACAAAUAUAAAUAUUAAAUGUAAAGCAACACAAUGAGCAAAGUAAUGAAAGAAUUAACACGCGAUCUUUGUUAACACAAUUUAUACAUAAUGGUCCUAUGCCUACAGAGCUUGGCCCAGUGAAUGAUUUUAUUCAACAAUUAUUAAUAUCAUUGGCUUAAGCCUAAUCUACCAUUGCAUAAAAAAUAAUUGUGGCCCUAACACAGGCUCCAAUAAUCACAAAUCAUUCACUCAAUUACCUUAUAAUACACUUGGAUUUGUCUAUUUGUACUCGGAAUUCCUAAUUCAAAAUUCAAAUUUAAAUGUACAAUGAUUCGAUAGAUAGGAUUUUCCCUUUCUUAAAACAACAAAACAAAAUAGGUCCCUUUCCGCUUGAGAAUUUUCGCUAAAAAUAUUCAUUUAUUAUUCAUUAUAUGGUUGUUAUAUGAUAUGAGACCAAAAAGAGGAAAUAGAAAGAUCCUUUUUGUAUAUCAAUAGAUGAAAUAAGGGUGUGGAAAACAAGAUAGGGAUUAUCUACAAUGACAUUGUAGGCCAAUUGAAAGGUAUGUAGCGUAGCUUGGUAGCGCGUUUGUUUUGGGUACAAAAUGUCACGGGUUCAAAUCCUGUCAUCCCUACCUAUAACCAAUAAACCUCUCCAAAUAAUUUUUAAAAGAGUGUCACAAAAUAACCACAACAACACAACAAAGCUCUCAUAAAGACACCCAAAAACUGCUCUCAAAGUGACGCCUAACUUUUUUAUAGGCUGAUAUAAGAGUCUACCCAACAAAGUUUUGAUAAGUUUGAAACUAUCCCAUCAAUUAUCCUUAAUAUUUAUCAUUGUUUUGUCAAACAUGUCACUCCUUAAUAGGCAAAAGAAAAGGUCAAACACCCGAGCUGAAACAUCUCACGGUCCAAGCAAAAAAUUCUUUCUUAUUCUAAUAGAACAUGAAAUGAGCAUGUCAAAAACCCCAUAAAAAUAUAAAAAGGGUAAAUUAUGUUCAAGGUCACUAAACUAUUAGCAAGUUUAUGUUUUAGUCAUUCAACUUCAAAAAGUUACAAAAUGGUCAUUGGACUAUUUGAAACUUUUCAUUUAAGUCACUAGGAUAUUAAAAUAGCUAUUGUAUGGACUUUUUUAUUUGCACCGUCUACAUGGAUCAAAAACUCUUCUUUCCCUUUUCUUCUAUAGCUCAAUUUUGUUUUUCAUGAAACAACUUUGAACGUUAUGAAUCUGUGAACCAAAAUCCAAACAACUUUUUUUUUUAAUCUCCGACACUGUUCGUCAAACCACCUUGGAUCUAAGGUAUAUUCUUCUACUCGUCGAUGGUUACUGAUCCACUGUACUAACCGUCAAAUCGUUGCUUAGAGCUCGUUAGCCAGACUUUAAAAAAAAAACUUAACAAUCCAAUGACCUAAAUAAAACUUUCAAAUAGUUUAGUGAUCAUUUUGUAACAUUUUGAAGUUGAGUAACCAAAACGUAAACUUACUAAUAGUUUAGUAACAUUGAAUAUAGUUUACCCAUAUAAAUAUAGCUAAUGAACUGCUAGUUUAAGUAGAAAAAUACUUAAAAUGUAAGGUUUAAGUUUUUUUGUAGAUUUAUUCGAGGGUCAAACUAUUUGUCCAAACUUAAUGGCUAGAUUAAAAUUUUUAGAAUGUUAAGAUUGAAAAGUGGGUUUGAUAAAAAAAUAUUAUUUAAAAUACGGGUUAAAGUUGAACUCUAAUAAUUAAGGCUCAAGCUCAACUCAUCUGGACCUAAUUUUAAGUUUAUAUUAUAUAUAUAUAUAUUAUAUAACUUAUAUUAUAUAAAAAUUAAAUAUAUUAUAGUAUAAUAAGAAUAAUAAAAAUAUUUAAAGUUGUUUUUGUUUAAAAAUUUAAUAAAAAUAAAAAUAUUAUAUUUAAAAAUAUAAUAUUCACAAACCUAAAUGAAUUUGAAUUAAUAAUUUAUAAAUAUAAGCUGGUUAUGAUAAAAUUUGAUACCCAUAUUUUGUGUCAAAUAUGUAAUUAAUAUCAUGUAUGAAUCUAUCCAAACUCAUUUCGACCUAGAAGCCUUUUUUCAUGAUUAUUUAAACCGGACUAGUCGGAAACAUAUCAUCACAUAAAUAUUCUUCAUGCAGUGAAAGUCAAAAAGGUUUUGAGAUUAGUAUAUAAUGUUCAAUAAAACAUGUAGUGGUGUCUCCUUGUGUUCCCACUUUCACAAAUUAAUAAUUAUUUAAUUAUUAAACUUUUAAUUGUAAUUAAAUUAAUUUAUUUUCAUUUAAUUGGUAUUUUUCUCAAUUAAAAUAUUGAUUUUAUGCUAAUAGUUUCUUUAUUUAUAAAUUAAAGAAUAAGAGAUAAUUUCGAUAUAAGUAAAAUAUUAAUGAUUGAUUCGAUUACUAAUAAAAGAUAAAUGCAUAAUAAUUUAAUUAAAUAAAUUAAUCAAAUGAGGGUUUCUUUAUAUUCUUUCCAAACCUAAAUAUCAAGAUUAAACAACUUUUUUUUUUUUUACAUUGCGGUAGUUUUCACAAACAUAAGAAUUAGAGUUAUUCGUGGGUCGGGUGAGUCAAGUAAAAAUAUUAGGCCCAAUUUCUAGGUUCGGGCUAGAUCCGGCUUAAAAAAUGGGUCUAAAAUUUUACGCAAGUUUGGUCUGAAUAAAAAUAUUAAAACUCGAGCUCGAUUUGUAUUAAAAUUUUUUAUAUUAUUUUUUAUGUGCAACUUAACAAGUAAAUUCCUCUAAAAUAGUAAUAAAAUUAAUAAUAAAACAAGAGUUAUACAAUAUCCAAAUAAUAACGAUAAAAUAGUAGCAAUACAAUAAAGAAAUGAUAGCAAAACAACGAAAAAUAUUUUUUUUUUUGUAAAUUUGGGCCGGGCAUAGGCCAAAAAAACCUUACUCGAGGCUUAGACCGUUUAGAAAUUAUUUUUUGUCCAAACUCAUUUUUUGAGCCUAUAUUUUUUCCCAAAUCCUCUCACUUUUUAAGUGGACCUUCGAAUCAGGUUGAGUUGCUCAACCCAUGGACAAGUCUAAAAAAACUCUUUUUUCUUCUUCUUUAUUUUACUUUUUUGCUAUUUAUUUAUUUUUUGAAUUGAUAUCUAUCCAUAUCAUGGCUUAAAAAGUAAAUGGUCCCCAAAUUAUUAUGCCCCAUUUCUAAGGGAAAUCCACAACACUCUCAUUGUUGAAUCAAGUUGGCAUUGCCCUCAUUUCUUUUUCCCAAAUCUUAUUCUUUUGUUUGGAAUUACAUUUAUAAUCUUUCAUUUAUUUUGCAUGUAGAAACUUUUAUUUGCAAGAAAAAAGAAAGUAUAAAUUUAUUGAAGGGUUAUUUAUUUAAAUUGAAUUGAAUUUGUGUUGGAUGAACUUUUUUAAUUAAUUUUUAAAAUUAUAAUUAUAAUAAAUGAUCUACUAAUAUCACUUUUACUAGUACAUCUUCGACCACCCCUUAGAGUAAUUUAGAGUUCUAUCAGCCAUUUGCAAUGUGUCUGAGGUUAGUAUAAUAUACCCAAACUUAACUUCCGAGCUAUAGAGAGCGGCACCAAUUUACAGAGUGCCUUAUCGAAAGUGUGAGAACCAAUGACAUUGCACUCUUCACUAAGUGUUAUAUUCUCAUAAUCACUUAGUCAUCUUUUUUUCGACAAAAUAUCUUUCAUAAAUUUUAUAUAAUUAGGCAUUUGUUUAACGUAUUCUAGUGCAACCUUCGUGGGAAUUGUGGUGGAGAAUAUUUUGGCUUAACUAUCUCCUUUGAUGGCUUCCUUGCUUCUGUCUCAUGAUGAACAUAUUUUUUAGAGCUUUCUUAAAGCUCAUUAGAACUCUUGUCGAUUGGUGGGAUAGGCAAAUGAUUUUUUGCAUUUACCUCAAUUGAUGGAGAGGCACUCGAUAACUCCCUGCCAUUUCUAAAAAUUUACAAUGCUCUCUAUGAUUAAUAACAUUAAGAAGGCUAAUUGUUUGACGAUAAUGCUCAUUGUGGCCUAUUAUGAAUGGCCUAUUAAGAAGGCUAUUUGACCCACUUGAGUUUCCAAUACCUUCAUCCUAAGGUCGAUUGCUUGUAUAAAUUGUUGUGGGUUGUUGCGAAUGUUGCCUUUAAUACUGGCUUUGAGGGAAAACCGGAGGUUCAACUAGUCUAUCUUGAUAAAAAUUGCCUUGAUUGUUACCCCAAGCAAAGUUGGGAUGGUUCCUUCAUCUUGGCAUAUAAGUGUUGACGAAUUGGUUAUGUUGUUGUCUUUCCAAAUUUCUAACAUAUCCAACCAAUUCUGACUCAAAUGUCCAGUGCCAAGAAUGGUGAUUAUCCCCACAUUGGUCACAGAUAGCAUAGAUUGGUUGCUUCAUGUUAACCUCAAUUUUCUCAUUUACAUCUCAUCCAAAACAACUAGUUCAGCAAGAAGAGCAAUCAUUGCAUCAACCUCAACUACUUUAACCAAUUUCUUUGGGUUUACACCAGUUCUGCUCGAAAUCCGCUAUGGAUUAUUUUCUACCAUGUCUUAAAUUAUCUUGACAAUUUUUCAGGCGACUUACUCAAUAAUGCCCUAUUAGUUAUUACAUCUAGAUUACCUUUAAUGAACUAUCUCAACUCUUUGUAUAAAGUCUGAAUCAACAACCAAUUUGACACUUGACGGUGAGGAUGUUGGACAAUAUAUUACUGCAAAACAAAUUUGUUAGCACUAGGUGAAAAAAUAAACCAAGAAUUAAGAAAUCGAAAUUUACUACGUCGUGGAAGAACUAUUGCCUAGAAUUAAGAAAUCAAAAUUUACACCGGAAAAAAAAAAGGUGGAGCACGCUUGAUAUUUCUCUUCUCAAGGAAAUCACACUAGAAUUGAUUCCAGGAAAGUUUGGAGGGGUCAAAUGAGGAAGGUGUUUUGCUUUUUGUGUGUCAAAUGAGGAAAAUUAGCUCUCUAUUUAUACUAGUAAUAGAAGGAUAAAAUAAUAAAUAUGCAGGGGUAAAAGAGUAAAAAACAUAGGGUUAGUAACAAAAGUGAUCCACCAUUUCCGCGCAACAGUAAAAAAAAUAUACUGUUCAGAUUUUCGUAACAAUCAAAAAUAAAAAAAAGGUAAAUUGUUUUAAAGAAAUUAUUUUCUGGAAAAUAAUAUAAGAAUUUUAUCCAAAAAGAAAUAACCGCGGUACGUGUCGAAGACACGUGUUAACACGGUCACGAAAACUAGUAAAUAUGUAGAGGCAAAAGAGUAAAAAACUGUAGGGUCAGUUACAAAACUAACCCACUAUUUCCGCACAACAGUCAAAAAAUAUAUACUGUUCAGAUAUUUGUAACAGUCAAAAAUCAGAAAAAGUCAAUUUAUUUUAAAGAAAUUAUUUUCUGAAAAUUAAUAUAAUAAUUUUAUCCAAAAAAAUACAAGUAGUAUGUGUUAACAUAAACAUGAAUCGAGUAAGAAACAACAACAUGCAUGUAUUUGGCCUAUAGCCCAAUUACAUGACAAAUGUAAGAUGUAAGGCUAUAUAUAAACCCUUUUAAUAGUCUAUAUUUAACUAAUGUGGGAUAUAUCCACUUACCAUCAUUCUUUGCAUUACCAACAGAAGGCACUUUUUUUCCAUGUCCUUAAAUAGUUUUCAUGCCUCAUGUAAAGUUUGCUUUCUAUAUGAUUAGAAUCUAGUGAUGUCAUUUCGCAAUUUAGCUGUAGGAAAGAAUUUAGUUAAGAAUUUUUUCACAACUUGAUCUCAAGUUGUAAUUGACUCAUUUGGUAGGCCAUCUAAUGAAUUUGUAGCUCGUCCAAGAAAAGAAAACAAAAACAACCUUAAUUUCAUAGCUUCUACUAAAAUACCAUUAGAUUUGAAUGUAUUGCAUAAUUUGAUGAACUUUCGUAGAUGUUGGUUGGGAUCUUCAUGAGAAAAAAAAAAAGAAUUGUUUCAACCAUCUGAAUAACUGUUGAUUUGAUCUCAAAGCUGUUUACUUCCACAAAUUGAAAAGUGAAUACUAGUUCAAAGCCCUUCGAUGUAAGGUAUGGCAUAGUCUCUAAUAGACCUAGGAAGUGGGAACAACAGGAGUAGGAGGAGGAGCUUGUAAAUUAAUUUGUGCAUUAUCAGUAUCAUUCGCAUUGGGGUCAUCCAUGGUUGACUCUUCAGAUUCAACUUCAAAUUGAUGUUCAAUUAACCGAGCCUUCGUAGAUUCUUCUCAAUCUCUAAAUCAAGUGACAACAAUUGAAUCUGAAUUUAACAAAAUAUUUUUAAUAAUAUUAAAAAUUAAUCCUAAAUUUUUAAAUCUAAAAAAUAAAAAAAAUUCUAAAAAUAAAAAUACAAAGACUAAAUUCUAAAUUCAUCAACUUUCAACAUAUUUUAAUCUAAUUUAAAACAUGGUUGGAAUACUUUUCCCUUGAUACAUCCCCUGCCUGCGACAACUGGUAAGGACAUAAGGCCAGGGACACGUGUCAAUAACGCGGCUUUGUCUAAGGCGGACAUCAAGGCUUUGAUAUUGAAUAUUUGUGUUUUUUUUCUUUAAUUAAAGAAGUUAUUAUUAUUAUUAUUUGUCCAAUUAAUUAAUAUUGAUAGUUCCCUAAUCUAAUUAUUUUUAAGUGGUCCAGCUCAUAUCUCUAUAAUUUAUAUUCUCCCAUGACAUAUUUUAAUGAGACUGAAUAUUUAUUAGAUGCUUUAUUUAUUAAAUAAAUUUUUUAAUACAUGCUUUUAAAAUUUAAAAUAUUUUUUUCCCUUCCAAAAAAUUUAAAUUUAAAAUCUUUUACUAGAAAAUAAAUAUGAUAACUAUUUGCAAUAUUAGAGAUAAGGGAAGAGAAUACAUAAAUUUAAUUCAUAUAAAUUAAGACUUGAAAGUAAAUCGAAUCUUCGCUUCGAGUUUCACAAUGCGUAAUUGUGAAGUGUCAUGUGUGGAUUUUUUCCGAUUAUUUCCAUUUCUUUAUGUUUCUAGUUGUUAGGGUUUUCUCUAGUUAUUUUCGAUUCUUUGUGAUUCUAUAUGCCAUUGUAGUUGGCUAGACAAAUAUUGAUACUUGUACUUACCAUUUAUAUUUGUGUUGUGCUUGUAAUUAUACUGUUUUAUAAUACUUGAAAAUAAUAAGAAUUUAUUUUUUCACUAAAUUAACCUUGGUUGACUUUGUUUUCAAAAUAUUACCGUGAUGGAAAUAUAAAAUUAUAAAAUUAUGAAGAGAUUAAAAUUAAAAAAAAACAAAUUUCAGGGUCAAAAAUAUAAUAUUUCCAUUUACCCAAAAGGACUAAAAAUUACCUAAAAUGCGGAAAAAAAAACUGAUAUGGUAUUAAUUAAUAAACAAAUAAAUUUCAGGGGAAAAAUGAAAUAUUAUUAAUUAUUAAUUAUUAAAUGAUUUUUAAUUUCGAAUUAACAUAUAGAUAGAUAAAUAAAAGCAGCUAAAAAGCAAAGGCAAAGUCAAAGAGGCAAAGCUUCCCACCUUUCAAAAGGACCUAAAAUCCAACCAAUGGGAUUUCAAUUUCGUCAAUCUUCACUUAAUUUUCUCUUCUUUCGGUUUUCUCUUUAGCUUUAGGUUUUUCACUACACUUCUGCUUUUUUUUAUCUGCUCUGCAACAAUCAAGCUCUCUUAAAAUUCAAUCAGGUAGUACAAAUUGUUUUAGUUUUAAGAUUGAGUUGAGAUUUCGAUUUUGAAUUUUUUGUUUGUUUACUGAGAAAACGUUGGAAAAUUGAAGUGUUUUUUUUUGUUUGUCUAGAAAGUGAUUUUAGGCUGUUAGAUUCACUUCGUCUCGCAAUUCUUUUUGAGUGUCCUAAAAAUUUGUAGCAGAAUGUUUUAAGUAUUAUGAACUCUUUAUAGUUUAUUCCAGAAUAUAUGAGUUGAAUUGGUUUUGAAUUUUAUUGAUUGAAUUAAAGUGCUUUCAAUUAGGUGGUUAUUCGGUGAGGAUUACAGCAUCAUCUCAUUUCUUUGUUCUGAACUGUGUUGGGGAUUAUUAAUACUAUUAUUUUGUUCUAAGCUAAUGUACUCUUUAUUUUGCUUUUGUUCUUGAAUUUGCAGAAUCUGUUUGUUGGAUAUUUUGGUACACAAUGAUGUGAUAAAAUCAUUAAGUUUUUGUGUGUGAGAAACCUGCGUGACCGUACUGCACAUUUUUAGUAGUGUGGGUUUAUAAGGAUCAUAUUUAUCGAGUAAACCGAUGGAAACUACGAGGAGAUGGUUCAACAAGUUCAAAUCGAAAGACAAGGUAAGGUCUUCAAAGAAUAAAGAAGCUGUAGGUAAUGCAAAGGAGGGGUCUAAACCACCAACAAGUGAAGAGGCACCAUCAGAUGUCACCAAACAACGGGUAGCAGCUGCGAAGCAGUAUAUUGAAGACCAUUAUAAGAAGCAGAUGAAAAGCCUGCAGGAAAGAAAGGAGCGGUAUUGGAUAUUUCCCUGUCUAAUAGUUACUGUCAUGGUCACAUAACUAUGAUAUAGCAUGCAGUGUAACUGUGUGCUAUACUACAGACUGAUGAAUGGCUGAAUUAUCAAGUCGAGUUAUUUUGUAGCAGGUUUCAGUUACAAAAAUUUAUUCAAAAAAGAUUAGUGCUGUCAUUUCACUCCAUAUCUUCUGCACAAAGUAACUUGAUAAAGCGUACUUUGUGAUUUUAAACGCGGGAAAAGUAAUGGUAGUUUUGUUUUAAAGAAUAGGGAUGACGUUUCGGGUAAUUAUGAUUUUAUGCAGGCGUGAUAUUCUAGAAAAGAAGUUGGCUGAUGCUGAAGUCUCUGAAGAAGAACAGAACAACUUACUUAAGUAUUUUGAAAAGAAGGAGAGGGAAUACAUGCGUAUGCAAAGGCAUAAGAUGGGGACUGAUGAUUUUGAGCCAUUGACCAUGAUUGGCAAGGGUGCAUUUGGAGAGGUAAUUAAAUUUGUCACAUUGUACAUAAUAACGUAGGUGUUUCUUUUGCUUUUAUUUGUGGUCUUGCUUUAAUCUACCUGUCAAAAUUAAAUGAGCUAUGAAGACCUCUAGAUCAUUAUGCUAAAAUCUUAUAUUUAAAAUUUCUCCCUACCAUCAGAACUUUUUUAACUGAGACAAUGCAUCUAGGAAACUUCUAGGAAAGCCUUCUACUUAUAUCUGAUUUAGUCGCUUGAUUUGCUUGUUACUGAUGCUUCUGAACCUAAGUUUUACCUCUCUCCUAUGUUUCACCCUUUUGUGUAGUUAUCUUCAAUCUCAAACAUCUUGUUCUCUUUUUGCCAGAAUUACUUUUAACGUAACUUCUUCUCAUUACAGGUUAGAAUCUGUAGGGAGAAGGCAACUGGUCAUGUUUAUGCUAUGAAGAAGCUCAAGAAGUCAGAGAUGCUUCGCAGAGGCCAGGUAUAUGAUUUUAAGCCAGCUAUGUAGUUUCCUUGAUGGGUUUUGCGCCAUGAUGAUAAUUUGUUAGUUUGCAUUUCUAAUGUUCAGGUUGAACAUGUGAAAGCUGAGAGAAAUCUACUUGCGGAGGUUGACAGUAAUUGCAUUGUUAAACUAUAUUGCUCCUUCCAAGAUGAAGAGUAUCUAUAUCUCAUUAUGGAAUAUUUACCUGGGGGAGAUAUGAUGACUUUAUUGAUGCGGAAGGAUAUACUAACUGAAGACGAGGCCAGGUUUUAUGUUGGAGAAACUGUCCUGGCGAUUGAAUCAAUCCACAAACAUAAUUAUAUUCAUAGGUGAUUCGGCAUGAUGCUAAUCCUUCAUACACUGUUAUAUAACGGUCUUUUUGAGUUUGCAUUAAGUGGUGAACCCAUUCUAUGUCACAUGUUGCAGAGACAUCAAGCCUGACAACCUACUACUUGAUAGAAAUGGUCAUAUGAAAUUAUCAGAUUUUGGAUUAUGUAAGCCAUUAGAUUGUAGUAAUCUCCAGGAAAAGGAUUUUUCUAUGGCAAAAAAUCUCAGUGGGGCUCUUCAAAGUGAUGGACGACCUGCAGCACCAAAACGCACACAACAAGAGCAGUUGCAGCAUUGGCAAAGAAACAGAAGGAUGCUUGUAAGUGCUUGACUACCACAUAACUAAUGCAACUUAGUAUUUUUUUUCUACCGAUGGUAAUAUUGGUUGGGUUUACAAAGCAAGAAAGUUCCCAACUUGUUUCUCCUUUAUUUUCCAUAGUUCAGGCUUGCUUUUAUUUUUCAGAGUUUACAAGGCUUAGAGUUUAUUGCUCAUAGUUACUUUUAUUGAAAUCGCAAAUGAAUGUUGCUUGAACAUUUAAACUUUGUGAUACUUCAGGCUUAUUCUACAGUUGGUACACCUGACUAUAUUGCUCCAGAGGUUUUGCUGAAGAAAGGAUAUGGAAUGGAAUGCGAUUGGUUUGUAUAUGAAACAUGAUAUUUUAUUUGUAUUUAUUAUUGUCAGAUAUGGUUACAAUGGUAUUUUUUGGAUACUUGUCUAGGUGGUCUCUUGGUGCUAUCAUGUAUGAAAUGCUUGUUGGAUAUCCACCCUUUUAUUCAGAUGAGCCAAUGUCAACCUGUCGGAAGGUAUGUUUUUACAUUAAGUUAUUGUGCUGUCAUUCUUUUGUGCUAUUAUUUGUACUUCUAUCUUUGAAUCUGAACAUUGUUUGUAAUUAAGUUCCGUAUAGCAACUAUUUAUUUUACUUCGUACUUUCUUUGUUACUGAUGACUGGUGUUGUCCUUUUCUCUACAUUUUCCAGAUAGUGAAUUGGAGAACACACUUAAAAUUUCCAGAAGAAGCAAAACUAUCACCCGAAGCGAAAGACCUUAUCAGUAAACUUCUAUGUAAUGUUGAGCAGAGGCUUGGCACAAAAGGUGCCCAUGAAAUUAAGGUGUUGUGCGGUGUGUUCUGUUCUAGAUUCCUUGAUUUUUGUUUUAAAAAUAGAAUGCAAAUUGCUAAAUUAACUGGCUCUAUCUGUUUUCUUCCAGAUUCACCCAUGGUUUAAAGGUAUUGAAUGGGACAAGUUAUACCAAAUGAAAGCUGCGUUUAUUCCCGAAGUCAAUGAUGAGUUAGAUACACAAAAUUUUGAGAAGUUUGAAGAGGUAGAUUAAUGGUACAAUUCGUACAAAUAUGCAAAAUGGCCUGUUUAGACAUUUCCUUACUACUGUCCUUUUUUUUAUACACCAGGCUGACAACCAAAUUCCAUCUGCAACAAAAUCAGGUCCAUGGAGAAAGGUCAGGACACAUUUUCAAUAAAAUGUCCUUAACUGAGAACUCAGUGAUCAUUUCUUAACCAAGUUUGCUAGAAGCUUUCAAAAUUAAAUGGCAUCAUUAUUUUGGUGUCUGGUCAGGGAUUUCUGCUGGUUCUUUUGUUGCACCUAUACUAAUGUUCAAUCAAAUGAAUUCUUUGAAAAUCUGCAUUUUCCUUUUAUAUCAGAACCUUAAUGUGAAAACUUAUCUUGGGGAGCACAGCAUUUUUGGCACUGUUGGCUUUAAUAUAUAUGUUAUACUUCAUUAUGUUAAAUUGUUGAAAUCAAAUUUCUAAAAAAAACAUAUGUAAUAAUGACUGUCUUUAACUUAUAAUAGCAUGGUUAAGAAGGGAUAGUGGAUCAUAUAUAAUGUUUCUAUCGCUCACAAGCCAAAAUUAUUUAAUGAUUUUCCGUUGAUGCAGAUGCUUCCGUCCAAGGAUAUAAACUUUGUGGGUUACACAUACAAGAACUAUGAAAUUGUAAAUGAUAAUCAGUUACCUGGCAUCGGUAUUUUGCUUACUCCUAUUUAUAUAUUUUUUCUUUUGCUGCUUCAGUUUUCCGUGCUCCUUAUCUUUCACAUCUUCCUCUGCUGGUUGUUAUGAACUGAAGAUUUAUCUCCUGCAAAUUUCGAACCUAGCAAGAUCUUUGUAUUUGACUGGUUCUUAUCUCUUCCAUCGUGCAGCUGAAUUGAAAAAGAAAAGUUCAAAACCCAAGCGACCUUCCAUCAAAUCCCUUUUCGGUAAGAUGCUAUCACUGUUAUUAUGCUUUUGGUGGUUGCGCUCCGGUUAUUGGGUUACGUUUGGCACAUCACACGUACCGAAUGUUAUCAAUCAGGUGUUAAUCUUGAUCUAUGUUGUGCAGAGGAUGAAUCGGCAGCAGCUGCCAGUCAACCUGUCCAAGGGAGCUUUAUAAACCUCUUGCCUCCACAAAUAGAAGAAGCCCCAGAGGACCGUUCGAGAAAAUGAGUGUUUCCAUAUCCCCGUGAUAACCGGGUGUUCCCCGGUGCUUAGCGUUUGCUUUUUGCCACAUUAACAUUUCAAAGUUUUAGGGGCAAAGGUCCCCAAAACAAAAUGGUUUGAGAUAUGGGAUUUGGCUCUUCCAGAGCCAGUUAGGAGAUUGUUCUUUUCUGUAAAAAUAAUAUCUGAAAGUAAAUAUUUUUUUUAUAUUUGUUGUGUAAUUUUUUUCCCUCUUCAAAUUAUUACGUCAAUUGACAUAGCUGAAAGAAGUUACUGUAUAAGACCCCAUUGUUGUUUUUCAUUUUGCAUGUAAUUAUUAGUUACUUGUUCUCAGGUAUACUAGUACCGUAACUGUUUGCAUUCGUAUUGCAGUAAUUGUUCAGUUUGAAUUUUUAUAAUUUUGCAUCUAAUUUAUUGUUAAAUAUAGUCUAUAGUCUAAUCGUGGUUUUUAGGAUUCCAUAAUGUAUAUUUUUUUGCCAAAUAUUGGGAAAUGUCAAAUUUAGAUAUCAUACCAUAAAUAAACUCAACUAAUCUCAAACUUAUUCAAGAACUAAAUUGAUUGAUCCGAGGAAGUAAAUUAAGAUGGCAAAAGAUGAUGUGAAUUUGUACUAAAUCAUCAAAGCUAUUCAACUAGUUUUAUUUUUAAAAACAACCUGAAAUGAGGUAAAAAUUUUAUUGUUAGAUGUCCACUCGAGUGCUAUUUACCAUGCAUCAUAUAUUAAUGCUUUACAACGCCCAUGCUUUUGUAAAUUUUAAUAUAUUCCUAUUCUUUUCUCAACACAAAGCUACAAAACAUUUUAUUAUGUUCAAAUUUUGUCACCUAGUCAUAAAAAGUUGUAAUAAAAUAAUCACUCUACCAACCAUGUUCUCUUUUCUUUUUUAAUCUACUUUUGUUAAUUAUCGUCAACUUUGUAAUGAAAAUGUCAAUAUUAAUUCUAAAAUUAAUAUAAUACUAAAUUUAACUCUCAACAUUUAUAUAUUAUAUUAAUUUGAUUAUGAUUUUAAAAAAAUUAAACAACAUUUAUACAUUAUCUCAAUUUUAUAUAUAUAUAUAUAUAUAUAUAUAUAUAUAUAUAUAUCAUAACCUUUUUUCCUCGUUCUUUCCCUAACUUUUUUUUCUUUUUUCUCCUGUAUUCUCCUUUCUUAUCCUCCAUUACUUUCCCAAAUCCAUCCUCCAUGGGGAAGGAGUUUAGAACAAAAAGGAAAAUAGAAGAUUUUAGAACUGCCACUUCAUCACAAAGUCAACGACAAUGAACAAAAUUAGACAAAAAAAAAACAAAUACAAUUUGGAUAACUAUUUUGUAAUUUUUUUAAUUAGAUGACCAAAAAUAAAACUUAAAAGCAUAAUUGUAGCUUACCCAAAAAUUAAUAAAAUUUAAGUCAUAAGUAUCUUUUGGCUUUGCAUCAUUGAUUCAUGUGAAUAAAAGGCAUCACUUCAGCCAUGUAAUUAUUAUAUGCUUCUCAACAACCCCUUUCAUGGAGUUAUUCUAAUAAUAUUGUUAUUUAAAAAGAUAAAUCAUGAACAAUACAAAGCAAUAUCUAGCACCAAACACAAAACAAGUAUCAGAUAUGAAUAUAAAUCCGACACAUUAUGUUAUGUAGCAAAUAUAUGAUAAAGUUAUGUCAACUAUUGAUGCCCUACACGCUCCCUUUUACUCAUUAAUGGCUACCAAAAUGAUGAUAAAAGGACACUAAAUAAACCCUUUUCUCACUUUAAACUUAAGUAGACAAGUAAUAACAAAAAAGGAAAAAAGAGAGAACAAUGAUUAACAACAUAGCCCAUGUUAAAUUUUUAAUCAUAGCAACAUCCAUUUUUCUUAACAGUAAAUUACAAACUUAGCUCAGCCAGUACUUAAUACUUAUGUUGCGAAAAAUGAUCCUUGGUUCGAACCAAAGCCUCAAAGGACUCGAAGAGAACAAUACUUCCAAUGUAGAUGACACAUAAAAGCCAUAGUGUCUUUGCUAUAAUAUACUUUUCAGGCAUUUGUUCUUGUUUGCUUCUAAUGAAAAAAAAGAAACAUCAAGUGUUUUAUUACAGCUAGAAUAAUAGUUGAAACUUGGAAAAUAUAUGAACAAUUUUCCCUAAGGUGAGCAUGAUAUCAUUUCUCUCUUUUUUCUUCAAUGACAAUCUAGAGGGGCAUGAUACUAGUGAGAAUACCUGAAAGGGUGCACGAGGAAGGAGAUUGUUGCAGUUCUUGAUGGAACCAAAUUGUGGGCACUGAUACACGAGAGUAAACUGUUUGUAGAUACCGAAAUAGUGCGGAGAUCUCCUUCAAGACAAGCAAAUCCUUACUAGAUGUGUAGUGCUGUUUAUUUCCUUUUCCCGCUUCCGAUUGUCAAGAACUCAAAGCUCCUAAGGGCAUGGUUGCGGCUACUUCUCGUGGCUGUAGUACGAGUAAAAGUUGAUGAUUUGGAUUCAAACCCAGGUUGAACUCUCUGAGUUGUUGACAGGCGACCACUGCUUGAGACCAAUCUGCUAGACCGGUUGUCACUAGGCUCACCAGAGGAGUUAGGUCGGCUGCCUGAUACAACAGGCCUCUUUGAAGUACUACCAUUUCUCGAGGAAGAGUGAGCCCUAUCAGAACCAGGUUGCUGAAGGAGAGAAAGUUUAGAAGAAAAUCAUAACUUCUGUGGCACAUAUGCUUAAAGACAUUUAAAAGUGUCAUUUUCCAAGAAAGAAAAUGGUAUGCUGGCAUUCAUAGGAACACAAUAGUUGAAAUAAACAGAAAAAAUGCAGAAGCAGGAUUGCUCACCAUUUCUUUGGAUGAUAGCACAUUGUCGGGAGAUCUGUGUCUAGACUGAUCACCAUGCCCUGAUCCAUUCCGUCUUGCAAAUGCCUCAACAGCACCAGAGAACCUUUCUCGAAUCUCUUGACCAACUACAGCAAAUCAAGGUCAGAACAUGUCAAAUUAGGGUGCCUUUUAAAUAAAAUAUUUAUAUCGAAAAACUUAUUCACCAGUAAAAUUUUCUUAUAAUCUCAAACCAGGUUGUGAAAAGGAACAGACCUGAAGGCCUUCCGGUUCUUUCAGCAGAUACGCCUUGGGGAUUUAAACCCGGCUUUGGGCUUGGCUGUUAAAGAAUAAUACAAAACAUAGUAUAAGAAUCUCAAUUAAGAAACAAGUUUAGUUCCAUGAAAAUCAAUUCCAGCAUAUUAAAGAUCACUGACCCGUACUCUUGAGCUAGAGGCAGCCUGUGGAUAUCUCAGCAUGGUCCAAUCAAAUACAUAGUCAAACUGAUAACCUGCAUCAAUUUGUUGUUAAAAUUUGGGAGUUCAAAAAGCAUAUAUAAUGGUAAGAUAUCUCUAGCAAAUUUAAGAUGAUGAACUAAUCCGAAGACUGAUUCAAUGUUCAAAACAAAAGUGAGGAUUAGACUAGCAAGUCAACCUUCUCGAAUGAAAAGGUCCCGGAAUAGCCUCUUCAGGUAUGAAUAAUCUGGUUUGUCUUCAAACCUUAGUGAUCGGCAAUAAUGGAAGUACGAUGUGAACUCAGAAGGAUAUGAUUUGCAAAGGACCUGAAAAUGGCAUAUUACUUGUCAGGCACACAAUCCAUCUUCAAUUUAUUCAUAUAAAAGAAUUCACUGGUAAUUAAAGCAAGCAAAUAAUACUACCUCUAUGGGGGUAAGCAUCUUCUUUUCACUAAUUUUGUCGUACUUCUGCUUUUUAUUACCAGCUUUCAAACCUUGCCAUGGAAGGCUGAGACAGAACAACAAACUAAGUUAACAAUGCGACUCAAUAUAUAAAAGAAUUGUGAAGUAUACAACCAGUUAUGUGUUCAACCAACCUUCCCCUAAGGAAGUACAUAAGCACAUAACCAAGAGAUUCGAGAUCAUCCCUCCUGCUUUGCUCUGCGAGUUAUGUAAAGCACGGUGAAUCAUACAUAAAGCCAAAACAGUCCAAAGUGACAGGUCUUUGCUGAAAGUAAAACCCAUAUCGAUAUAAAUGCAGUAAGUUUACUCACCGACUCCAAGGUGAGUGUUAACACUUGCAUAUCGAGCUGUUCCUGUAAGAUUCUUGUUUUCCCUAUUAGAAAAAAUGGAUAACUUAAAAAGAGAGCCCAUGUCCAGUAAGAAGGUUCAUAAAGAAGACAAAAAUAGUACAAGAUGAAGUUAGUAUGGCAACAUAUAAGCUAUGCGCUUAUGGGAAGAAUUGACAAUUGAUGCUAAAGCUAAAUGCAAAAUUAAAUAUCAAAAUUUUCUCAAAGUAGUUAAUUAGGCAUGCUGAUGCGCGCCAAACAUGAACAAUGAAAAUUUUAACCAUCUUCUGUUUGCUAAGAUAAAUAGCCUUUCUGUGAUAACUUGUGGGCUUUAAAUCUAUUAUAAUGAAUUAAGUCAAGCUUAGAGUUCUUUACGUUGGAUAAGUUGAUGAACAAUCUCAAAGACAGAACAUUAAAUCCUACAAGAAAAAACAUCAUAAGUAUUACCUGUAUGGUAUGUGCUUGUGCGUUUGAAGAUCCCUAUACUUUUUUGCAAGGCCAUAAUCAAUUACAUAUACCUAUGGAGAAAAGUGGGAAAUAACAGAAUUAAGCAACAUAUACUAGGACAUCUUGACUUUUCAGUUACAGGAAAACAAUAGCUAUUUGGAGGAAAAAUGAUAUUUCAAAUAGAAUUUAAUACUGUGAAAAUCUUAUAAGCAUGAUCUUGAGCUUUAUCAUCUCUUUACAAAUCCAUGAAAUGCAUGUGCCUCUAGAUAUAGGAAAUAAACAGAAAAACGUGCCUGAUUUGCUUUGCGCCCUAAACCCAUCAAAAAGUUAUCAGGCUUUAUGUCACGGUGAAGAAAACCACGAGAGUGCAUAUACUCAACUCUAUUUAUCUGAAUGACCAACAAGCAAAGAACAAGUAUUAGUAAGGCAGCCAAUUGACAAGGUUAAAAGUUCCCUGAAAAAAGCAGGCAUACUUACUAACUGAUCUGCCAGCAUCAAAACCGUUUUUAAAGAAAACUUCCGGUUGCAAUAGUUGAACAAAUCUUCAAGGCUUGGUCCAAGAAGAUCAAUGACCAUAAUACUGUAUUCACCCUCAACUCCAAACCAUUUUAAAUGAGGAAUACCAGCUGCACAUAAGAGAAACUACUUACUGACUCCAACUUAUGAUAAUAUACAGAUAAACAUGUAAGAGAGAGUAAACACAACAAAACUGAAAACUCACUCCCUCCUUGAAGAAGCAUGUACAGCUUUGACUCGUAGUGAAGUUGAGGAUGUUUGGUCUUGACAGGUUCCUGGGCAAACAAGGAGAGUACACAGUGAUAAUUGGUUCAAAACUUCAAGCAGUGACAAUACUAUAAAGUUCAAUUAGAAUAACAAAUGGAAAAAGAAAUGAUAGAAACAUUACUACAAUGUAAGAACUCAAGUUCUAGAGAAAUUUCUUAAGCAACAUCCCCGUUUUAGCAGCAAACGUCACUCUCCAAUUCUAAGACUACUCGAAAUAAAUCACAGUCAAACAAAUUCUUACCUUGACUCCAUUUUCACAUUACAAAAGUAAACAUAUAAAGAAACUCUCCAUUAAUGCUUUGUAGCCAAGUCAACUUGAACUUAUUGCAUACAUCUAAACUCCAACUCAGUGAACUAUUUAAUAAAAGCAGAAAGUUCACUAUUUGGUUUUCUUAGAUUUCAAUGGCAUAAAAGAACUGCUUGGAUUUGAACAACCACAGGUGCCACCAGAUGGUCCUGAUCUCCUUUGACAAGGUAGCUCUACAAACAUUAAAAUCUAGCGUUUCUAUCAUGGCAUAUGAAUAUAAAUAUACUAAUGAAAUUGUUUUACACUCCCUAAUCUAAAGCACCAAGCAAAGGCUUAAUCUAAAGUACUAGUAAUCCAAACGAAACACAAAGAAAUUCCAAGCAAAGGCAUAAUCUAAAGUACUAGUAAUCCAAAUGAAACACAAAGAAAUAUAUCACAGAAUAAUGGCAAACAAAAGCACAAUAGUCUCGGCUUAAUUGACCAUACUACAUGUCUAGUGAUUAAUCAAUACAAUCUUUUAAAAAACUCCACCAAAUCAAAUGUGUGGGAAAUGCAGUAAAGCUUCAAAACAUUACCAGCUUAACAGCCACUUCCUCUCCACUUUGAACAUUAACGCCUGCAAAACAAAAAACACCAAAAUCAAUGAAACAACUAAAAAGAAGGAAAAAAAUAAACAAAAGAAAUAUGAUUACAAUAAUACCUAAAUAAAGUUCACCAAAUGAUCCAUUCCCGAUCUUUCGACCAAGCUUGAAUUUUCCACCAAUAAUGUGUUCCAUGAUCUAAUCUUAGUAAACUUUGCACACUCAACUAUAUAUCACAGUAAAGGGAAAGAAAAACACCCUUGCCUCUUAUUUCACUAAACUAAUAUUGACAAAUUGACUCAAUAACCUUCUCUUUAAACUAGUUCUCAGAUCGAUCAAAAUUAUUAACUAUCAACUCCAGAGAUCAAAACCCAGUUUCUAAAAUCCUUAUAAAAGCUCCCUUAAAAGAACAAAAAGGCGUUAACCUCUUUAGUGACUAAAGGGAUAAUAAACAAAAGGAGCAAACUUGACUGAGAAACUACGGAAUACCCAUUAAUCAGUGAACCAAGGCAAACGUUUUGGGACCAUCAAGCUGCAUUUUCAAGGUGGGAAAAAGAAAAGAGAAAUUUUUAAGGAGAUACAAGUUCAGUAGUAUAGAAGGGGGUAAAAAAAAAGGCUAUAUUUUGAUUGCCCCGGUAAAGGGGAAUAUGGGAAAAAGAAUCCAAAAGGAACGAAUUUAUGGGCAAAGAAUUUGGGGGCGAUGAUCUAUUGGAUCUGGGUUAUAAGACAAGGAUUUAAUUUUCUCGGGAAAUUUCUUUUGGACGAAGAAAAAGGAAAUACUUUUUUUUUUUUUUGAGAAAGAAAGAGAAAUAAAAAUGUUUUGGAUGAUUGGAGAGAAAGUUCAAUGAUAAAAUUGAUAUUAUAUUAGUAGGUGGAUUUUAGUAUUUUAAAACAAAAAUUACUCUUUUUUAUUAUAUAUUUAAAUAUUUGAUUAAGAUUAAUAAAAUAUUACACUAAAUAUAAUAUUAAAGUAAAUUAAUUGUAAUUAUGAUCCAAUAAAAAAUAUAUAUGAGAACCUAACUAAUUAGGUAUGAACAAGAUAUUAUAUUUUUACGAGAAAAAUUCGGAUUCUAACAUUAUUGUUGAAAGAGUUAAUCACAAACUUUAAAAUAAUGUAAGAUACAUUAAUUUCAUAAAAAAAGAAUUUUAAGACUACCACAAUACCAAUAAAAGGAAAGGCUUAAUAUACUAACCACUUAAAUUCGAGUCACAUCAUAUAUAUAUAUAUAUAUUAUAUGGGUUAUCUUUCGAUUAUAGUUGAUUAAACAUGUAUUCUAAAUUUAUGUAACAUUACAUGUUUGUAUUAUUCGAAUACACUUUAUUUUCUAAUUUAUUAUUAUAAUUAUAUUUGUAAACUCUUGAAUACAUAAACAUUAGAAUUUUCAAAAUAAAAAAAAUUAAUGUUUGUUGGGUUGAUUUUAUAGUAGUAGUUGUUUUGAGUAGGUGAUAAUUAUGAUCAAUUAUUUGUUUUUAAAUUUGAUUAGGUUGUGCUAAGAUAAUUUCUAGCCUGUUUUUUAAAUUUAUAAAAUUAUUUGUUGAUGGUAAUUUCCCAACAAAAAGAAAGGUAUAGGAGAUAUGGUUGAGCAAGUAUAUUUUAUUUUCAAGAUUUACUAAUAUUAUUAUAAAUAAUACACGAUAAUGAAACUUAAAAUAAAAUCCGAAUUAUAAAUCUACUCUCGUAGCUUAAUAUUAUUAUAGGAUGUAUUUAAUAAAUAUUUUAUUUUUUAUUUAAUAUAAAAAUUUCAAUAAAAAACAUUGAAUAAAAUAAGUAAGUAGGUAACUAGAAAAUACUAAUUUGAUUUUAUUUUUUUAAAACAUUUCAAAUAAAUUAUCUUUUUUUUCUUUAAUGUGAUAUUCAAAGUUACCAAAUGUAUAUUUUAUCCAAAAUUAUUUAAAAUUUAGAAAAAAAAUUAAAAUUAGUAUUUACUUUUAUCAAACAAUAUAAUUAUAUUCAAUACUUAUACUAAUUUAUCAAACAAUUUUCUAAUAUAAAUUUAACACUUAUAAAAUUUAGCAAUAAAAAUUUAGUCCUUAAUUUUUCGACACAUAAAAUUUCAGUUUAUCAAACACACUCUAAGUGUCAGUAGCAUAGAGAAAGUAUAAUUUAUCUAUACUAUUAUUUACACCCCUUACUGAGUUAGUGUCAUGAGUCAAUCAAACAUCAGGUCGUUUAGAAAAAUUACAAAUGUCUUUUUGUAAUUAAAACAAGUUAUAUUAUCCAAUGAUACUUUAGUCUUUUUAAUUUUUAGAAAAACCAAUAAAAAGUUUGCAUGUUGUGAGGUUUGAACUCAAGUUAAUUGCAUGUUAUUUUUGUAUGUUAUUUUUAAACACGCCGUUAUGUUUAAAAUACAUGGUUUUCAUAUGCAUACGCGUGUGAUAGAAUUUCUAGUACUACUAAUGUUGUUGAUUGAGUUGAUAUAUAAUUUUGUUUUCAUUUUGAUGUCGUACAUAUUCCAAAUACUAUUAAUUAGUUUCAAAUCAAACGUUUCAUUAUUUAUUAUGUGUUAUUUUUAAACACACUUGCAUAUUCUAAUUACGUGGUUUCCACGUAUACAUGUGUGAUAGAAUUUACUUAAAUUUUUUAUACCGAUUUCAGAGUAAAAACAAUAAAAGCAUAUUUUAAUGAUAGGAAAAUGAAAAUUGUAUAUAAUAUUAUUUCCUAAAUUUUACGCAUGAACAUUAAAAUAAUUAUAAUAAGUAAACAACACAAAAGAAUCUAUUGAAUUAAGAAGUGGAUGGAAAUGGGGUAAUUUACCAAUAAAAGCCCUUUUUUUUAAAUUUACCGAAAUGGGCCAACUAUUUAAUUAUUUACCGGAAUGGUCCAUUUUCCGCAAAAUCGCGUCCACGUCAGCACGAUGUCAGGGUACACGCCAGGAAAUCGCGUCCACGUCAGCGCGACUUGCUGACGUGGACGGAAAUCGCGCCCUAGAGGACGCGAUUUGCUGACGUGGCAUGAACAGUUUAUGUUUUUUAGCUUGAAAAACUUUGAAACGCCAUAACUUUUGGCUCGGUUGUCCGAUUGAGACGAUUUUUUUUAUUUCAAAUAAAUUUUUGAGAUCUACGUGCUGACAAACUGCUUAGAGAUGAAUAGGGACUAAUUUGUAAAGUAUAAUUUGUUAGUUACGAGUAUAGGGACUAAAGUGUAAUUAUUUCAAAAUUAGCAUGAAAUUUUUGUAUUUAAGAAUAUUUGAAUGUUAUGGAAGGAUGAAUUUGAAUUUGAAUUGAAAAACGAAGCUUAGAUUUGAAAAUAUGACUAUUUAGGUUUUAGGGACUAAAUUGAAUAAAAUGGAAAAUUUUAGGGAACUUCUCAAAAGUAGAAUGAGCUGACUUAUACCUAUUACAGGAUGAUAUAAGACAAUUCUGUAAAAAAAUAUCCGGUGUUUACUUCAAAUAAAUAAGAAAAAUAAUGAUUUGAAUGUUUCAAAAUUCAAUUUUAAACCGAAAAAAUCAAAAUUUAGGGGCAAAAAAGGAUCUUUUUCGACAAAAACUACCGCAAACUGCCUUCAGAUUUGUCAGCGCGUAGAUCUCAAAAAGUUAUUCGAAAUAAAAAAAAUCGUCUCAAUCGGACAACUGAGCGAAAAGUUAUGGCCUUUCAAAGUUUUACAAGCUUAAAAACAUAAACUGUUCAUCCACGUCAGCAAAUCGCGUCCUCGUAGGCGCGAUUUGUGUCCACAUAAGCAAAUCGCACUGACGUGGACGCGAUGUCCUGACACGUACCCUGACAUCGCGCUGACGUGGACGCGAUUUUGCGGAAAAUGACCUAUUCCGGUAAAUAAUCAAAAAAUCGGCCCAUUUCGGUAAAUUUUGAAAAAAUGGCUUUUAUUGGUAAAUUACCCUGGAAAUGGUUGUUGGAAAAUUUUAGUUUAGAAAACAGUUUUGAGUAACAACAGAAAUUUAAAAAUUUAGAAAAUUAAGUCGAUUGGUAAUAUUUACAGUAAUAAAUUUUUUCUUGAAAUGUACUUGUGCUUAGAGCAAAAAGAAUUUAAAUAAUUUCAACUUUUAACUAAAUAGUCUUCUUUGUUAUCCUUGUACCCUAAAUUGCGUCGAAUGUGGGCUUGAACAACACAAACCAAACAUAGAACAAGAAACAAUUUAAUUAUUUUAAGUAGGAAAUUAAUUCUCUCAAAUAAAAAUCAGUAGAAAUUGUAAUUCUUGGAAAAUAUAAUUUAUUCUUAGAAAAAAAUUUCACUAUUCUCUAGUAGAAUAACAAUAUAUGAAACUCGUGUAUUAAUAGCUCUACUAAUGUAAUCUAUUUAUAGGAAAAGACAGAAAAAUUCUAGUUGAAUAAGACUUAAACAAAUAAUAUUUAUUUAAUAGAAAAUCACUUUCUUAAUCUAACUAGAAGGGGGAGCACACCUUAGAUAAAAAAAACAUUAGAGUUGUUGCCCCUCAAACAUUGUAUUGGAUCCAAUUAAUGUGUUUUUUAAACUUUUGAGUCAGCGCAUUAUAAUUUAAUUCAAUCUAAUAUUUGUUUUUAUUUCUCAAAAUAAAUAUUAUUGAUUUAAUUAAUUUAAAUGAAUUAAUUUCUCAAUUAAAUAAUUUUCUCAACCCAAUUCUGAUAUUGGUAAAGUUGUGACAAUUUUACCGUAAAAGAAUCCAUGAGAAAAUAUAUUUAAUUUCUAUUUUCAACGAAUUCAUAAGGACUAAUUAAUUUAAUUUCAUUUUCAAACUUCAAUUAUUUAAUUAUAAUUAAUUAGCUAAUAUUUAAUUGUUUUAAAAAUUAAUUUUCAAGUCAUUUUUUUACUCAAUGAAAAAGCGCAUUCAUUUGUAAAUGCGCCACAUUUCUCUAACUUCAUCAUUUUCGUUCAUUUCUGUUCAUUUGAUUCUACAUGCAAUUAAUUUUUUAUUUCAACGAGCUAGCGGAAUGAUGGAUUUGACAUAUAUAAUUAGGGAUCAAAUAAUUUAUAAUUUAAGUUUCAACUUUUUGCUUAUUAAUUACAAACUUAUUUAAUCACAUAGUCAUUCUAUUAUAGUAUCGUGACUGAGCUCGCUUAAUUACAUAUCAUCACGAAAGCUACCCAAUAAGUGCUUGUCCAAUAACCUUUUCAUAAAUGUGUUACCUACCCUCAUAGGAUAUUUUAAAUCUUUUUGGAAUAAAUUUGUUAUUCUAAUAUAAUCAUAUUUUAUCUUAUGGUAAUCAUUACAUAUUUCUUCAUGAAAAGUCAAUUACUAUAAAAUAGUAAUCAAGUUGUUUAUAACAAAAAUAAACAACCCGUAACCGCGUUUACUUUUCAUCUAUCAUGUAAUGUCAAUUAGAGGAUAUCAUUUACUCUUUAGUUGGACUAUGAAUUCCACUAUUGUGAAUGAUGCUACAUGCUGCAAAAGUCAUAUACUCAACAUACCAACUUUUGGUUCCUUAUCUAUUUGAACUCUGGUUUUUACUUGAAUCAAAGUAUAUGAGCGACGCAUAUAUAGUUCAUCAUCCACUCAAGAUUAAGGUAUGUUGCAUUAUAAAUGUCGCAAGUGAAUAAAUCCAUAAAUGGAUCUAGAAUCUAUUCUACUUGGGUCCUGUUUGAUAUAUUGUCAGCCCAAUCAGCCACAUCUAUAUCUUUAUCUUCUAGGAAUCAUUCGCUUCGGUACUCAAGACAAAGCAUUUCCCCAAUUGGACUUAAUAGAGGACAUAUUAGUCUUUCAACCAAUUUGCUCAUUUUCGAUUAGACUAAGGAUAUGUUUAGGUUCAUAUACU
rnacentral:lncRNA from 1 species